UUUAAGCAUCAUGCUCACGUGCAUUGUGGUUGUUUAUCAGCUAUAUGGUUUAUCAAAAUGAGGGACUGAUUAUGGUCAUAAGUACCUUUUUCCCAUUAAUUUCUUGCAUGUGCUCUGCUGAGAUUAUGUUUUUGACAGUCCAAAUCAGGGCAAACCAACAAACAGCUUUAUGUUAACUUUUACAAACUGCCACAUUUUCAGGUUAAACAAACAGAGAUAAAUCUUGGUGAAACUAGAAGUAAUACAACCUGUUCUGUGGAGAUAAAAGAAAGGGCAGCAGUACUGGUGGCUGCAGAAAUUGAGGCAUGUAGAGACGAUAGAACCCCCAAGAUACCUCUUCAUGAGAAAGUCCAGAAAGAGUGGGCUUGUGCUGUAUGCCAGUUCACAACCCAAACUGAAGCGACCUUCAAUUCCCACCUUCAAGGGAAGAGACAUCAGGCCAUUUCUGAGCAGCUGAGAGCCAAAAACCAGGCAACCAAAACCAAUUGUUCCCCAUCUGCUUCAAUGGCCAAGAAAUCUGAUCAGUCCACCAAAGAGGAGCAACCAAAGUGUACUUCCAACAAUCUGAAUUCCAAAAACAAUGGAAUCUCAGCUGCUUCAACAGUGAAGAAACUUGAUGAGACCAAAGAUGAUGAGCAACAAAAGUCUGCAUCUAGCAAUGGACCAAACCAGAAGAAUAACAAAAAGCAAGAGGUACAGACCAAUGAGCAAGGCCAUCAGAAGAACUCAAGGCAAACUGGUGAUGGAAUGAAAGAGUUGAGAUCAUGGUGCAAUAUCUGUAAUGUAAGCUGCACAAGGGAGCUUGACCUGGCCUCUCAUCUCAAUGGAAGGAGGCACUUUGAUAGGAUAAAGCAGCUGUCUGAAUUAUGGUGCAGUAACUGCAAUGUAAGGUGCAACAGUGAGGUUGAUAUGGCCUCUCACCGAAAUGGGAGGAGGCACUUGGAGCAGCUGAAGGAACAGUUAGGAUUAUGGUGCAGUAUCUGUAGUGUGAGUUGCAACAGCAAGGUGGACAUGGAUUCUCACCUAAAUGGGAAGAGUCACUCGGAUCAGAUCAAGGACCAGUUAAGAUUAUGGUGUGGGGCAUGUAAUGUAACCUGCAAGAGUGAGCGCAACAUGGCCUUUCAUCUGAAUGGGAGGAAGCACUUAGAGAAGAAGGGGAAUACCUGAUUUGCUCUUCAGAUUAUUGAUACUUACAAAUGGUUUUAGUUAGAAGCAUACAGACCAGUGGGUGGUGCUCACAGAUGCCUCUAUUUUGUUGUAUGAAGUAAAAACAGUAUUUCCAUGUCCAGAAAUCAACCACUUGUUUAGUGCAUGCAUGGCUGGUUCAAAAUUAAACCUAAUUGUGAAUGACUAGGAGCAGGGAGGGAAAAAUUGAAGUGAAGAAUGUAAGAUUAUGGCUUCAUUUUUAUUUUUUCCUCUUCUGAAAAUUGUAAGAUUGUGUUAGGAGGAGCUGGAAUGGGUUCAAAUCAGGAAUUAAGACCCAGUUCCAAGACAUGGAAAGUGUCUUUAGAUUAUGUUAAGUUAUUUCCAUUUUUUUUUCUUUAUUUACGGUAAGAGGGAGCAUAAGGAACGAAAAUGAAUAUUUUUUUUUUUUCGAAUAAAAAUGAAUUUGAUAAUUUCAAUUAUUGUGUUUGGAUGUAUUUCGGAAUGUAAGAUUAAAAUAAUUAUUUGUUUUCAUUUUAGUGUUUGAUAAUAAUGAAAGUAUGAAUUAAAAAAUAAAUUGAUAAUAAUAUUCUUAUAUUUAAUUUAAAAUAUAUAUAUAUUUUUUAUUUUAGAAGAAUAUGGGUUAAAAGUUUUUUUUUUUUUUUAAAUAAUAAGCUUAAGAAAAAUAAUUUUUACUCAAUAAAUAAAAUUAAUCAUACAAAGUCAUAAAAACCAAACCAAAAUAUAAGGGUAAAAUAAUAAUUUUAAACUAUUCAUUUAAGUUAUCCAAAUGCAUUCCGACUCUUCAUUCUCUUAUACCAAAUACCGUCUUUAAGUAUUUGUCAAACUUAUUUUUUUGCAAAAUAUCAAUAUUUUACUAAUAUUUUUAUCGAUUAUUUGCCGAUAUUUAUCGCCACGUCACCAAUUCUUUGAGUUUGACUUUCAAAAUUUUGAAAUGAUCUUUGAAGUCCAGUUCAGCCCAAAUCACUACACCCAUGAACUCAUCUACAAAAGGGAACGGCUGGGCCACCACACUAAUAUGGCCCAUACAUGGGACCUCGUAAAAGAAUACCCAUCUUCAAAAAUAGGGACCAUAUUAAAUUAUUAAUGUAGCUAUAGGAAGCAUUUGAGGACAAGGGUUAUGAUUUUUCCCUUUUCUUUUUCUCCUUAAUUUUCACAUCACCCAACAACACCACUCUUAAUUCACACAAAUUUGAAGGUUUGGAAUGAGACUUCUUCAUAAUUAUAUUGUAAUUAUGUUAUAAUAACCAUGUCGUUUUUGGAUUUAUUUAUUCAGUCCAUCUAAAUCUUUUGUUUAUUCGCGUCAAAACAAUAUAUUUAUAAUCGAAUCCAUUUAUGACAUGUUCAUCUUUUAUAAAUUCAUUAAUUUUAUAUAUUUAAAAUUUAUAAAAGUUAAAUAUAUUUUUUCAAUUAUGAAUAUCAUAUUACUAAAAUAUUAAAUAACUAAUUAACUUGAAAUGUUUUAUAUUUCAUUAAUUAUUUUAUAAUUACAAAAUUAAGUGAAAUAAUAAAUAGGUUAAAAUAUAUAUUUUAUUUUAGUUAAAAAUUAUAAAUUGUUAUUGAGACACAUAACUACUAAAAUUCUACCCAUUUGACUAUCAAACAAACAACUUAAGUUUUUAGUCAUAAUUUAAGCUUAUGAUAAACUCUAUUUACAAAAAUUAGAAACCAAAAUCAAAUUCUUCCUAGACUCAAAAAUAUAAAGACAAUCUUUUAACUUUAGAAGAGAACUAUCAUCUAAGAUAAGGGUAACACAUCCCAUUGCCUGUACAACAAUUCUUGCUUCAAAAGCUAAUGUUAGGUACAUAUCCCUAUCAUUCAACCUUUCCCUUAGCUAAAACCCCUAUAAAGAAUUAUAAACAUGAUCAAUGGCUCCAAAAUUUAUCCACCAAGAGUUAGUGGAAUCUAAUACUAAACAUGAUUCAACUAAAAGAGAAUGAUGCAUACCUGACUGUCUCUUUAAGAACUAAGGGCAUUCCUUUUUCUAAUGGCCUUUUUUACCACAAAGGAAACAUUUGUCAUGACCCUUACUCUUCUUCUUCUUCUCUUGCCCUUGAACUUUCCCUUCUGUUUGGUGAAUUCUAUAAUGUUCUUAUUUUGGUUAGAAGAACCUAAAGAACACUUAACUGCCAUAUAAAUACCUCUCUGAUCCUUGAGAAUUCCCUCAAUCAUUUUGUGUUCUCUCAUCAGUUCGGUUAUAGUUUAAGAAAAAAAUUGUUUUUUUUAUGUGACUAAACUUGGAAUGAAUGUCCAAGUUGCAUACAUACUCGGGUUGAGAUCAAGUCAUAAUGUAGUUUAAGAAAAAUAUUUUUUAUUUUUUAUUUUUAUUUUUUAUCUGAUUGAACUUGGAAUGAAUUUCUAAGCUACUUACGUAUCCAGGAUGGGAUCAAGUUCUAACAUAGUCACAAUGCAGUUCAAGAAUUAUUUUUUUUUCUUUUUUUGUGCUCCAACUUUUGCCAAGACUAAAGAUCUUAAUUUUGCGAGCAUGUCCUAACUUUUGCCUAGGUCGCCUUUCCAAGUUUUCAAUUUAGCAAACUAGGUUUUUUUUUUUCUUUUUAGUUCUCUAACUUUUGCCAAGACUAAAGAUUUUAAUCUUGUAAGCAUGUCAUAACUUUUACAUAAGUCGAAUUUUUAGGUUUUCAUAGUGCUGGAUUUUUUUUUUGUUUUUUGUUUUUUUUUUGUGUCGUAGUCAAUUUAAGCUCAUAUGGGUUGGAAGCGAUGUGUAGUUUGUUGGGAUUGAGCCCUUAAAAGCAAGACAUGAUGUAAUAAAGUUAAACUUAACUAUCCCCUUACUAUCCUUUUGGUGUAUCAACAUUGAUUUAAACAUUCAACCCAUAUCUCUUACAUUGUAUAUGAUUUAGAAGCAUUAGGAGUUGUACAGAAGAUACAAGUUAUGUGUUCUUUGUAAGUAGGUGAGUUAUCCAUAGUCAUUUCAUGGAUUUGGGCAAUCUAGUAGAGACUAUAGUGCACCACCUCCUAAUUGAAGGGAUGACUUGUCUUGGCCGUUGGGAUGAGUUUCCUAUGGUGAGCGUACUAGUGUAUAUGAUGCACAUUGGAUAGGACCUAUGACAAAUCAUGAUGCAAGGCUAUCAAUUGUCAUGAUUCACCAAGUUACUAUACUACAUGGACUCUCAACCUUGAGAGGACAUUGAACCUGUGUCAAAAUCAAUAGAAAGUUUUGACCUAUGGGCGAGACCCUAAAGUAGUCAUAUAUCCUUAUGAAUUAGGUCAUUGUUGAUGGAGGCUAGUGAUAAUAGGCAUUCUCAAUAGAGGCACCAUGAUAUGUCAUGCGAUUGAGAUGGUGUGUCCCUUUGGGUGAUCCAAGGAACAUGUGAUCAUGAAAUUUGUGGCCACAGUAAUUCCUUUAGUGGAAUUUGACAUAUGCUCAAGGAUUUGAGAGAUAAUAUUGAUAGGUGAUAACACUAUCUUGUUAGAUUAUAGACACCAGUUUCAUGGGGAAUCUGCAUGUAGUGGAUAGUAGGUCAUGAAUGCGAGCUUUGUCUCGUUGUUAUUUACAUAAGGUACUGGAGUGUAGUUGAUUCUCUUUAGUAGAAUGUUAAAUCAACUUCAAAAUUGGAUUAUGAGGGAGCCAGUACUCCUAUGGGUCUCAAUGGUCCCCACUCUAAGCUUAUAUACCAUGAUGACAUAAUUUAUGAGGGUUGGAUUGGCUUUAGGUUCAUUCUUAUGCAUAAGGGCAUUUUGGUAAUUACUCAAGGUUGCAUAGGGGAUAAUAAAUAAGGUCUCUAGAUUGGACUAAUUGAUUAAUUAGAUGGCCUUAUGUGGUUAAUUAAUCAAUUAAGACAUGUUAGGGCUAGAUUAAGUGACUCAAGCCUUGAUGGGUUCAAGUCACUUAAGCCUAGUGGGUAACCGUAUAAAUACCCCCUUAUGGGUUAGGGUUUUCUAAUGACUUUUAGUUAGUCAUCUUCCACUUUUAGAAAAAUAGAGAGAGUCAAAGCUUCCUCCUUUCCACUGCCCACACUUUGGAAUGCCAAGAUCGUGGAUCGAGUCAUCGAACGAAAGAUCUUGGGUGUAUGAGACCUUCGAACUCUUUAGGCUUCUUCUUCGUUGGAUGGAUUUUGAUCUAGGAACAUCUAGAUCACAUGUAUGUGUUAUAAAAUUUGGUUAAUUCAACCUAAGGUAAUCAUCCUAGAGAAGGGGCGAAUAGGGUGAUGAUCUUUUUUUGAAAAUUUAAAUUAUGUGAAUGCAAGAGACAAUUAUAUGCAAAAUAUAUAGCAAAACCAUAUAAAAACAAUUGCAUAUAAAGUAAAAGGGUAAGGAAGAGAGAAAAUAAACACAAGAUUUUUAUAGCGAUUCAGUGCAACCCGACCUUCAUCCAUUCUCCUCUAGCUUCAAUCCCAAACUUGAGGUUCCACUAAUUUAAGGCUUCCAACCCAAGCCUUCAAGCAAUACAAUCGGAUUAUGGUUCCAAUCAAACCUCUUGAAAUUUUAGUUCUAAGCACAUUUUACAAUCUUCAAGAGAUACCUCACUCUUAAACAACUCCUUAAGUGAUACCCCACACUUGAGAAUCCCUAAGUGAUACCUCACACUUAGAUUUUUCAUCUCAAAGAUUUAUAAAUGAAGAUAGGAAAUUGUUAGCCCAAGGGCUCUCCUAAUCGGGUUUUGAUGAUAAAAAAUCAUGGUUAAAUGACUAAUUGGUUUAAUGGUUAAGAAUCUCAGGCAUAAACUUGAAAAUUCAUCAAAAGACCAAAUGGAUACAAGAUCGAGACGUUUGGAAGACUUGUGAUCAUAGGAAACUAAUGUAAGAUGAAUGCAUGAGUACACUUAGGAUUUUCAUACCGUUUCAUGCAAUUUAGAAAACUCGGUUUAUUCUUUAAAACUUCAAUUUCAUUAAAACUUGAGUUUUAACAAAUGUACCUUAGGCAAAAUGUUUUAAAAUUGGCAUAAUAAUUCACCUAAAAACCUUGCUUAAGUGUUAGAAAAGAAAGGAAUUGAAAAAUAUAGGUUUUCGGGGCCAAAAGGCUCAACCGAUCGAGGCUAUGACCAACCUGCUCAACCGGUUGGGGAAUCGGUCGACCGGUUGCCCCUGUCCGGUCGAGGUUCGAUAGAGGGAUGCACAAAAUUUUCUUUCUCUCCCAGUAGCCUUCUCUUCUCGGUCGAGGUCUGGUUGAGGACCGAUCAAGGUUCGAUCGAGGCAACGGUAACCUGUCAAGCAUUAAAUGUUCCAACGGCUAGUGAACCGGUCAACCCCUAGCUCGACCAGUUGAGGUUACCUUUUGCUGUUUUUGGCUCCCGAGCUUAGAAACCUAUAAAUUGAGAGCUCCACUUUAUUUAUUGACGAGAGAACACUUGCAAUCAAUUGUCUACCUACCUGUUCUUGAUCAAAAAACUCUCAUUUCUUUCUUUGUGCAUUAAAUCAUCACUUGCAUAUCCUUUAGUGCACUCUUAUGUGUCAUCCUAGCUUUGUCUUAUAUUUGAGCUAUCCUUAAGCUAGGUUGAGGGAUUCAUUCUUGUAAAAACUGAGUGUCAAAGCCUUCAAGAGGUUUAAAUCUUGAAGAGAUUGUGUAAGAGCCCAUUGGAGCCAGAAUCCAAGUGUAAGAAGAUUGGAAGCUUGGUUGAAGCUUCAAGUUAGUGGAACCCUCACUCGGUUAAAAGAUUGAGGAGAGUGGAUGUAGGGAAGGAAGUGUCGAACCACUAUAAAACCCAAGUUUGAAUUCUCUAACUCUAUCUCUUUAUUUUGCUUAUAUUGUGCUUGAACUCGUUGUGAUUGAAAAGAAUUUAAAAAACCCAAUUCAUCUCCCUCCCCCCUUUUAGGUGUUUUUCUUAAUUAAGCAUAGCAUUUAUUUUCUCAAUUGGUAUCAGAACUAGACCUCUUGUUUUUUUUUUUUUUUUAAAAAAAAAAAUUAAUCGUCUAAGAGGAUAUGACUAUUGCAUCAAGCUCAUCUCAAGCUAAAAUUUUUUCAAAACAUAGAGCUUCAUUCUUUACGGGAUCCGACUAUCCCUAUUGGAAAACUAGAAUGACUUGGUACUUACAAUCUACUGAUUUAGAUGUAUGAGACGUCAUUGAAGAUGGCCUAACUUUUCCCACUAAACUAGUUGAUGGAGUUUUGGUUCCAAAACCCAAGCAAGAAUGGAAUGAGCUUGAUAGAAAAAACUUUCAAUUAAAUGCUAAAGUCGUUUUUACUUUGCAAUGUGCUAUGGAUAGAAAUGAAUAUAAUAGAAUAUGUCAAUGCAAAUCGGCUAAAGAAAUUUAGAGGUUGCUUGAAAUAACUCAUGAAGGAACUAAUCAAGUGAAAGAGUCAAAAAUUAAUUUACUUGUUCAUAACUAUGAAUUGUUUUCAAUGAAAAAAAAUGAUACUAUUGUUGAGAUGAUUACUAGGUUCACCGACAUUGUCAAUGGUCUUGAAGCUUUGGGAAAAACCUACAAGGAAUCCGAGAAGGUGAUGAAGAUAUUGAGGUCUUUCCCAUCAAAGUGGCAUACCAAGGUCACUGCAAUUCAAGGAGCAAAAGACUUGACUAAGCUACCUAUGGAAGAGCUCAUAGGGUCAUUAAUGACAUAUGAGAUCAAUUUGACAAAGAAGCUACAAGAGGGUAAAGACAAAAAGAAGAAGAACAUAACCCUCAAAGCUAUAACCAAGGAAGAAGAAGAUGUUGAAGAAGAAAAACCAAGUGAUGAAGAUGAUGAUUUAGCCCUCAUCACAAGAAAGCUCAACAAAUACAUGAGAGGUGAAAGGUUUAGAGGAAGAAAGUUCACCUCUAGAAGAGAUCCUUCUAAAAAGGAAUCUUCAUCCCAUGGUGACAAGGAGAAAUGAGAAGAUAAAAGAGAUUUGAUAUGCUUCAAAUGCAAAAAACUGGGACACAUUAAAUAUGAUUGUCCACUCUACAAGAGUGAAGCCAAGAGAAGAAUGAAGAAGGCAAUGAUGGCCACUUGGAGCGAAAGUGAAGAAUCCUCCGAAGAAAAAAAGGAGAAGGAAGUAACAAACAUGUGCUUCAUGGCAAUAGAUGAUCUUGAUGAGGUAAACUCUAACUUUAGUGAUGAAGAUAUGUAUGAUGUUUUUGAAGAAUUAUAUGAGGAUUUUGAAAAACUUAGUUUGAAAAAUAAUUCUCUUAAAAAUAAAAUUCAAGAACUUGAAAAAGAACUUGAAGAAGUAAAAGAAAAAGUUUCAAUUGUUGAAAUAUCUAAAACUCAUCUUGAAAAAGAAAAUAAGAUUUUGAGAAGUGAAAAUGAGAUUUUGAAAAAGAAAAAUGAAUGGUUGACCUCCUCUCUUUCAAUUUUCUCUUGUGGAAAAAAAUAUUUUGAAAUGAUCUUAGUUAGCCAAAAAUGUAUUUUUGACAAACAAGGGUUAGGAUUCAAAUCUUCAAAAAAUCAAAAGUAUUUUAAAAACUACUUUGUAAAAGAAUCCGCAAGUGUAAGUCAUUCUACCACUUGCAACUUUUGUAGAAGAGGAGGAGACAUUAGUAGUACAUGUCUCUUAAGAAAUGGUUCUCAAAAGAAUUCAAAUGCUAAAGCUAAAAAGGUUUGGGUUGAGAAAUCCAAAGUCACUAACCCUCAAGGACCCAAAAAGAUAUUGGUACCUAAAUCAACUUAAAUUUUAUUUUGUAGGGUUCAAAGAAGGAUAAGUGGUUCUUGGAUAGUGGAUGCUCAAGACACAUGACCGGGGAUGAAUCCAAGUUUGUUUUCCUUACAAAGAGAAAGGGAGGAUAGGUUACCUUUGGAGACAAUGCAAAAGGAAGGAUCAUUGGUCAAGGCAACAUUGGUAAUGACACAUCCUCUCUUAUUGAAAGUGUUUUAUUAGUGGAUGGUUUAAAACAUAAUCUUUUGAACAUAAUUUAACUUUGUGACAAAGGUUUUAAAGUGAUUUUUGAAGCAUUUCAUUGCAUUAUCAAAGAUAUUCAAAAUGAUAAAACCAUCUUCAUGGGCCAUAGAUGUGAUAAUUUUUAUGCUAUAAAUAUUUCAAAUAUGAUGGCCAUGGUAAAUGUUUUUCAAGCAUGCAUGAUCAAAGUUGGUUGUAGCAUAGGAGGUUGGGACAUGCUAACAUGGACCUCAUUUCCCAACUCAACAAAGAAGCACUUGUUAGAGGCCUUCCCAAAAGAAAUUUUCAAAAAGACAAAGUUUGUGAAGCUUGUCAAAUGAGAAAGCAAAUCAAAAACUCUUUUAAAAACAAAAAUUUCAUUUCAAUAACUAGGCCUGCAUAUGGAUUUAUUUGGUCCCUCUAGGACACCAAACCUUGGAGGAAAAUCUUAUGCAUUUGUUAUUGUGGAUGACUUCUCUAGAUACACUUGGGUCUUAUUUUUAAGUCAAAAGAAUGAAGUCUUUUUUGAGUUUUCAAAGUUUUGCAACAAGGUUCAAAAUGAAAAAGGUUUUACAAUUUCUUGUAUAAGAAGUGAUCAUGGAGGAGAGUUUGAAAAUAUUGAUUUUGAAGACUAUUGCAAUGAGCAUGGUAUUAACCACAAAUUUUUGGCUCCUAGAACUCCUCAACAAAAUGGGGUAGUUGAAAGGAAAAAUAGAACUCUUCAAGAAAUGGCUAGAACCAUGCUAAAUGAAAACAAUUUACCAAAAUACUUUUGGGCCGAAGCAAUUAACACUUCUUGUUAUGUUUUAAAUAGAAUUUUAUUGAGGCCUAUUCUUAAAAAAACUCCCUAUAAGCUUCGGAAAAACAAGAAACCCAACAUUAGCUAUUUCAAAGUCUUUGGGUGCAAAUGCUUUAUAUUAAAAACCAAAGACAAUCUUGAAAAUUUUGAUGCAAAAUCGGAUGUUGGAAUUUUUCUUGGUUACUCAACUUUAAGUAAAGCCUUUAGAGUUUUUAACAAAAGAACCAUGGUUGUUGAGGAGUCCAUCCAUGUUAUUUUUUAUGAAUCUGACAAUUCUCUCCAAGAAAGAGAGAGCUUUGAUGAUGAUUUAGGCUUGGAGACCUCCAUGGGAAAAUUACAAAUUGAAGAUAGAAGGCAACAAGAAGAAGUUGUAGAGGAUCCCAAGAAAGAAGAAUCACCUUUGGCACUACCUCCUCCUCAACAAGUGCAAAGUGAAUCAAGCUAAAACCUUCCUAAAGAUUAGAAGUUUGUCAUCAACCACCCACAAAAUCAAAUUAUAGGUAAUCCAUCUAGUGGGGUAAGAACUAGAUCAUCUCUUAGAAACAUUUGCAAUAAUCUUGCUUUUAUCUCUCAAAUUGAACCUAAAAAUAUAAAUGAUACUCUAGUUGACGAAAAUUGGAUGAUUGCUAUGCAAGAAGAGUUAAAUCAAUUUGAAAGAAGUGAAGUAUGGGAAUUAGUGCCAAGACCUCAAAAUCAAAGUGUUAUUGGAACUAGAUGGGUCUUUAGAAAUAAAAUGGAUGAAAAUGGCAUAAUUAUAAGGAAUAAAGUAAGAUUGGUAGCCCAAGGUUUUAAUCAAGAAGAAGGGAUAGAUUAUGAAGAAACCUUUGCUCUCGUAGCUAGAUUGGAAGCCAUUAGGAUGCUACUUGCCUUUGCACGUUUUAAAGACUUUCUUUUAUAUCAAAUGGAUGUGAAAAGUGCUUUCUUAAAUGGCUUUAUAAAUGAAGAGGUAUAUGUUGAACAACCACCCGGUUUUCAAAGUUUUAACUUUCCUAAUCAUGUUUUUAAACUUAAAAAUGCACUUUAUGGUUUGAAACAAGCACUUAGAGCAUGGUAUGAAAGAUUGAGUAAAUUUCUUUUGAAAAAGGGUUUUAAAAUGGGAAAAAUUGACACAACUCUUUUCAUAAAAAUAAAGAAAAUGACAUGCUCUUAGUGCAAAUAUAUGUUGAUGAUAUCAUUUUUGGAGCUACUAAUGUCUCUCUUUGUGAAGAAUUUUCUAAAUGCAUGCAUAGUGAGUUCGAAAUGAGCAUGAUGAGAAAACUUAACUUCUUCCUUGGACUUCAAAUCAAGCAACUAAAGGAAGGAACCUUCAUCAAUCAAGCAAAGUAUAUAAGAGAUCUCCUCAAAAGGUUCAAUAUGGAGGAAGCGAAAACAAUGAAGACUCCAAUGAGUUCAUCCAUCAAGCUUGACAAGGAUGAGAAAGGUAAGUCCGUUAACUCAACUAUGUAUAAAGGCAUGAUAGGUUUUUUGCUAUAUUUGACCGCUAGUAGACCUGACAUCAUGUAUAGUGUAUGCUCGUGCGCUAGAUUUCAAUCUUGUCCUAAAGAAUCUCACUUAAGUGCCGUAAAAUGAAUUCUUAGAUAUUUAAAAGAGACAAUGGACAUAGGCCUAUGGUAUCCUAAGAGUGAUAACUUUGAAUUAAUUGGAUUCUUAGAUGCCAACUUUGCCAAUUGUAAAGUUGAAAGGAAAAGCACUAGUGGCACUUGUCAUUUCCUAGGACACUCACUUGUUUCAUGGCAUAGUAAUAAGCAAAAUUCGGUAGCCUUGUCAAAGGCGGAAGCAGAAUACAUAGCAGCUGGUUUAUGUUGUGCACAAAUCCUUUGGAUGAAACAAACACUUAGUGAUUUCAAUUUGAUUUUUGAGCAUGUUCCUAUUAAACGUGAUAACAUUAGUGCCAUAAAUAUUUCAAAAAAUUUGAUGCAACACUCUAGGACUAAGCAUAUAGAGAUUAGACACCAUUUUCUUAGAAAUCAUUUACAAAAAGGUGACAUUACACUUGAAUUUGUAAGCACAAAAGAUCAACUUGCCGAUAUUUUUACAAAACCUCUAAGUGAAGAGCAAUUUUUUUAUAUUAGAAGACAACUAGGGGUGAUUUCUUUAUAAUCAAAUGAUUACUUGAUGAAUUCUUGAUUGAAUAUACCUUAUGAUUGCGUGAAUUUCACAUCAUAUGCAUCAUAUAGAAAUAAUCUUAGGAAAAAGGUCAAAUUUUGACCAAAAAUCAAAAUUCCCUUGGCAUUGGAUAUCAAAAAUUGGGGAUUUCAACUGAAAAGGGCAAGGGAAGGAUCACGAGACAAGCAAAAGCCAAAAAAUUAGAGCGUUGACCAUUGACCAUUGACCAUUGACCAAGCGGUUCGUCGGGGCUGGGAAUUUAAAGAGACCCCCGCGCUUUAUUUUUUUCACUAUUCCCCUCAAUUCCUUGAAAACUCUUCACAUACCUGCUUCCAGAGACCACUUUGGGUUGAAUCUUGGACCAUUUGAAGGGCUUGGAGUUGUUUUUGGGACGUUUUUAAGACUAGGGUUUCAAUCUGAAACCUAAGGUUUCCAUUUUUAGGAGCAAUUCCUCUCAGACCACGUGCAUCAGCCAGGCUCAACUCCUUCUCCUUGCGCUUAGGGCUUCCGGUUGGAUUUCAUUCUCUCUUGUUUGGUUUCAUUCUCUCUUCAAACUUCUUUUUCUUCAUUUUCCGUUCUUUGGAUGGCGCCUAGGAGAGAGACAACUACCUCUAGGGCUCAGGGCAAGCGCCCUGCUGAGCCAUCUCAACCUGAGCAGAUGGAGGCUCACCGAAAGGCGAGGUAUGACACGACCCUCUGUGGACCCGCAUUUUUCACGUGCGUCCCCACUCGAUCGGCGAGACUCGCUUUUUAUUUGUGAAAAAUUGAUCUUUAAAAAAAAAAAAGUUGGAGUCGCCACCUAUUUUAUUUUUAUUUUGAAGGGAAAAUAAAACAAGAAAGAAAAACCCUAAAAAGUGACUCCAUGGUUUUGGAAAAAGCAUGUCUUUGAGAAACCCGAGUCUAAGUCCGGGGAUCAGGUUACUUAUUGGGAAGGUACCUCUAGGAGGUAGCACCCCUCUAAGCCCUAAAAAGGUCUCUACUGACUAAGUUAAGGGAAGCGUGGCAAUUAAAUGGUUGAUCAUGGAUACCUAAGUAGGCUAGGUGAUUCCAAAAACAUAACAUAUCAAACAAGAUCAAAUCACAAUUAAGGAGAGUUAAAAAUGCGUACCUGGACGGCUUCCCAAACGCUAUCAUAAAACAUAAGAGAUUAGUUUGGAGAUACAUCACACAACAUUUGUUUUACUCAAGCAAAUCAGGCAUAUAUCAAGACAUUCAAGAAUCACGUCAAAUAUGGAUAUGGUCAUCAAUGACAUACAAGUCCAUAGAAUUCUCGAAAAAAGGAUGAAAAUGAGCGUACCUGGAUAGCAAGCUAGAGCGCCUUUAUGGGAAACAAGGUUAACCCAAUAACAAAUUCAAGCAUAUCUCCAAGAAGAAUCAAAAUCAAUUGAAUACCAAAAAAUCAUCUUUAAAAUCAAUAUUAGUGAAGAUAUUAGGAAUGUAGGACCCCCCACCAAAGUCCAUAUUACUUUUGCACGAAUUGAUUCAAUGAAUUCCAUUAUUUGGAAUCGUGAAGCUUAUUCAUGCUUGUCAAAAAUCGAGAAAAUCAUAAAAUAGUUGAAGAUGAUGAAAAUGCAUGCCGGAAGGGAAAAUGGCAGCAAAUAGUAUGUUAAAAUUUGGAUUUUAUGCCUAGAGACUUCUCAGGAAUUUUAAAUAAAACUAGAAUUAUUUUUUACGGGAAAAGAUUUUGAAAUCCAGAUUUAAAAUGUGUAAGAUAACAAAAAGAAUAAGGAGAAACAUUAGGAGUAUGGUGUGUGGCAAGGUGACCACUAUAUGAGUGAGGUCUGGAGGUGCACUUGAGACUAAAUGGUUGAAACAGAUUGCAUAGGGAGCAUUCUGUACACCACUAGUUGUCUAGAAAGAAACUGAAUGUGUUCGUUUCCGAGCCCAUGUUCACCGGAGUUUAGGGUGCCACCUCAUUUAAAAAAAAGGGCUUCAAUACAACUCUAGUUUCUCAAGAUCACAAUCUGAAUUAUCAACAGAAGCUUCUGGUGAAGACAUAAUGCUCAAUUUCAGAUUAAAUUUCCUGUUCUAUAACUCGUUUUCUCUGAAUUUUCCUUUAAUGUCUGUGCUUUCUGAUCAUAUAAGUUGCCCGUCUGGUUCCUUGUUUGAGACUCUGCCGAACCUGGAAUAAUGCUUCUAGGUCUAGCUGAGGGGACCUACACCCCUUUUCAUGGAACCUGAGGCAUGCGUUAAUUCGAAACUCUAUUACUUUGCCUUCCAUUGCUUUAAGUCUUUUAGCCAUCUCAGCCACAAAUCUGGAGAUUCAUUUAUCUUUCUUUAAUAUUCAAGCCAAAUGUCAAUCCAGUCCGCUUAAACCCCGAUUUGAAUGAUUUUGAACCCUCUUUUUGCGCUCUUGAUGUUUUUCAUUUCAACUACAAUGACAAACCACCCUUCGAAAAAAGAAGAAAUCUGGACCAAAUCCUAAACUUUUAAUUCACAACUUCUUGAGCCUGACUCUGAGUCGACACAAUUGAAUCACCUUGGAUAAGAGUGCUUCUAAAAAUCCUCCAGAAUGUAGGCACAAGUGCAGCGUUCGUUAAUAAUGUCCAUGGCAUGUCACAAAGGAAAGCUUCUUUUUUUAUAAUCAUCAACGCAAAUUGACUCUUAAUGGACCCCAUUGCCAGCGUCACAUCAAAGACUGGACAGAUAGGGAGAUUCACAAUUUCGAUAGCUAUCUUUGCAUUAUUUGGGCAGGGCAACCAUGUUAUGGAUAUAUAGCUCGAAGGUGACUUGCGUUUUGUUCUGUAUCAUCAGUAGCAGCCUCAAACCCGCCAUAGGUUUGAGUGGUAUUAAAAGACUCAACAUGAUCAGCUGUAGGUGAUCGAGCAGCCAAUUCAUCAUUGAGCAAAUCAAUAAAAGCUUGGAUAUCGUUGCCGAGUGGCCUAAAAUCAUUAGAUAAAUCAUUAAAGUCAUUAAGUAUAUUACUGAUCUCCAUGAAAACCCUCCUCCUUGCUUCUGUAGAGCGAACACAAGCUGCCACUAAAAUUGGUUAGCCCGGAUUGCUAAUUUAUGCAUCCAAUCACCAUCGAUUUCUCUUGUCCUUUUUGGAACUUCUGGAAUAUGGAUGAAACCUGUGAAGAAUGUGGUGGAAUUGCGGUCUGCAAGCACGAAGUUUCCAGUUACUUGAAAUGCUUCGAAAUCAUGGUUCCAGUUUACAUCUACAGGCAUUGGCUCAAGUAAGUUCGUAUCAGCUUGGGUGGCUUUCGAUUCCAAAAGCUCUAACAACAACAUGAUUCUCAAAUAUCCGAACAGCAAUGUCCAAAAUUGAAUCAAGAAAAUUCUUUAGCAGCAGUAUGUGUUGUCCCUGCUGGAGCCAUCACAGGAGCAACUAAGCUAACUGCCAAAAAGGUUCUAGCCAGUGAGAUCCCAUUCUGACGUUUCGGUUUUGGUGACUGAUAGCUUUCUAAUUGUCCCUGCAAAUAAUGUAAACCAAUAGUUCCAUUGAAUGGAUUGUCAUCCAGAGCAAGGAUCCGAAUACUUGUAAGGCCAUCAACGAAAUCAGCGAGGGUGGUGUCGACUUCGUUGUAAUCGAAGAAGGCGAGUUGCAAUUCAGACAAUCUGCGAGAAGAAGGCAAUUUUCCAUUGAAGUGGUUCAUCUGAAACCCCAAAUUGCAGAGCAUUGAAAGCUGGUUGAAGUUUUGAGGGAGAGGUCCCUUUAAUCCCAAUCCCUUAACUUGAAUCUGUGUAACUCUGUCACCACUAUAAAAUACACGAGGCCACAAAUUUGACUCCACCCGUUGGCUCCUUUCCUUCAUUCAUUCGCUUUAACAAGUCACAUUUAAUUCCAAAGAAUAUUAUAUAAUCUUCAAGUAUGUUCAAAUCAGAGGGCUCUAGUCCGUUAACCUUUACACUCUCUAGCAGGUUCUGUUCUUGUCUCUUCCUAUUAUACAGAAGUUCAAGCAAGUUUCAUAAAGCCUGAAUUUCUACACGUAGCCACUACUGGGGUCAGGUUUAUCCAAGUGUGCUGCUCCAACAGAAUUAUCGAUGUGUCAGUUUCUCUAAAAAUCACCUUGUGAAUCAAUCCACAAUACCGAGGCAUCCCAUCAUCAGAACUUCCUAAGCUUUCAGCAAGUAGGCAAGCAUUUAUGCUUGAGUCAACUCUACCGAUGACAACAAACCCAUCCAAAUCAAACUUCAUAGCUGUUUCUUCUUUUCCAUUAAUAUCAACUGGUAUCCUUUCUAAAAGAAUGCUUUUCUUAUGACGACAUGACAGUAAAACCCUUUUGCGAGAAUGGCUCAGAGUUUUGAUCAUCAUCUGAUUCUAUUGUAUUACUGGAAUGAUUGCUUUGGUAAAUGGAAUUCAACAGAAUCCACACAUUCAUGACUCUAAAAUUCAGCUUACUAGCAACCAGAUGGAACACACAUUUUCUGGUUCAGGCAUUCGUUUCUGGUCAGAUUCAUGGUAUCUUAGCGGUGCAACAGACGAUGCAGCAACCUCUUCUAGAGUGCCUUUUAUGAGCCUCAAGAGCAAAGGCCAAUGAUAGAUGAAGCGGUCCCUCUGCACUACUUGGGCUUCUGAUUCAGAAGUUAUCAUGAAGCCAACGAACAAGCAGAGUGAACGCAUUUGCAGUCAACCUUAAAAUUUCUAAUAUUGUCAGCAGGCCUGAUGGUAAAAAAACGAAAGUAGGGGAGCCUUAUUCAAGAGGAUCAUUGCGAACACUGUCACGUGUUAUUGGUGAGCUUGUUGGCAUCUUGUUUUGGGCAGAAUAAUGAGAUCCUUCAGUUAAUUAGAGAUCCAUAUCAACUAAACACCAGAAUCAUGGAUUUCCCAUGCUUUCUACUGGACAACGAUUGUCAGUUCUUUCUCUUGUUCACUUCUACUGGCAGUGGCUUGACUCUCCAACAAAACCCCUGAUGCACCCUGUAGCUCCUCAUUUAAUUCUGGAUUCUUAUCAGCAUCGCUUUCUUCUCCCUUUUGAGACUCUUGGAGUAUGAAAAAGAAAACUUGUGAAGAAUAAGGUGGAAUAUCCCAGCAAUGCAGUAUGGUAGGACCCAUUUGAGGGGGAACCCUGCAUUCAUCACUCUCACCUCCAGUAGCAUUAGAUGCUUGCUGGACCCAAUUCAGCCAGUCUCUGCAUAUUGACUCUCAAUAUAAACGUUUAGAAAUAACAAUGACUUCAUUUCUACUGCCUUGUUUAGACCUUCCUUGAUCAAUGUCUACCUUCAUUUCUCACAAAUUCUGGUUCUACUAUUAAAGUUCUGCCCCCAGUCCGUUUUGCAAAGCAUAAGCUAAUUUUAUAUUUGUAUAAUUCCAUCUUAACACACAAGUCCGUCGUAGCCUUUCCUGAGAAGUUAGAGAAGUUGCUUUUCUGAUAUAAAAAAGCCUUUCAGAACCAUGCUGAAGCUCUGAAUGUUGAUAGUUUUCCAUUGCAACUGAUAUGAGCUCCUCAUCGGUAGUGUCACAAGAAUGAUUCCAUGAGAAGUUUCUUGUUGCAUCACCUUUUUUAUGUAUUCCAACCCCAACUGUUGAGUUUCUUGAAAUUGAAACUACGGAACUUAGUUAUUUUGAAUUGUUUGCAUCUGUAGUGAUAAAUCACUGGAAGAGACAAUCAUAAUUUAGGCACUUGAUUUCCGUUUCGGUCGAACUAACAGCUUCGUAACUGUUAAUCUCAAGGUCAGAUUCAUGCUCUUGUUUCUCAAUUUCCUCUUCCCAUGAGAAUUUUUUUCAUAACAAUCGAAUGAAUUCUUAUAACUCCCAAAAGUUUCUAGCUUUUGCUGAUCAUGGAGGUGCCUCACAAUACUUGUCAUUAUACUCACUUUGGAAUUUUUCUGGUCCAUGUUCACUUUGAAUGAAUGUAUCCCUAAAGGGGGUAUUCAAUGACUGCCCAUAAUGAGUUACAAGUUCCCCAAAAUAGAAUAUAAUGAUCGUCGGCCUUACAGUACUGCUGUUUUAAAAUUUUCUGCUCGCUGAACAGUCAUAGUUCAAACCAUCAAUAUCAAAAGGCUUUCCCAGGCACUCAUCUUCAGAACCAUAAGGCCAGCAAGUCUGCAACCGUUUGAGUUGGGUAAAAAAGAAAGUCCUAAGCAGUGGAAGUGCACAGCAUGAUGCUGUCAAGUUUCAAUAACUUAAAUAUUGGCCAACUUAAGCCAGACCAUAUUCCUCAAAAAUCCAUUCUUCCUCUGCUCAUGUAAACUUGUAAUGCUGUCAGAAAUCCUGUCUUCAGAAUAGCAACCCUGACAAUUGAGUAUGGAAAGCAGAAUACCCAUGUGCUUCCAACUAAGCUUUUUACAACCAUCCUCAUAAACUGAGGCGUGCCAUUCUAAAGAAAAGGCAGAGUCUUUUAGAAAUCACAAUACUUCUGAAGCAGCUUGAAUUAGCAUAUUGCAGUAAUUGGAAGUCGGAUUGACUGAAACAGGGGCUCGAACGCAUCCAUCUGUAAAUCUUACAGACCGACCACCCUCAGAGAAAAGGUCUCCAAAAAAAAGGCUUCAGCUUCAUGACAAACAGCAUUCUCUGUUUCAGAGUUGCAACUGCCCCUGUUAUACUACUCCUGUGCACUUCAGCAUUUAUUCUUUAGUUAUACCGUCCCUUUAGAUAGCAUCUAUCCCACACCGUGAAGCAAGCAAGGUUCACUAUAAUAGGAUCUAGUAGCAGCAACAAACGGGUGAUCCUGGAGAUAUUUUAAACUCAACUUCAUCAACAUCUUCAGCGUGCACUUCUGUUGGAACACAAGCGAUAGUAGCAGUGAAAAAAAAAGUGUUGUACUGAUCCCGUUAGGAUUGCAGCCCAGAAUACCACGAACAGAGAGCCCCAAAAAUUGAAGCAACUCUGCAUCCAACUAAAUCACAUCUAGAACCCGGUUUAACGACUUUCUUGUCUUGAAGAGGAAAUACCCAAUCUGACUCAACAAUCUGUUAUCAUGUGCCAAACCCCACAAACAGCCCACAUUCUACGCAGCCUUUAUAAAGUCUCUACCUUUCAUGAAAUACUCAUGCCAUCAUUGUCUCCAUAGCCCAGAACACCAAAGUAAAGAAGAGGAAGAAGCGUAGAUAUAGAAGCACAAAAAAAGAAACCGAACAAAGAAAGAAAAAAAAAAAAAAAAAACGAAAACAGGGGAAUGGAAGGCAAUGGGUGGGAAAUCUGAAUAAGUCACAUUUCAUUAUUUUCAAAAGGGCUUUGAAGAAUCUGAACACAUUAGGACAAGCUUAGUUAAAAUUAUAUCAGGAUUCCACAAACAUUAAAAUUCAAACAUAAGUCUCUGUUUCAGCUAUUUAUAAAAAGAAUCAAAGAAAUCAAGAACACAAUCAUAAUAGAGCAAGUUUGAAGGAAAUUUCGAUUCAACAACGCAAAUAAAUGGCCCUCAAUGUCCACUCCAAUCAGCAAGAACAACUUCCCGAAAACAGCCAGAGAAUCUCAAGUGAAUGUAAACGGGAAUACCAAAAUAAUAAAAAAAAUAACAGGAAGCGUACCUGGCAGAACCUUGGCUGCAAUCUCCCUCUCUUUCUGCUCUUCUCUCCGCACUUUUUCUUCAAGAUCUCUCUUUUUCUCCUUUUUCUCCUUUCUUUCUUUUCUUUCCUUCUUCCUUUUCUUUCCUUCUCCCUCUCAAGCCCAAAAAUCCUAUCUCUCCCUCCGGAUCUCUCCAAAAAAAAAUCCCCAUGCGUGCUGCCAGUCCCACUUUUCAAAAAGAAAACAUCUUGCUGAAAAGGAAAAUCCUACUUCCUUUUCUCCUUUCUUUCCUUUCUUUCUUUUCUUUCCUUCUUCCUUUUCUUUCCUUCUUGUAGCCGAUCCCCACAUGGAAGAAGUAUAUGUGCUGUCCCUCUAAAAAUCAAAAUCUCCUCUUUUCAAAAUUCCGUUGAUUUUCCUUCCAAAUAAAUGGCGGUUCGUUUCCUCAUGCCCAAAAAAUAAAUAAAAUAAAAAAAUAAAAAUAAAAAAAAUAAAAAAUAAAAAAUUAAAAAAAUUAAAAACAAAAAUAAAAAAAAAUCAAUCACAUGCAAGCCAUACGAGCUAUGUAACCACCAAAGGAAUAUGAGUUAUGCAACCAUGCAAAAACACGAGCCAUGCAACCAUGCAAACCAUGCAAAAACAUCUAAAGGUGACCUAGGGUGUGUCCUAGUGCGCUAGGGCAAACGAAAUGGACUAAGUGUGCUUAAAAGCUAUCCUAAAAAAAAGAAAAGCCUACGACUAAGUUAGGGCUGCCAAGGGUCACAAUAAGGGAUCAAAUAAUCCCUCAACCAAAAUCUCCGAGGUGACUCAGAAAAAGGUUAGUGGUAUGAGUAGCCAUGGGCCACCAAGGAACUAUGGGGCACUGAAAACGAAUUUAAAGACAUGUGCUAAAGGGACAAAAUUGAGGGUCUACACCCUCUUCAGUUCUGUUGAAGAUUAUCAAAGAUACAAGCAAAAAUUCUCCCAGAGGAAACUAGGGAGAAAUAUCAAUUUCUCCCAACUUUAGUACUUCGGGUUUGAGGGACUCUUUAGUCGGAUGGGAUAACUGCCAGUUGUGAUGAUUUUCGAGCCGAUCUUCCUGACUCUGGUGCGGGCAUUUUAUUCAUAGGUGACUUAUGGACUUGGAGGACCAGUCAUGUCCACUAUUAGAGGUGUUGAGAUCAGACUGAGCCCGGAGAGCAUUUUCCGCAUUCUCGACAUUCCUUUAGUUGGACUCCGGGUGUAUGAGUCCAAGGUUUGGCCCACUGUGCCGGGAUUCGAGCCUAGAGAGGCUAUUCAGAGGCUGUGCGGACUUGUAGAUGCUGAGGGGAUGGACAAACCAUCGGCACAUAGCCUGACCGUGACCAGCCAAGUCCUUCAUCACAUGAUUUGCUCCUAUUGCCACAAGGCGGGUAUCGAGAUGAGAUUUCCUACCUGGAUGCUUUCAUAGUGGACACCAUUCUAAUGGGGAGAUGGAUUCAUGUAGGGUAUUUGAUGAUGAUGCAUAUGAUAUCCUACUAUGAGAGCACGACCCGAGUACUCCCCUACAGACGCUUCCUCACUCGAGUAUUCAAGGAUGUCGGGGUCGAUUUGAGUAGAGAGACGAACUUCGAGGCCCUUACUAGCUAUGAUACUUACGAUGAGCAGUCCUUGGAGCGGAUAAAGUUUGAGAAGGCCCUCGAUGGCUCCUGGAUUAGGAGAGUUGAGCGAGCUCCAGCAUAGGCCCGGGGACAAGGAUAGAUGCAUCCCGGAGUAGAGGAGGAGGCUGAGAUCAAAGAGAUGGAGGAUGGGUUAGACCCAAGGAUUGAAAUAUCGAUAAAUAUGGAUAUAUCGGUACUUGGAUUUUACGGAUAUAUCGGAAAUAUCGGAGAAAUAUCAAUGGAUAUUUUUCAUCAAAUAUCGGUGAGACAAAAAUUAUCCAAAAUUGAUGGGAAUGCUUAGAAAAAUCCAAAGAAUGAUAAAAUAAGCAAGAAUAUACAUGUUAAAGUUAUUUUAUGAGUGUAAUUGACAUAAAUAUGGUAUAAAAAAAAUAUAUAUCGGUAAACAGUUUACGAUACUUGGAUUUUAAGAAAAGAAAAUAUGAAAUUUGGAAUUGUACACUUAAAAAGUUAGAAUUGAGUUAAGAAAUAUUUGAUUUUAUUAAAUGAAAAAAAUUUACACAUAAACAUAAUACAUAUGACAUUGCAAUGGUCCUUAAUACCAAAAUGAAGAUCGAUGUGGUUCCAUCAUAUUGUUAUUGUUAGAUGAAGGGAGCCCAUCUUGUUGAAGACAAUAUUCAUACCAGGACAUGGAGUUUCGAUAGUAUUGAUUGUAUGUACUAACAUGCCAUGCAUAAAUUUCUUGAGUCCUACCGACAACCUGUCCAUGGAUGGGAAAUCCAGGGUUUUCCCAUGUGCUCGUUUGAAAUCCUUGUUGUUGCAGCUGAUGUAGAAGGUAGUAUGGAAUUUGUGUGGAAGAAUGAUAGUUAUACCUUUCAUACUCUUCAUCAGUGGAACUUGAAAGAUUUUGAGGAGGCUGACCAUAACUCAUUGCAUAAGGGGCAUAAAUGUUGGCUUCAUUUGAUGAAUCACUUAAUUGAGUCUCUACACUCAUCGACUCAAAACUGGCCGACAAUGAGUCCUCGUUGUAUGGCAUCAUCCUUCGUUGUCUUCCUCUAUAUGGCUUUCCAAUGGCUCCAACACCUGGACCGGCUCUUCUAGAGCCGUGGUCUUCAUCUUGAGUACAAUGUGUGAAAUCAUCUUCACUAAUAAAUGCCAAUGGUUGUCCACUUUGUUGAUGUUGUCUAACAUCCCCUUCAUCAUUUUCAGGGUCGCUACCAUCAUUGGUCCCCUCUCCUCUUGAAUCAUCAUAACCGGAAGCGGAAGUACCAGUAGCACUAGGUCUACUACUAUGUUCAACACUCGUGGGGUCAAAAGAAGGUCGAGAAGUGACUACCAGCUGAGAAAUUCCUUGUCGAAAUGAAUCUUUCGUGUCUUGGUUGAAACUAUCAAUAUGAACUUCUUCGGAUAACACUUGAUCAACAUCAACACCUGCUUCUCGGACAUGUGCGGCAAUUCGUGGGUCGAGAUUUCCAUCUUCAUCAUCUAAAUGAAGAGGUCUAACCCAUUGAAACAAUUGGUUAUCUUCUUCUUCACCAGCCUCAGUUGCAAUAUCAAGUAAAUCAAGGUAAUCUUUCUCUGAAACUUUGUCAUGUUCUGCUUCCAUGUCACGUAUCUUUAGUUUCAUGUUAUAAUAAUAGAAAACUAAUUGUUAGAGCAUCGGGUAAGCAAGCUGAUUUCUUUGUUUUGUAUGAAUUAUGGAAAACAUGCUCCAAUUUCUCUCACAAGCUGAAGAUGAUGCAGUUUGCGAUAAAACCUUGAUGACCAACCUUCUUAAUGUAGGAGUGUGAUUUCCAUACAUGAACCACCAUUCAACUACAACCAAAUAAAUGAUAUCAAUACUUAUAUUGGAAAGCUAUAAUAAUAUGCUAAUGAAAUGAAUUAUUAAUUCACAAAUAAUACUCACCGAGAACCAUUUCUAACCUCGAAGCAAUCACUGUUUGAUCACCGAAUCCUCUUUUUGCAUCUCGGAAUAGUAUAAUCUACAUAUUAAAUAAUUGAAAGUGAAAAAGUUGAGUAAAUGAAAUUAAAUUAUUUAAUUUAUAUUAUAACUCUAAUAAUUUACCUCAUUUCCAAAUUGACUAAAACCUUCUGAUGUAGGAUCUAAUUUCGCAAAGACUUCAUGGACAACUUGAAGUAGAUCAGGAUCAGUACCAACUCCAUGUUUAUAUUGAAAUCUUGGAUUAAGAAAGAAUGCUACAAUAGUAAAAUAGAAAUGUAAAAUUAGAAUGUUAUGAAAGAAACAUAUUAAAUACCAAUAAAUUUCAAAGAUGAAUAAUACUUACCUGCUGCAUGAAAAGGAUGUUUAAAAGUUCUAUCCCAACGAUAUGCAAUUAUUUCUAACACCCAUUCUUUAGCAUUAAGUCGAAUAAGGUUCUCUUUCAUAACUCGAAUCAAUUCGUACACAAAUGGCAUUGUAGGAACAACUUCUGAAUCGACAAUGCGAAGAACUGUGUAUAGCGCCUCAUAUAUUGACACUAGCUUUCCCACUCUUUCCUAGUAUGCAUGGUCAAACAUAAGUGAUUCAACUUCUUUGCCGAUUAAUGUGCAACUUAAGUUGUGUUGUGCCCAUUCAUCACUGAUAAAUAUUUUCUUCAAGUUUAUUUUCUUUUUCAAAAGACUGUCGAAGGCUAUAUAAUUGGUUGCAAAUCUUGUUGCUCCAGGACGAACUAUGUCUCCACCACACACCUUCCGCAUCUGGGUAAGCAACCAACCAUGGUUAUAAAUGAAGUUGGUUAUCUUUCGAGCCUUUGUAAUCACAUCUGCAACACUCGUCCUUUUACCGAUAUCUUCGAACAUUAAGUCGAUGCAAUGUGCUGCACAUGGAGUCCAAUAAAGAUUGUAUUUCUUCAUUAACAACUUCCCCGCCUUCAUGAAUGCCGACCCAUUAUCUGUAACUAUUUGGACCACAUUUUGUUUGCCAAAUUCCUUGAUCACAUCCUUCAACAAACCAUAUAUGUAUUUGUUGUCCUUUAUAUUAUUUGAUACAUCAACAUAUUUGAGGAAGAUUGUGCUACCUUUUGAAUAUACCAUGAAAUUAAUUAUGCUUAAUUUCGUGGGCCCAGUCCAUCCGUCAGACAUAAUCGUGCAUCCAUAAGUCUUCCACUUUUCUCUUUGAAUAUUGACAUAAGCUUCUAUGUCUUUGUACUCCAUAUCCAAAUACUCGUGUUUGAUUUCAUAAGGAGACGGUGGUUUUAUACCCAUACCUACCAUCCAUAUAUAAUUAAAGCAUAUAAGAACAUUUGUGGCAAUCAUACUAUAUAAAUAGUAAUGAUAUUGUUAAAAUGAAUACAACUUUUAAAAUUAUAGUAAUUACCUGCUUGUUGUGCACCAACAAUCAUGUUCUUGAAGUGGUGAGAGUCUGUUUUACUGGGCGGAACACUCUCAUAUAUGAAGAACUUACUGAUCAAACGUCCCAUGGUUUCCUUGAUGGCACCACCUUUGAAAAUAUUUUUCAUAUUUUUAUGUCUUGCUACUGAAGAUUUGUACAAUGAGGGUGCAUCAGGCAGUGAUGGAUCUAAAUAUCGAACACUUUGCGAUUUUCGCAUUUGCCUUGUUGUUGGAUUGGUUGGAUGUGAAGACUUGCCUAUUAUAAUUAUUAAAAUUAAACAUAUAUGCUAAUUUAAUAUUAUUGAUAAAGUUGAUAAGAAAUAGUAAUAAUUCAAAUUAAUAUUAUACCUGUUUUUAUUUUGUCUUUUAUAAAAUGUUCUUCUUAUUGUCGAUUCCAUUCAGCAGCUUUUGAUGCUCGAACCGCCUCUCUAUAAGCAUGUCGCUCACCAAGGUGCAUGUCAGCCAGAUACAUAUACACAUCAUCAUCUCCAUCAUCAUCAUCACCACCAAGGUUCUCCUCAUCGUCCUCAUCAGUUACAUGCUUAUGUCUUAUUCCCAUUGUGUCUCGCAGUUCAGAUCGAAUCUCUUCUAUAUCUGUAGCUUUCUUCGCUUUUGCCUUAUUUUUUUGCUCUAGAAGUCGUCUUAUUUAUUGUUUCACUUCUGGAGGCAUGUUAGGACACUUUUUUGUAUUUGAAUUAGGGUCUGUAUGUGAUAGGUGAAAUUUAAAACGAGUAAUCCCACCACUCUUUAUUGCCAACCCACAGUAAUUGCAUACUGUUCCAUUUUUGUCCCCUUCCAUAGGUGUACAAUAUUUCCAACAAGGAUCUCGACCCAUGAUACCGCUUUCACUAGCCAUUUUCUAAAAUUGAAUUAUGAAACUAAUAUCAAAUUUAAAAUUAUUAAAGAUAAAACAUGUAAGAAAUUUAAUAUUCAUGAAAUUGAUAAGAACUAAUAAAAAUUGAAAUUAAAAUUAAAUUAUGCAUAUAUGAAAUAGAUAAACAUUACAAUAAAAUUUCAAUAUGAAUUAAAUUUAAAUUAAAUUAAAUUAAAUUUGUAUAUUCAUGAAAUUGAUAAGAAUCAUUACUAAUAAAAAUUAAAAUUAAAAUUGAAUUAUGCAUAUAUGAAAUAGAUAAACAUUACAAUAAAAUUUCAAUAUGAAUUAAAUUAAAUUAAAUUUGCAUAUUCAUGAAAUUGAUAAGAAUCAUUACUAAUAAAAAUUAAAAUUAAAAUUGAAUUAUGCAUAUAUUAAAUAGAUAAACAUUACAAUAAAAUUUCAAUAUGAAUUAAAUUUAAAUUAAAUUAAAUUAAAUUAAAUUUGCAUAUUCAUGAAAUUGAUAAGAAUCAUUACUAAUAAAAAUUAAAAUUAAAAUUGAAUUAUGCAUAUAUGAAAUAGAUAGACAUUACAAUAAAAUUUUGAUAAGAAUUAAAUUAAAUUAAAUUUGCAUAUUCAUGAAAUUGAUAAGAAUCAUUACUAAUAAAAAUUAAAAUUGAAUUAUGCAUAUAUGAAAUAGAUAAACAUUACAAUUACAUUUCCAUAUGAAUUAGAUAAUAUCAAUUAAACUAUUGUAGACCCCCCUCUUUUGGUCUCGUUUCUUUUUUUUUCCUCUACAUAUAUUAUGUUUGUUUUAGCCAUUGCGGAAGCACCUGGAAGAGGUGUUAGUGCCUUGAACAAGUGGGGGGACCUGGCUGUUUGGAGAGAUGAGCUGCGUGGAACACGUGGUGGAGCAGUUGGCCACAGCCAUGGUGGUGGUUGGGGCUCCAGUUUGCUGAGCAGAGGAACAGUAUAGUAGCUGAUGGCUUGCAGGAAAAGCUUUGACGGAGAAGGAGGACAGAGGAUUUUUAAGAGGAUCCUUUUGAGAGUGCUGGCAGGGGGGGAUCUUGGAGGGAAAGGGAAGAGGAGAAGUAAGUUUUGAGGAGAAAGGGGCUUUCAGGUAUGGCCAUUUAUGAUUUUUCCCGAAUAUUCUGAUCUUUCAUAUCUUUCCCAUCUUACUCUCCAUGAUUCCAGUUUUGCUUGAUGAGUUGUUUUGUUUUGAUGAUUGUUGGUUUAACAUUAAAAAAGAUGGCUGUUUUUUUUGUGUUUUACCCGUGCAAACCUCUUCCAACUUAACCCUUUGAUCGUUAAGCUCAUGGAUGAAAGAAUGAAACGAAGUUAGCACAUUCAUCAAAAGGUUCCCUGCUAUGUUUCUCCAUUUGUUCCCUUUGCUUGAGUAUGUGAGUAUUGAUGCUAAUAGUAGCAAGGUCCCAGCCAACUUUGUACAAUAGAGCUCAGAUGUUGCUCUAGGGGUUCAUGAUCAUCCUGUCAAGUGCCUAGGAGCAAAUGAUGCCCUUGAGCUUACGUUUCUAAGUCGUGUUCUCCCUACCAAGCUGGAUACCCUCCUUGCUAAGGACGGGGGGACGAAACCUAUUAACAGCCGAAACCCAAUGAUAAGAUCCAAGUCACUGUCGAGUAUCUCAAUGAGAAGGAUGCCAUGGUUCUUUCUUCGUGUACAUGUUGUUCCCAUCUCCACCCAAGUUGACUAAACUGUCAUCAGUGAUGAGAUUGCUGCCUACACUAAAUAAUACAUCAUCCAGCCGGUUAUUCAUGAGAAACAUUAAGAUGAGAAGUCCACCUUCCAACACCCAUUAAGCCACUCUUCACACCCAUCUUCUCUCAUUAACAUCCUCAUACCCCUCCCACCACUUCGUGAUUCAUAUCCCCAUCAUCCCCAGCCGUCCAUGCUAUCAAUAAUAUCCCCACUUAUCUUCAUACCCAUUUGUUCCACUAUUCGGAAUCCCCAUGCAUGCGAAACUGGACGCGGAAGCCAUGAUAGCAGAGAUUGUGAUGAAGAACGUGGAAUGCGGUACCCUGUUGCAUGAAGUGAGCAUGGUGGAGCGGCGGUUUGAGGAGUCGACGAGGAAGAUAGAGCUGUAGAAGAGCUUGCUGGAGGUGUUGGAGUUGGAGAGGACGAUAUUGCUGAAUGAUAACGUGCGGCUGGGGCGCGAGAUGAGUGCGCUGAUUGAGGAGAACAAGGGGCUGUGGAGGUCCCGGCUCCUGCUCCGACGCUGGAGGCGCUGAGUCCUCCAGCACCGCCGGCCGAAGCUCCUAGGCCACAGCUAGAUGCGAUCCCAUCCAUCUCCAUCUCUGCCAGGUGAGAGUAGGGCAGAGAAGAUCACGUGCGUGAGGUAGAGGGUAGAAAUGGAUAAAGGGCAUAGAAAAUGGGCUACAGCAAUGCAUGGAAUUGUUUGAUAAAAGAAAAGAGAAAUGGGUUUGUUGACACGUGAAAGAACUAUGCACUUUAAAAAAACUCUCCCUGUUUGUUUUACAUAUUCUCAAACAAUGCUUAAAAAUCCCUUAAAAUUUUAAAGUUAAAAAUUUAUUCACUUAUUCAUGUUUUUCUAUUCACUUCAAAUUCUCGAAACUCAAUCCUAAAAUUUAAUUUCUUCAAAGUUCAAUCUCCAAAAUAACUUUUUUUUUAGGUUCUAAUUUUAACUUUAAUUCUCCAAAGAUCCAAAAUUUUAAAUUUAACUUUCCAAAAAUCCCACAAUUCCGAAUUUAAUUUUAGGUCUUGUAAAUUAGUAUUAUUAUCCCAUAUUUAUUUAUUUAAAGUCCAAUCCUUCAAAAAUCUCAUUAUUAUUAUUAUUAUUACUUCAACUUUCGAAAUCAAUUUAUUCUUAUUAUUAUUAUCAUUAAUCCAAACUUUCAAAAUCCUAUUAUUAUUAUUAUUAACCCAACUCUCAAAAUAUUAUUAUUAUUAUUAUUAUUAUUAUCAUUAAUUCAGACUUUCGAAAUCUUAUUAUCAUUAUUAUUAAUUCAACUUGCAAAACCUUAUUAUUAUUAUUAUCAUUUCAAAACCUUAUCAUUAUUAUUAUUAUUAUGAUUAUCAUUAUUAUUAAUUUAACUUUUAAAAUAUUAUUAUUACUGUUUUUAUUAAUUCAACUUUUAAAAUCUUAUUAUUAUUAUUAUUACUAAUUCAAUUUUCAAAAUCUUAUUAUUGUUAUUAUUAUUAUUAUUGUUAAUUCAACUUUCAAAAUCUUAUUAUUAUUAUUAUUAUUAUCAUUAUUAACCUAUUAUCAUUAUUAUUAUUAUUAUUACUAUUACUAUUAUUAUUAUUAUUAUCAUUAUUAUUAAUUCAAUUCCCCAAAUCUUAUUAUUAUUAUUAUUAUUAAUUCAACUGUCAAAAUCUAUAUUCCCGUAGUUUAAUUUCUCAAAGUUCAUUUCUUAUCAUUACUGUUAUUAUUAAUUCAAUUUUCAAAAUCUAUAUUCUCGCAGUUUAAUUUCUCAAAGUUCAUUUCUUAUCAUUACUAUUAUUAUUAAUUCAGCUUUCAAAAUCCAUAUUCUCGCAGAUCAAUUUCCUAAAGUUCAUCUCUCAUUUUCUUUGACGAAUUUCAAUUUAAUUACCGAAGCUCUAAUCUUUCAAAGUUAAUUCCAAAUACUUCAAUUUUCAAAUAAAGUCUAAUAAUCCAGUUUUCACUCGAAUGGUUUUAAUCCCAUUUCAGUCCCUAAAUAAUCUUCUGGUAUUCUUGAUUUUAUAUAAGCAAUAGUGAAUUCUUCAUAAUUCUAAAACACGGAAUUUGUGAGACUGGUUCAUGAAUAAUAAAUUGGGUUUUGGUGGGAGGCACUAUGUUUGAUCCCUAUUGAUUGUCAACUGUUGUGCUUAAUGUAUUUUUGCUUGAUCUUCAUUUUGCACCCUGAUAUGCAUGAGUUAUAAUUUGUAUUCAUUAAUUAUGCACUAAUCCUGUUUCUUGAUAGCAAAUUGCUGUUUGCUACCCAGGUACGCAUUCACUCAUUCUGAUCAUUCACUAUACGUAUUCUGAUUCUCAUAUAUGCAUGAUUAAUGUGAGUAUCCAUUGACUUUCUUAUUCGAUUGCCACGUCAGUUUCACUUUAUUAGUAGAGACCCGACUUUAGGGACUUUGAGGGGUGCUAUGGUCUCUACCGUACCUUCCCGAUAAGUAACCUGACCCUCGAACCCGAUCCGGUUUUUCACAGACCACCUUUUCCAAAACAAGGAGUCGCACUUAGGGUUUUUCUUUCUUAUUUUGUUUACCCUUUAAAAAUAAAACAAAAAUAAGUGGCGACUCCAAGUCAUUUUCAAAUAAUCAAUAAAAAUCAAGUUUUCAAAUAAAAAUCGAGUUCGUCAUCGAGUGGGAAACGCAUUGAGCCGAAAUGCGGGGUCCACAACUAUAUAUAACAAAUAAAAUUGAAUUAUGCAUAAUAAAAUAAAUUUUAUGAAAGGUAAGACAUACCUUAAUUAGCUUUGACUUGGAGUUAAUCCCUUUCACCAACAAAUUUUCAAAAUAAAAAAAUUUUGCUAGAUCAUAUAAGAAUUUUGAUGUAUGAAAUGGAAUGGAAUGUGGGUAUUUAUAGGAAUUUUUUGGUCAAACUACUCGUUGGAUGGUCAAAUAGCCGUUAUAAAUUAAUUUUAACCGUUGGAUCAAAAUUUGGUUCAAAUUUCACCAUUAGAUCUUCAUAUAACCGUUGGAAACACUCCAUAGCCCUUGGAUAAAGUGAAGAUUGAUUUUCCACCAUUGGAUCACAAAUCUGACCAUUGGAGGCCUUUAUAAACACACGGGUGAAAUUUGGGCCAUCAGAUCCUCAAAAAUUCAAAUUUGGCCGUCAGAUCAAAAUCCUUGAAGCUGUAAAAAAAUCACCGAUUAAUCGCGAUUUUCUCGGCAAAAAAUCGUUGAUAUAUCGGUAAAAUAGCUGAUUUUUUGGGCUCCUCCUCCGGCUUCUUCGUGCGUGCCUCUACUCGCGAUUUUUCGUCGAUUUAUCGGUGAAGCACCGAUAUUUGGCCGAUAUAUCGGCGAUUUUGCCGAUUUUUCCGUCGAUUGAUAAUCGGUGACGAUUAUUAUUUCGGUGCCGCCCAAUAUCCGAUAUUUCUCCGAAAUAUCGAUGAUAUAUCCCGAUUUUUCAAUCCCUAGUUAGACCCUUAGAGGGAUUUUAAGUAGAGAGGGCCCGAGCUUGACAUUUCUCCUCCACCUCAUUCAGAUGGUAUUCAUGUUGAGACCACUUUCUUAGAGCCUAUGAUGAUUGAGUCGUCUUACACUACAGGAGCAUCAUCUCAGCCAUCAUUCACCGAGCUUCCUCACACAGAGAUACCAUCUCAGGCACCUCACGCUUCUGAUCAUGCCCCUUGGAUGGAUGUAUCAGCUCAUAUCAGCUUCCUUGGGACUCCUAUGGAGGAGCUUGCUUUAGUCAAUGAUACUCGAUUCUACUCUAUGGAGGAUCACAUAGAUCAGUAUCAGACUGGCUUCACUUCUCGUUUUGAGCACUUCCAGCAGAGAUUUGAGCGUAUAGAGGAGCGUAUGGAUCAACAGCAGGCUACAGUUGAGCAUCUCCAGCAAAGUAUUGAGCGCAUUGAGAGUCGCCAGGCGAGUUAGCAUGAGGAGAUGAUGGCUUACCUCCGCUCCGUGUUUCCAUCUUCACCCCCUCAGCCUUGAGUUUAUCUAGAGUUCCCCCUCAAUUUCUUUUUUAUGUUGCUAAAGGGGGAAAAAUAUCUAGGAUCUAGGAAACCCUCAUGCAUAUCAUUGUCAUAUCUAUCUUGAUUAGCAUAUAUGUUAUGUUUUCGUGUACAUGUGAGGUUACCAUAUAUAUGAUAUGCUAUUUUCAUGAUCCAUUGUUUCCUAUUCAAUUUUUCAUGCUUUACAUUGUUUCCUAUUGAAAAUUGAUUGAUUGAUCCAUGAUUGGUUUGAGGGGGAGAUUUUUUUUCUCUCCUAGAUAACCAAGGUUGGUCAUCAUAAAAAAUGGGGAGAUUGUUAGCCUAAGGGCUCUCCUAAUCGGGUUUUGAUGAUAACAAACCAUGGUUAAAUGACUAAUUGGUUUAAUGGUUAAGAAUCUCAGGCAUAAACUCGAAAAUUCAUCAAAUGACCAAAUGGAUACAAGAUCGAGACAUUUGGAAGACUUGUGAUCAUAGGAAACUAAUGUAAGAUAAAUACAUGAGUGCACUUAGGAUUUUCAUACCGUUUCAUGCAAUUUAGAAAACUCGGUUUAUUUUUUAAAACUUCGAUUUCAUUAAAACCCGAGUUUUAACAAAUGUACCUUAGGCAAAAUGUUUUAAAAUUGGCAUAAUAAUUCACCUAAAAACCUUGCCUAAGUGUUAGAAAAAAAAUGAAUUCAAAAAGAUAGGUUUUUAGGGCCAAAAGGCUCAACCGGUUGGAGAACCAGUCGACCAAUUGCCCUUCUCCGGUCGAGGAAUGCACAAAAUUUUCUCUCUCACAGUAGCCUUCUCUUCCCAGUCGAGGUUAUUCUCUUCCCGAUUGAGAACUGGUCAAGGUCCGGUCGAUGACCGGUCGAGGCAACGGUAUCCUGUCAAGCAUUAAAUGCUCCAACGGCUAGUGAACCGGUUGACCCCUAGUUCGAUCGGUCGAGGUUACCUUUUGCUGUUUUUGGCUCCCGAGCUUAGAAACCUAUAAAUUGAGAGCUCCACUUCAUUUAUUGACGAGAGAACACUUGCAACUAAUUGUCUACCUACCUGUUCUUGAUCAAAAAGCUUUCAUUUCUUUCUUAGUGCAUUAAAUCUUCAAUUGCAUAUCCUUUAGUGCACUCUUGUGUGUCAUCCUAGCUUUGUCUUAUAUUUGAGCUAUCCUUAAGCUAGGUUGAGGGAUUCAUUCUUGUAAAAAUCGAGUGUUAAAGCCUUCAAGAGGUUUAAAUCUUGAAGAGAUUGUGUAAGAGCCCAUUGGAGCCGGAAUCCAAGUGUAAGAAGAUUGGAAGCUUGGUUGAAACUUUAAGUUAGUGGAACCCUCACUCAGUUAGGAGAUUGAGGAGAGUGGACGUAGGCAAGAAAGUGCCGAACCACUAUAAAAUCCGAGUUUGAAUUCUUUAACUCUAUUUCUUUAUUUUGCUUAUAUUUUGCUUGAACUCGUUGUGAUCGAAAAGAAUUUAAAAAAUCCAAUUCACCCCCUUCCCCUCCUUUUGGGUGUUUUUCUUAAUUAAGCAUAGCCUAUAUUUUCUCAUAAAUAAUCUCACAAAAUCCUAGUACAAACUUUAGCCUCAAAUUAUACAAGAUAAACUAGGAUUGAAUGGUGCACUAAUGAUAUGUAAGUUUUAAAACAAUGUGUACUAAAAAACACUCCCCUAAGGCUCAAUUAUAUUCAAGAAAGGUUUAAGAAGGUUAAACUCUUGAAACUAUAAAGAUUGAAGCGUUUUUAUAGAAGAGAAAAGCCAAACUACCUAUUGGGGGUUCGUCUGGUCGAGCUCUGGUUCGACCAGUUCACUAGCCAUUAGCAUUUAAUGUAUGAUAGGUGACCAUUGGGCCUUGACUGGUACUCAAUUGGAUGAAGUUCAACCUUGAUUGAUCGAAUAAGCAUUAUGGAAAAGAGAUAAGGUUUUUGCACCCUUCAACUGAGUAAGUUGAAUAAGUCGACUAAUUCCUCAUUCAAUUCAACCAAUUAAGUCAUUUUUUGCUAAAAAAACCAUCAUUUUCAACUUAAAACCUUUUAAACAAGUUUGGAAAGCAUUUGACAUAAGGUUUUAGUUGAAAACAUGAAAUCAUCCAAUUUUUAAAAGAUUUAAAACAAAAUAACUCUUGAAUGAUUUUAGUGUAUAAGUAAAGAAUGUAAUGCAUGAAAAACCCCAUGCACUAACAACCUUACAAAGAGAUCCUAUGAGGCUUAGGUCUUGAAAAAACACUUAUCUUUAAGGUUUUCUUCUUCUUAUUGAUUUUAUCUUUGUGAUUGCCACUUUGGAAAUCAUCUUGCCUAGUCACACUUAAAAUAUAAUCAUUAGUUCUAAACCUUGUUUUGUUAUCAUCAAAACUAAGAUUAACCAAACCUUGGUUUCACAGUAUGAAUAUUGUAUCUUUAGAUCUAUAGUUAAUAGUGGUUUUUAUAGUCAUAUGUUUCUAUUGUGAUAAAUUUAGAGAUGCCUAGGGAUAGAUGAAUGCACCCUAUGAGAUCUAGUGCAUAUGAAUGGAGUAAUCUGGGGUUCCUAACAUAGUUUAGGCUUGUGCUUCAUAGAGCGAUAACAAUUCUUCAAGCAUAGUUAUGCUUUAGAAAUUUGUUAUUGAUUGGUCCAAUUUUUAGACCAUCUUUAGCAACAAUCUUGUGGGCACCAUUGAUAUAAACUUGUUAUACAAAAUAUGAUCUAUCACAUUUUUGGCAAGAACUUUCCACUAGUUUUGUGCAUGGUAAUGAUCAUGCAUGCAAACUUAACUAAGUUAUACACUAGAUGCCAAACUACUACAAUUCUUAUACACCUUCCCAUUUUGUGCAACCGAACAAUUCAACAUCAUAACACCAAAGUUCUUGCUUAGAUUUCCUACAGUGCUAAAAUUUUGAAAUGAUUAAUUUUUUUAUUUUCCUUUCAAUACCAAGACCCACAUACAUCAUGUCAUGCCCUAAGACCCACUCUAAGGGCAUGACAAUCAUUUCACAUCUCAAGGUAGAAAGCUCAAAGUGUAAAUUGACCUUAACAUUCAUUUUGUAACUGGAAAAUUAUCAAUUACCAAAUUCAUAUUCAAAGUAGUAGAAUAAAAUUCUAUAAGUUUCAAAUCUCAACUUUAAAGCUAACACAUCAACUAAAGUGUUAUUGUCCAAACAACUUCAAACUUAACAAUUCAAGCAAUCAUUAAAUUCUAGCUUUCAAAAAAAUAAAGUUUUAACCAAAAGUCUUAAUAUUGCCAAAAUAUCAUCCUAACGAUCACUCCUAGCCCGAAUUAAGGUGCCUAAAAAAUUGUCAAUGAAAGGAAAUGAGAUCAACGCUCAAUAAGGAAUAUUAACAAAGUUUCAUGGAUCAAACAUUUUUAAUUAUAAUUCCAAAUAGGAGAUAUAAUAUAUAAUCAUUUUCAUAAAAACUUUUGAGUUUAAAUAUAAUAAUACAUUCAAAAAUUUUUAGCUAAACAUUUUCAUAUCUAUGUCAAAACAAUUUCAUAUCAAAUUCAAAUCAAAUAUAUACAAAAUAUUUUUAUUUUGGUUAUCAAAUAUCACAUGGUGUCAAGUUAGGUGGGACUUUACAAAUUGGUGUCUAGCCUCAAAUUUUUUCAUUUCAAGGUGGAUGAAACCAAACACUACUAGUAUUAUUAACAUCUAACCAAAUGCCUAAAGGGUGGAAUCUAAAGCAAUUACAUGCCCCGCCAAGAAAUAUAAGGUCAACAAUUAUAACUAGUUAACUAAGGACAAAAAUAAACUAGAGUCAAACACCUUAUUUCAUUAAUUCAAACUUACAAAACAAAAACAUCAUAUCUCCAUAAUUUUCAUUUUUUAUAAACAAAAGAAAUGUUCUAACAUAUUUUUUUCAUGAAAAAUAUAUAUUUGAUCCAUGCAUAAAAAUAAAAAUAAUUUUUUUUAUUAUUCAAAAUAACAUAUAAAAGUAAAUAUGUUCUUUUGGCCAAAACAUGUAUUAAUUUUUCUUACCUCAAAGAAACACUCAAAGACCUUGAAGCAAUUAAUCCUGAAGAAUUUCACCCCAAAAAACAUAUUUCAUACCUUACAAAAAAAAAACAAAAAAACAAAAUUACUAUUGAUUAUUUAUCUAAUAAUAGUUUCGUAUCUCAUAUCACCUAUAUUAUUUUUAACUUCCUAAUAAAUAACAAUUUAAUAAGUGAUUUUCCAAAUUUUAAAAAGUUAUGUUCUUUCCAAAAUUUAUUCAUAAUAUUCUAUUAUUAUUAAUUAAAUCUCUCAAAAAUAUGUUUUUUCUAUUUAUUGCAUUAAACUAUUAUUAUUAUUAUUCAAUUUCAAUUUGAUUAAUUGGUUUUUUCUUUUAAAUUUUUAAUUUAUAUAAGAUUCUUGUUUUGAAAAUCUUCCAUAUUUACUUAUUUGUUUAAAGUAAAUUUCUCCAAAACUUGUUCCUUUUUGUUAAACAAAUAUCUUUUCCUAUUAUUAUUAUUAUUAUUAUCCCUAAUAUUAUAUUCAAAUAACUAAACAAUAAUAAUUUAAAUUAGUGAGUUUCCAAAUUUUUAUAAAACUCAUAUUCAUUCUAAAUCUUAUCAUAUAUAUCUAUUUCUUUUAUAUAAUUAAAUUAAAUUAAAAAUUUUACUUAAAUAUAUAUAUAUAUAUAUAUAUAUAUAUAUAUAUAUAUAUAUAUUAUAUUAUAUUAUUACUUUCAACAUCCUUCUACCACCGAAACAAUUACCUCAAGUAAAAGUCAUCUAUCCUUAUUCUACUAACUACCCUCUCUCUUGCAAUAGCACACUUAGGGAUGGCAAUGGGGCGGGUUCAGGAUAGGUCACCCCCAUCCCAACUCCACCUUGUUUAUUCAAAAUAAUUAUCAUCCUCGUCCCAUUUAAAAAAUUAAAUGAGACGGGGCGAGUAUGAUAAAUUCUCAUACUCGCCUCGUCCUGCCCCGUUUAACUUUUUUUUGAAUUUAUUUAUUUAUUUAUUUUUAAAAUUACUUUUAAAAUUUUUAAUUACAUUAAAAUAAAUAUAUUUUAUAAAUAAUUAAAUAAUUAUAUUUUUUAUUACUUAUUUUAUUAAAAAUAUUUUAUUAUUAUCUAUAUAUUAAAAAUAGUAAAAUAAAAAUUAAAUUAAAUUAAUUUUAAAAAUUAAUUUUAUAUAUAAUUGGGGCGGGGUGGGACGGGGCAAUACCCAAACCUGCUUCGGGUUUUAAAAAAAAUUCUCAAACUUGUCCCAAACCCGUUUAUUAAAAUUGAACUCCGUCCCAUUAGGGACGAGGCGAGUACCUCGAAAAAACCUGCCUUAUUGUCAUUCCUAAGCACACUUUCAUUUUUUUUUUUUCAUUUUUAUUGCUUUUAUCUUUUUCCUCCCUAAGAUCAAUCAUAUUGUAAGCACCCCUUUUUUUUUUCUACCACAUCUUGUUGCAAUCAACCUUGUAAGUUUUUUUAAUUUAAAUUUUUUUUCCACUAUGGAGGCACGUACAACCAUAAAACCCCAUCUUUUUUUAUUUUAUUUUUACAACUCUCAAAUCUCUCAACCUCCAUACUAUUAGGUUUUAUUCAUUCAUUUAUUUAUUUAUUAUUCCAUAUCCAAAACUAUAAUUAAUUUUCUUUUAUAUUUUUUUAUUUUAGAUCUAUUAAUUUGAAUAUUCAAAAUUUCUAAUCUUUACUAAUAACUCUAAAGCAUUCAAAACUAAUUAAUAAAUAUAAAAUAUUAAUCUAAGGAUUAAAAUCUUAUAUAGAAAAUUGAUCUUCAAAUCUUAAACCCCCAAAUUUUCAACCUUACAUUGCGUUGUCUAAUAUCUCAAAUCUCCAUGUAAAAGGGCUUUUGAAUAGAGUAAAUAAGAAAAAUUUAAUUUAUACCUAAAAUUUUUAAAAUAGAGAAAAAUCUUUCUACCCUUAUUAAUUUAAUUUAAUUAAUUUUUUAAAAUUAUGUUUUUACCCUUUAAUUGGGUUUGGGCAUCACACAUCAUACUAAAAAGUUAUCAAUAACCGUCCUUUGAGGCAUAUUAGCAUAAAUUUGCAACUUUAGUUGUGUUCUAGGUGCAAUUCUAUUAUGUUUAAUUGAAAAAUAACACACAUAGCACAACCAAGCCUAAUUGAAAGCAUUUGGGCAAAUAAAUGGUAAAUUUCUAAAAGUUCACCAAAACAAAAAAAAAGAUCAUAGAGGGCAUAUUUUUCAAGUCAACCUAGUUUUGGGAUAGCCACUUUCAAGCCUAAUGAUGUUAAGAUGUCUUAUUGCAAUCCAAUCUAAGAAUGCAAUAAUAGCUCUUUAAUUCAUAAUUUUAAAUUCACAAAAGAUAUCACCAAAAAUUACCAUAGGUUACCAAAGCAUCAACAACAUACAGAAAGCUUAGAAAUGCUUGGAACCUAUCGGAUUUUCACUUUUUAGGAAUAAAAAAAAAAAUCAACUUUAAGGAUUUUAGGGUAAUACUUGCUUGAACCAUCUUUCAAUCCUUUUGUUGGUGGUGGGCCUUUUACCUAUAGGAACAGGAAUAAGAGGUGAAAAUGAGGGAGCCUUAUGAAAACAGAUCCCUAGGGCUUAAGAAGGGGUUUUCAAUUUUAGGGUUUGCCUUUUCACCAAGGAUGUGAAUGGGAAGAUCAAGUGAAGUUAAGAGAUUGGUGAAGCAAAGUGAGGGCAUGGUAGGGUUUGAAUAAGGGAAAUUCUACACUAUUAAUGAAGAUGAUAAUCUCGAGAAAGCAAAGCUAAGGUAAACUAGGGUUUUAAUAACAUUUUUCAAUCUACACUAGUGAAGACGAUAUCUUCGAAAACCAAAGCUAGGGUAAGCUAGGGCUUUAAUAAUGAAUUUCAAUCUACAAUGGUGAAGAUGAGAAUCUUCGAAAACCAAAUCUAUAAUGGUGAAGAUGAUUGAAAACUAAAUCUAUACUGGUGAAGACGAUUGUAAAGCAAAUCUACACUAGUGAAGAUGAUAAUCUUCGAAAACCAAAUCUAUAAUGGUGAAGAUGAUUGAAAACUAAAUCUAUACUGAUGAAGAUGAUUAGAAAGCAAAUAUUCACUGGUGAAGACAACGAAACCAAAGGUAGGUCUUCUAAACUAAACCCUUUUAGGGAUUUUCCAUUUUUUUUCCUUUGUUUUCAAGAAAGGUAAACUCUCUUGAAAACCAAAAAACUAAUGCAUUCUUAAAUCCAGAUCACCAUUUUCAACAUAGUAUUUGGAUUUCCACCUUGCAUUUUUUAUUUUUUAUUUUUUUUAAUAGUCAAGGGCAUUUUAGGGAUUAUUGAAGGAUAAUAUCAAUAAGCUCAAUUUCCUACAUUAGUUAGGUCUUAGGCUCAAAUGUGAAACUUAUAGGGAUGUUAGGCCAAUUAUCAAACUUACUUGCCUAAAGCAUAAUUUCCCCUUUUCAAAAUAGUUGUUAAACAUCAAUCCCAAACAUGUGUAACCCUUUGAAGUACUUGUAUGUCAACCUUGUUUCCUUUCCCUCAUGCAACAUGACUUAUUGAUGGUUGCAUUGAAUCAUUAUCAUUCACCAAAUCCAUGCAACUAUGGACUACCUUUCAAAUCCCUUGAACAUAAAUGGUAAUUCCAAAACAACUCAAGUAUAAUCUUUCCGGCCUUUCAAAUGAUUUAAUUAAUUGAUGUUUGAAUAUACUUCAUAUAUUUUUUUAGAGCAAUUUUUAGGCAUAUGACAUAAAUCUCUAAUUUUUUUUAUUUUUAUAAAAGGUUUUAUAUUUUAUAUUACAAUUUCCUCUCUUUUUUUUCAUCUAAAAAACAAAAUAUAAAACCUUAAUAAACGAGUUUUGUCACAAUCCCUUAAAAGGUAAUCUAUUUUUAAAAAUUACUUUAACCAUUUUAGAUAUAUUGAUUCAGUCUAAUUUAAUUUUAAUAUUUUUUAUAAAAUAUUUUUAUUUUAUAUGAUUAUAAAUUAAUUACCAUUGAUUGCAUAUUAUAGAAUAUAUAUUCUAAAAUAUAUCCUAUUGACAAUAAUAUCAUAAGAUAUUAUAUCCAUAUCCUAAUAUAUUAUAUACUUUUAUUUUGUGCAAUUAGCAACAGGGUGGAAGACGGCUUAGGCGGGAGACGGCUUAACGGAAAUGUCGUCUGCCAUGCGUGUCCCUUCCCUUAGUGAGUCUGAACAGCUCCAACAUUUCUGACACGCCCUUCUUCGGUUAGCUCUUAAGUAUUUUCGUUAACCCCAUCACAUUUCGCCAUGUGGAUCUAAGCCUCAUGGUCCUUUCGUUCGUACUAUGAAUAUAUUCCUUAUCUAGAGUCUGGAUCCUUUAUCUCUGCACGUGUCUAUGGCUCUUCACCCCAGCAAGUAUGGCAUUACAAGGGCAAUAUCGUCAUUAAAGACCCAAAAGGCAAACGAAUGGCAUUAUCUUCCUUUUGGGUCUAUUCUAUUUAUAUUUAUAUUGCAAGUUAUUCGUGAUGACUUCUCUCAUAACAGCUAAAAACCACUCCAACAGAGCACACUUCACUUCUUCGUUUUUGUCUUUCCUCUUUUUUUUCCAGAGAAGCUGAGAAAGCCCAGCUUGCCCUCAACUCCCCGAUGGGUUUGAUGAAUGUUCUCAAAUUCUCAGCUGCAUGCUUUGAUCUUCUUGGCUGGUAUGUUGUCCACGGAUUUUCUCGUCAUUGGAAAAUGAAGUGGAAUUCUAUGUUUGAGGACAAAACUGGGAUUUGCUUUGAUUUCUCCAUGUUGGUUUUAUCCCUUUCCUUUGAAUUGUCCACAUUCUUGUCAUUGGUUGUUAGUUAUUUGUUUGGAUUUCUACUUGCAGGCCUCUGUUUGCACUGGGUUAUCCUCUGUAAGUCUUGGUCUUACACCCCAAGAUAUGAUCAUUCAUUUACUCUUUUCUUGUUCUAUGAAUUCUUAGUUCUGUUACAUUUAUUGGGUUGGAUUAUUAGUUAUUAUAUUAAUAAUCAUCAACGUCAUCUCGGUUCUUCACAGAUGUGCUUCAAUUCGGGUAAUUGAGACUAACUCAAUCUCAGACGUUCGGAAGUUGGUGGCGUAUUGGGUUCUAUUUUCCUUGGUUUCACUCUUUGAUCAUACUUUUGCCAAGCUCCUUGAAUGGUAAUUUUGCUCAACUGCAUUCCACUAUAUGUGGCUCUAUUUCUUUCAUUUCUCUGCCCUUAAGGAAUUUGGAGUUGCUUUUUUCAGUUUUCUUCCCUGUGAAAAUAAUCGAGAUGUUUAAUGUUCCAGGCCUGCAUGCUCAAGGAAGUGGUGUCAGCUUUGGAAAUAAGAUGGAUCUACUAGUUUUUAUUUCUCAUCUUUAUAGGGAACUUUCCAUAAUCACAGUGAUGAAUAAUUGUCUUGUUUGAAAGCAUGGUUGCACUUAUUUCCAUGGAAUUUGUCUGCUGAGAAACAAAUGGAAAUAGAAAAUUCAGAAUCUGACAAGUUUGUGUAGGGCAACUGGAUCUAAUCUCUUAGUCGAAGCUUAAUUGGGGCAAAUGCUGAUCAUCUUUGGACCAUUGAAGGCUCUAAUCUGUGCACAAUUCUAAUGUUUUUGUUUUCUUCAUUUCUUUUUCAACUGUUCAUAAUAGAUGUCAAAAGAUAAAACCGAACUUAUGUAGUCCAUCCAAGUGGAUGCAUAUAAAUUUAACAGAAACUGAAAUUCGAAGAAAUUUAUUUAUUUUUUUAAAUAUUUUAUUUUCUUAUAUAAUGCAUGUCAGGAUACCAUUCUGGCCUUACAUAAAGCUGAUGGUCAUCUGCUGGAUGGUGAUACCGCAUUUUGAUGGUUCAUAUUAUGUCUAUCAACACCUAGUUCAUCCAUGCUUGUCCAUUGAUCCACAAGUUGUCAUGAAUUGGCUUUUCAAUGAAUCAAAAAAGAAGUUUCAUAGCAGAGAAAACUUUCUUGUUUCAGCAGACCAAUAUAUUAAGGAGAAUGGACCUGAAGCUUUGAAGAAACUACUUGCUAGGAAGGUAUGCCAUUAUAAGUAGGAUUAUCAACAAGUCAAACAGAGUUUUAUUUGAGAUGUUCAAGUAAAAAAUGACUAUAGCAGGUCAUCUAGAAUUAUGUGGUCUAAAUUCAUGUAUAUAUCUAUAUAUAAUUGUGUUCUCUUUUUUUCACAUAUGCAUGUGCAUUUAGAUUUACAUAAUUAUAUAUGCAUAAUCAGAUUCAACUGUGAUAGCCCGGGAUUUAAUUCAGUAAUCAACUCUUCUGGGAACAUGUUGGUUAUGGUUUCUCUCUCACUGUCCUCUUAUUUAUACAUGACUUUGGCUUCAGUUGAGGAGCACAAAGCCUAAUGUUGAAGUGAAAGAGAUCAAAGCACCUGCAGCACCGGAGAAAAAAGGGGAAGCGGUAUGCACUCUAAUGUGGCUAUUUUAUUUCUAUGGAGGCAGAUCCCCAGAAAAAUGUUGCUCAUGUAAAUUAGUGAUGCAUUUAAAAGAAAAACCACUUUAUGUAUGUUUCUGUGAAAAAGAGAACAAGUUUAUGGAUUAAGUGAUAUUUUUUAUGGUGAAAUAAUCAAUAAUUUUCAAAAUAAUAAUAUAUUCGUGCAUGUUUUUGCAAUUCAUGAAUUCCUUUUACGAUUGAUUCUUCUCACCUCAGUGGAAGUGUGAAGAGCCUAAUGUUGCAGAAAAGGAGAUCCAAGUAGUCAAAGUAACAGACAUAAAAAAUGGGGGGAUGGAGCAAAGAGGGUAAGUUUUCCUUUUUAUUUAUAAGGAAGGCUGUCUUCACACAAGGAUUAUUGUUAUUAUUUUUAAGACAUGAAUGUUGAAUGCAUUUGGAAUUGUCGUUGAAUCAUGUGAAGUGUGAAGGUGCAAAUGGUGCUAAGAAGGAGAUCAAAGUGAUGGAAGUAACACAGAUAACAUUUGGUGAUACAGAACAGUGGGUAAGGUUUCUUGUCAUACUUAAACGGCACCUCAUAUUUCACUAGGAUUAAUUUUGGCCUACAAACAUAUUUGGCUACAAGUUGAAGACAGAUUUCCAGAUACUGGUAGAAGUUGAGACAUAAGUAAUGAAUGAGUUUAGAAACAUGCACAACUCUUGUGUGAAACACAAUGAGAGUGGAAAAUAGCUAAGUUGAAAAAUGGCCAAAUACUAUUUUGUAGUUCCCCCCACCACUUAAGUAAUUUUUGUCAUCCUUUGUGAAUGGACAAUGCAGUCCCUUCAGUAAUUCCGCUAUAUUCAUGACUUGGUGAAGCAUAUAACCAUUAGUGUCUUGUCCUAAGUUGACCUUUAAUGAUGAUCCAUUGAGAGGGAUCUGACUUUUGUCAACCCUCUUAGAGGUUAAACAUACGGGGCUUAACCCACUUUUCAAUCUCAUUGGAUAUAUGGCACGUGGUAUCCUCUUCAUCUUGAAAGAGUGAAGUGGUCAUACUCUUUCCUCCGAGUCCAUCGUGGCCAUGCACUUCUGGCUCAUUGGGCUGAGUGAAAGGAUUCCCUUCUGCUUCAAAUCAUAGAGAGAUAUGCCAUGGUCAGCCUCUUUAAUUUGAAGGAUUGAAGUACUCAAAUCCAUUUCUUUGCAUCCAUCUUAGUCCUGCUUCCAUGUCUCAUGGUUAACCAGGAAGAUCAAGCUUCCAUCCAUGAGAUCAGCAUCUGCAGGGUUAUGACUCCACCCUUCCUUGGCAUAGGAAAGCGAUCAUUAAGCCACAUGUCGGAUGACAGAAGUCGUCAUUCAGGUUAUCUUGAGAACUAGGGAAGUUGGAAUUCUAAUUAUUGCAUAUGGUUCUUGAUGUUUAGCCAAUAUACUAUAGGAUUUUAAGCAUCAUGCCCAUGUGCAUUGUGGUUUUUUAUCAGCUAUAUGGUUUACCAAACUGAGGGAUUGAUUAUAGUCAUAAGUACCCUUUUCCCAUUAAUUUCUUGCAUGUGCUUUGCUGAGAUUAUGUUUUUGACAGUGCUAAUCAGGGCAAACCAACAAACAGCUUUAUGUUAACUUUUACAAACUGCCACAUUUUCAGGUUGAACGAUCAGACAUAAAUCUUGGUGAAACUAGAAGUAAUACAACCUGUGCUGUGGAGAUAAAAGAAAGGGCAGCAGCACUGGUGGCUGCAGAAAUUGAGGCAUGUAGAGACAAUAGAACCCCCGAGAUACCUCUGCAUAAGAAAGUCCAGAAAGAGUGGGCUUGUGCUGUAUGCCAGUUCACAACCCAAAGUGAAGUGACCUUCAAUUCCCACCUUCAAGGGAAGAGACAUCAGGCCACUUCUGAGCAGUUGAGAGCCAAAAACCAGGCAACCAAAACCAAUUGUUCCCCAUCUGCUUCAAAGGCCAAGAAAUCUGAUCAGUCCACCAAAGAGGAGCAACCAAAGUGUCCUUCCAACAAUCUGAAUUCCAAAAACAAUGGAAUCUCAGCUGCUUCAACAGUGAAGAAACCUGACGAGACCAAAGAUGAUGAGCAACAAAAGUGUGCAUCCAGCAAUGGACCAAACCAGAAGAAUAACAAAAAGCAAGAGGAGAAGGUGCUAGUUCUUGAGACCAAUGAGCAAGGCCAUCAGAAUAAUUUUGAUCCACGAUCCCACAUUUAUUUUGGGUCUCACAAGUUUCAAAUUUGCAGAAAAAUGAAAGAUGUUUGAGAGAAAAUUAAAUCAUAUUGCACUACUGUUAGGAAAAAUAUGGCUGAAUCCAAUUGCUUUUCUUCUCCAAGUCUAUUAAAAAUAUAAUUUUUUCUCCAUUCCUGACAAAAUUUAAAUUUUUUCCUUAAAAAAAAAAAAAUUAAGUUUGAUCACCUAACACAUCUUUCUAAACUCAAUCUCAACUUGAAAAAUCAAACCUUAAUGGAUGGACUAUAGAAAUAGUGAGAAAACACUUCUGGGGUUUUUUUUUUCUUCCAACAUCAAAUUUUUCUAUAUAUGGGAUUUCACAUGCAAAAGCAGGAGUAGAUUUGCUUGUGUUUGAUGUAUGUAUUAGAAAAAUUUGUCCCUUCUGGGAUGUUUAAUACUUUUCUAUUCUUUUAUAUGCAUGUUUAGCUAGAAGAUAUAGAAUCGAUACCAUUCCUUAAAAGUGAUAGCCACAACUGUGAUAAUUAAACACCAAAGAAUGUGAAGAUCUAUAUAUUCUUUUUUUUUUCCUCUCUCUUUCAAUAAUGAAGCUAAGAUGUGUUGUAAGCAUCAAAUGCAUUGUCUCUGCUUGAAUAUAUACAAAGCCAAGGACCACAAGAUGGAUAGAUAUGGGGACGCACAAAACUUCUCAAACAUGAUUAUAUUAAUCAAGAAUUCAACUAAGCUUAAAUUCAAGAUGUUGAUUUCUAGCAUCUCUGGUGCUAUAGGAUGACUAUUGAUCCUGUACUGUUAUGUGCCCUACUGAUAUAUUCUUCGGGUUGUUAUGUAUAAAUAAAAUUUUUGGGAAAGUUUGCUUGGUGGUUACACUAUCACUAUUUAGGCCAGUAAAAAUUGGAAGCCUUUGUAAAAAACUGAUGGUCCAAGAGCUAUUCUACUUCAUCAUCCAUGUAAUAUGACGAUACAAAUUUGACUAAAUGCAGCUAUAGAAGGCUUAGGACCAUAAACCAAGCCUAGUCGAUGUCACUCACCUAAAUUUAUGCAUAAAGCUUUUGGAUGGCUCAGAGUUAUAUUUAAUUACUGUUAUGUUCGCAACUAUAUUUUCAUUGGAUUUAUAGUCCAGCUUGAGAACUAGUCCUCCAUUGCACAUAAUGUCCACACAAGGCCACAGUGCCCGCUCAAAGGCCAUAGCGCUACUCAAGGAUAUAGUGCUUACUCAAGGCCAUAGAGCCCACCUAAGGCUAACGACCCAAAAGGAGAAAAAGGUUGGUUCCACGUACUCUAAUAUUUACUAGAAAAGGUUCUUCCUAUUAAAGAACAAAAAAUUGCAUUCCCUUGUGACCAAUCCAAACAGUAGACCACUGACUUGUAUAAGGCAUUAUUCACCAUGCAAGCACUUUUUCAGCAACCUACCAUCUGGCAUGAACCAUUUUGGAUUGAUUCACAAAGCAAUGGUGUUAUAUUAAGCAUAUUCAAUAUAGAACCAAAUUGUGCCUCCUUAGAUUAACUAAAAUAUUUCCAUUGCAAGAUGUGCAGAUAGGCAUAUGAUCAUGAAGUAAUUUCCUGAUGAUAAUACCCCACAAAAUAUUUCUUUUUCUCACUGAUCUCUCCUAGAUUUUCAGUUCACCCAUCCAUGGCGCCUGACUAAAAAUGGGGGCAUUUUGGAUACCCCGAGCAGUAAGUUAGCCUGGUAGGCAUCCCGUUGCAAGCAAAGUCAACCCGAGCGGUCCAUUUGACCAAAGCUUAUCCAGGCAGUAAGCGUCCAUAUACAGCUAACUGUUAUGCACCAUCAACAGGUUGAGGUUACAAGAUUAAAGAGUCAUAAUGGCCAAAUGGAAGUUACACGACUCGGCCUAUAUAAUAACAGUAUGACAAAAAAUGCAGGUAUGAAGAACUAUCACUGAAAAAAUUUAUUCCUAAAAAUCCUUUAAGCUCCUUUAAGCUAACUUGGGCAUUGGAGAGGUCUCUCCGAAGCACACUCGAGCUUACCUUUUUGUAAGACAUCGAGAACAAGAGGCAUUGAAGUGAUUGUCCGGAGGGUUGAACUUGGUCGGGAACCAACAAUACACACUAUUCAAAAAUAGGGAUCAUAUUAAAUUAUUAAUGCAACCAUAGGAAGCAAUUGAGGACAAGGGUGUUAUUUGAUUAAAAGGGUAAUUGAAAACCUAAAUUUUGAAAUUUAACCCUCCAUUCUAUUUGGCCUUAUGUGAACAAAAAUGCCUUCAUUAUUUUCUUGUAAAAAUAACUCACCCAUUUAAACCUUACAUGAAAAUACUUAAAAUGGUAAAUGAUAUGUUAAAAAUUGAUUAUUUUUCAAAUAAAACAUAAGAAGGGUCAAAUUCAUGAAAGGAUUAUUUCAUCCCUUUUAAUCAAUUAAUUCGAUUUAUUUCUUUUUAUUUUUUUUCUCUCCAUGUUAAUUUUCACAUCACCCAACAACACCACUCUUAAUUCACACAAGUUUGAAGUUUUUGAAUGAGAUAUAUUCGUAAUUAUAUUGUAAUUGUGUUAUAAUAACCAUUUCGUACUUGGAUUUGUUCUUUCAGUCCAUUUAACCUUUUUGUUUAUUCAUGUCAAAACAAUGUACUUAUAAUCGAAUCCAUUUAUGACAUGUUGAUCUUAUAUAAAUUUAUUAAUUUUAUAUAUUUAAAAAUUAUAAAAAUUAAAUAUACUUUUUCAAUUAUGAAUAUCAUAUUACUAAAAUAUUAAAUAACAAAUUAACUUGAAAUGCUAUAUAUUUCAUUAAUUAUUUUAUAAUUAAAACAUUAAAUGAAAUAAUAAACAAGUAUAAAAUAGAAAAUUCUAUCUUAGUUAGAAAUUAUAAACUGUUAUUGAGACAUAUAAGUAUUAAAAUUCUACCCAUUUCACUACCAAACAACUUAUGUUUUUAGUCAUAAUUUAACCUUAUGAUGAACACUUAAAUAAAAUUUGUCAUCUUUUUCUAUUGAUUUAUAUUUAUUUAUUUAAAAAUUUUGUCUGGCAUAAACUAUCAUCUCACAAAAUCAUCAUUGAUGAGUAGGCUAUGCCCCAGUGUAAGCAUCUCCAAAUCAAACAUCAAUGAGAGGAGUACAACCAAUCAUACAUCAUCUUAUCAAAAUGAAUCUCCGCUUUUCAAAGUCAUCGUGGUAACGUGAAGAGAGUAUUUGACCUCCUCUAAAGAAAAAACAUGUCUUGAUGUGAAAAAGAUCAAGCAAAGUGGUAUGCCUCAACAAAAAUGUGCUCAAACAUGAUCAUGCCCCGAUGUAAGUUAGUAUCUCUAAGAUCAAUCGCCAAUGAAAAGGUUAUUCCCCAGUAUAGGGCAAACUCUGAAAUGACUAAACUCCGUUGCAAGCUCUCAUAAGUGUCUGUGUCAUGAUCCAAUCAUCGCAAAAAUUUGUCAACAAUGAUGAGAAGGCUAUGCUCCUAUAAUCACAUCAAAGAAAUCACUCGGUCAUAUUACUCCAAUGUGAAAGAAAUCUAAUCACCUCCAAGGAACAGCUAUGCCUCAAAACCAUCAUCGACUGAGAGGGGGAUGCCCCUGAUCCAAUCACCACCCUAACUAACGUACCCAUCAUGAGGAACACUUGUUUGAGCUCCAUAAUGGGGAUCAACCAUUAGAUGAACAAGAUUCGAAUAUUACUUGCUCCCCAUUUCAACCAAUGAAUGAUGUACCUGGAAACCUUGUAGACAACCAUAGUUUUCAGCCUUCUUCCUCGCGAUCAUCUAGAACAGAGUCGGUAAGCUUCACUCAUUUCUUAUAAUGGACCUUGACCCACAACGUCGAACUACCUGUAUGCAAAAUUAUCCGUCCAGAAAACCCAUCCAUACAAUUCAGGUUCAAAACCCACAAGAACCACCCUAUGAAUAAACUAAUUAUAGCUGGCUUCGUUGCAAUAGGCAUUAACUUUCUUAUGCUGACAGUCCUAGCAUCAUUUACCAAAGGAUCAACAACUUUUCCAUGUCAGAGAACAUUAUCAAUCACAAUGACACCCCUGGUCCUCACUAGUUGCGAUAGCAAUUUAAAGUAUUCUUGAUUCAAAGGGUAAACAAAACAAAAAAGAAAACCCUAAGUGUGACUCCUUAUUUGAAAAAUGUGGUUUAUGAAAAACCGGAUCGAGCUUAGGGGUCAGGUUACUUAUCGGGAAGGUACAAAAAAAACCGUAGCACCCCUCUAAGUCCCUAAAAUGGGUCUCUAUUGAUAAAAUGAAGCAAUCAUGGCAAUUGGUAAGGAAAUCAUUGAGUAUCAACAUGAUCACACAUUGAGAGUUAAAGCAUGCAUGAGGAAUGGUCAAAGUGAGAAAGGAUGCGUACCUUAGCAACGAGUCCCAAUGCGCUAUCAAGAAAUUGGGUUAGUGCACAAUCAAUAAAUAUAAAAUAUAACACACAUGCAUCACUAAAUAGGGUAAUAAAUCCCCGAUGACAAACCUUGCACUUCACUCAGGUUUAUUUCUACUUCUCUGAUGUUGGGCCCCACCAAAGCUCAUUUUAUUUUGCAUGAAUCAACUCCAAUAACUCCAUUAUUCGGAAUUACGAAAUUUAAUUCUUGCUUAUUUUAAAGCAUUUUAAAAAUAGAGGAGAUAUGAGAAUUGCUCGCCAGAAAAGAAGAUGGCGGCAAAAUUUUAAUGAAAAACGAGUUUUUGGAACCUAAGAAAAAUGUUAAGGAUGGAAAAUUUUGGAGGUUUGAAAUUAAUUAAAAAUUAGAAUUGAGGAAUUUAUUUACAAAAUGGGGUUUAGGAAAAUUAUUUUCAAAAAAAAAAAAUGAUGAAAUGAGAGAUGGCACGUGACACAAGGGUGGCCAUGCUGAAGGCGUUCUCUUCUGGCCCAAGCUGGAAAUGCACUCCAAUUAUCCUUCUUUUCUGGUAUAACACCUUCAUCAAAAUAAAUAGCUUUUGCACCAUACUCUGAUAGACAAGGACCAAUAACAAUGCCUAUAUUUGCCUUAAGUAGACAAAGUAAGUCACCCAUUGAACCUCCAAUAUAAAUUGUCAAGUGCUCUGUGUCAUUACUGCAUCCCUCCUUCAAGAUGUCCUUAGAAACCUAAAGCUUUUCCACGACAUACUCCAUCUUCUUAAUGAUUUCACCCGUGGAAAUGGAUUCUUCACAAGCCAACUCAUUUGAAUAUACUCUCAAAACACCCAUAUCACCUGAUGAAAAUGCUGAUCUAACGAAAUCGCCACACCAACAGUAUGAAAGUCCAUGAACAUCUGCUUUCAGAUUAUUAUUUUUAAGAAUCUUUUGGAAGAAACCUGUGCAACCAUCUUGAAGAAUUAGACCUUGACCAACCUGUUUUAUAUCAUCUGAAUUUAAACCCUUCAAUACUCCAGACUGAGUCACUCUUGAAUCUGCCUUUUCCUCAAAAUCAGAAAGUUGCUCAAGUGCUUUACAUAAGCCUUCAUAAUUGAAUUUUUCCACUGUUUCACUGGGGACGAUGCUUCCCAUGCAUUUUUCAAGCUCUUCAGUAUGCUGGGUAGAUAGAACACCCCAUGUGUGUGUCCAGAUCACCAUGAGUGACCAUUUGAACCUUGACGAAUGAGAGAGUACAUAACAUUUAAGCACACAGGACAUAUAUUAACAUUCUCCAUUAGCUUCUCUUUGCCUUUGUCCACCUCUUGACCUCCCAUGCAGCCAACUGUGAAGACCACGUCCAGGUGCAGUCACGUGGUGACACAUCUCAUGGUCUUCCUCAUCCAAUAAAUCACAUGCUCUGUUAAAUCUGCUACCCGAAUGGAUACCUCCUAUCCAUCAACCUGAAUAUACUCCGAGCUUUCUUCAUAAAACCCAAGAAACUCCAGAAGGCAUCAUGGUUCUCCUCCAUCAUUGAAAUGAUUAGGGAUAGUAAAUCACUCAUCCCUUAGCAAUAUCCCAUUUUUAAACCAUAGGGUGCGUAGGCUUCUAGAAUAGUAGCAAAGUGAGCAACACGGAAAAUCUUGCGUGGAUCCAAGUUCCAUGAUGGUGAUCGUAGCCUCACCUUUGAAAUCACAAGACCCAGAACCCAUUCGUUCUUCCUGGUAAUAACUAUCAGAUGCAUAGGAGGCAGGGUUCUUCAGAUUGUUGAUUUGGUAAAAGCCUCUUCUGGUUGAACCCCUGAAUGAUUCACUUUUCUCAGUCCGCAAACCUAGUUCAGAACAGCCCGCAAGAUCAGAACCUUAACCUAGGCGUGGAGAUCCAGUGUUGUAUAACGCCUCAAUUGUCGGAAGCAGCCAUGGCCCAAACAAUGAUAUAAUGGUCAGCAAGUUGUCCCCAAGGACCAUGACAGUGAUGAGCAUUUCCGGGCAGCGCGUCACCACGUUCCACGUCGCGACGGUAAUGGCUAUGGACUGAGUGUCAUGGUCAGGGAGCUUGAUGAAGCAGGUGAAAAUCUGGUGUUUUAGAUUCUGAGGCAAUGACUGCUUGAUCGGUCGGAUUCUAGUACCGGCGUUACAUUGGGGAGGCAAUCUUAAAGUUCCAACGGAGGUAGUAGUGGACUAAUAUUCCUCAAUAACCAAACUUGAGUUUCUCACUUUCCGCUUCUCAAGGCAUUCACCUGAAACGCUUCAGGCGCCCAAACCCUUUCUGCUCAUCAGUAUAAUCACGCGCAUGAAAGUCUUAACUGCCUUCUAAACUUCACAACUUCAUCUUGCAUCUGGGUCAUCGUCGGCACGAACUUAUCACCUGAUUCAGUUAAUAUCCCCAUAUAACAAGUUCCAAUGAAGUCGCAACUUUGCAUCUUCUUUUCUGCGAUUACUUUGAUUCUCAAAGCCGAUUACUUGUUGCAGUCCAUAGGAGAUUCAAUAAUCAAACAUCAUGCACAAGCAAAAAGGCAACAAAAUACAUCGGCAUGUGGCCCAUACACCCUCCAAAAUCUUCACUCAUUUAGUAAGUUUUAGAUUCAAAAGAGUUAGCCUUCUGGUGAGCAACCCGAUACCCAUAACGAAUGAUGUAUCUGAAACACCUUUCCCACGUGGCCCUUGAAGGAUUCACUAGAAGGUGACCAUGCAUAGUAGGUCUUCACUCGCAGGAGAAUGAGAAGGAAAUAAACCUAAAGGGGGGUUGACAGCGUAGUCUAGAAGGUGAUGAGCUGAGCGGGUGGGGGUAUUAGGGUGGUCAAGUUCAGUGGGUAUGAAGGGUGGAAAGAUGGCAUGAUAGAGGAAUAAGCAGCUGAUAGUGGGUGCGAUGAUAUAAGGUAGGUUGACUAUGGAGAGUAUGGCAUUAAAGGAUGAAGACUUAGAGAGAGAGAGGUGGGUUUAAGGGUAUGGUGAGAUGGAGGGUUGAGGGUGAUAGGCUUGGAUAGUUGCAUGAGGAGGAUGAAAGGUGGGUAUGGAAAAUGUGCAUGGGUAGGAAAUGGGUAUAACAAUGGGUGUGAAUAUUGAGAGGUAGUGAAAUGAAGGCAGCCUUGCUCGUAUGGAUCAGUGUCGGAUUGAGUUAAGAAUGGUGAGAGAAAGGGAUUCGAUGAAUAUUGAAUGAUGGAAAAUGGUGAUUGGUUAGAUAGGGAUUUGUGGUCGAAUGGAAAUAGGAGACAUGAACAUAGAGAUGAGUGUGAUGGAUGAUAGUGGGCAUGAAGGGUAUUGGAUUUGUUCAUGGGUAUAGUGGUUAAAAGAGUGGUGAGAAGAAAAAAAAAUGGCCAUGUAAAUAGCAAUUAUACAUGUGGGCCCGUGAUUGCAAACGGGACUGCAUUGUUGCAUCUCAUGCUGAACCCUCACCUCCUUCUAGGAUCAUUUUCUGCAUCAAAGCUAGAUAAACUUAGAUGGUAUUUCCUGCCAAUUUUGGAUGCCCCCCACUUUGGAAAUAUUUCCUUUUCACCCAUCAGAAUAUGCUUAUCAGGUGUACUUGACUCAGGUUCAUUCCCAUAUUGCCUCUCUGAUUUAUGAUCUUCAAAGGUUUUGCAUGAAGGAAGCCUUUCACUGCAUUCCCCUUCAUCCACCAGACCUUCAGAGCAUCGUUUCCAACAAAAGCAACCUUGACUCUUCUAGUCCCAUCAGAAAAAAGUCUGAAUAUCCUCAGUUUAUGUCAUCCCUUGAUGCCCAACUCAGAAAUGAUCCAAAAAACAGUCAUCUCCCAUAUUUGGCUUCCCAGAAACACCUCGACUCAGAUGGCCAGUCCAAAUGUGAUACCCAACAUUCUAAAAAUGCUAAAAACAGAGGAGAUGAUGAAGAAAAACAGAGCAUGUAUAAAAGAAAAAAAAAAGGACUGUUAAAUCUCACUCCAUUCCAUAAAUGCUAAUGGGGUGGAUAUGGUGGAAUCAAAAGGAAGCAAGAGCGUGAUCUUCAAAAUCAAAAGCAAUGAUGGAUCCAUAUUCAAAACGUUCCAGAAUAGAGAAAGACACAAAUAAGGAGCAGGGUUUUUUUUUGUUACUGGCAGGAAGAUAUUUUUUCUAGAGAGUAACUAGAGAGAAAAAUAGGAAGAAAAGGGAAGAGCAUAGAAGACAUCUACAUAGGAGAGUAUUCAUUGUUGUGAGGAGUAGUAGAGAGCUUAGGAGGAGUUACAAAGAGAGUGAGUUUGGUUAGAGGAGGAAGUUUUGUUGGUUUUUCAGAAAGGAUUCUAGCUUGAGUGAGAGCCAUUCUAGAGAGGGUUAGAGAGGAGAAAGGUGUGUUUUGAGCAGCAAAGACACGAAGCAAAAUAGAGCAGCCAGGAAAGAGAAGCAGAAAAUCAAAAUUACUAAAAAAUUAGUGAAAGCUGUGAAAUUUCAUAUUGUUACUAAUUAUUAUAAUUUUUUUUUGUAUUUUCAAUAUUUCAACCAAUAUUUUAUAUAAUUAAAUUUAAAUUAUAAGAAUUAUAUUAUUAAUACACAUAACUAUCUUAAUGUUUUAACAAUGUAUACUUAUUUAAAUUUAUUUCAAUUUUUUUAUUUUUUUAUAAAUAUCUAAUUAGACUUAUAAUUCAUUGAAAUUAUUCAUUUUUUUUUUACUUCAUAAACCAAUUAUAUUACUUUUUGUAUUUUCAAUAUUCAUUUGGAAAAAAUAAUUUCAAUUUAAAAUAAAAUAAAUUAAUUAACUCUCAAUUUAUAAAUUGUGUCAUUGAAUUAUUUUUUAUUUAUAAUAUUUAGUUUAUUUUAAAUUUAAUUUUUUUUCUUCACCUUUUGGUUUAUCACUUUAUAUUAAAAAAUAAAAUAAAAUUGAAUUUCUUUUAAUUUAUAUUUUCACAAAUUAUUCAAUAUUUUUUUAAUUUUUAUAAAAUAAAUCCUCAGAUUAUAUAAUUGGAUGUUGUAAAGAGUUAAAAUUUUUGUGUUGCAUUGAAUUAUUUUUUCUAACAAAAGUAUAUUUGGGUACCGUAGACAUUAUAUCCAUAUCUUAACGUAUUAUAUACUUUUAUUUUGUGCAAUUAGCAAUUGAGCGGAAGACGCGGAGCCGGCUAACGGAAAUACCGCGUGUCACGCGUGUCCCUUCCCGUACCAAGUCUCAACUGCUUCAAGAUUUCCGACGCGCCCUUCUUCGCUUAACUCUUAAGUCUUUUCUUCCACUCUUCCUUAAACCCAUCACAUUUCGCCGCGUGGACCUAAGUCUCAAUGUCCUUGUGUUCAUACGAUGUAUGUUCCCCCAAUUCCUCAUCUACACUGAAACUCCAUACUCGCCUACUCAAUCACUUCUCUACUCUAGAGUCUGGAUGCUUAUCUCUGCGCGUGUCGAUGGCUCUUCACCCCAGCGAGUAUGGCAUUACAAGGGCAAUAUCGUCAUUAAAGACACAACAGAGUGUCUAUUUUAUUUAAGCUGUACGUAAUCGUGAUUGACUUCUUAGUAUCCUUUUGCUCCUAGUCUUCUCCCGCGUCUCUUAUAAAAACUAAAGAAAACCACUCCAAGAGAGCACACUACAAGAAUCUUCUUCCUUUUUUUCUUUCCUCUUUCUCUUUACAGAUAAACUGAGAAAGCCCAGCUCAUCCCUCAAUUCCCAGAUGGGUUUCAUGAAUGUUCUCAAGUUCUCAGCUGCAUGCUUUGAUCUUCUUGGCUGGUAUGUUGUCCACGCGUUUUCUUGCCAUUGGAAAUUUUUGGGAAAUGAAGUGGAAUUCUCUGUUUGAGGACAAACAUGGGAUUUUCUUUGAUUUCUCCCUGUUGGUUUUAUCUAUAUUCUUUGAAUUACCCACAUUCUUGUCAUUGAUUGUUAGUCAUUUGUUUGGAUUUCUACUUGCAGGCCUCUAUGUGCACUGGGUUAUCCUCUGUAAGUCUUGGUCUUACACCUCAAGAUAUGAUGAUUCAUUUACUCUUUUCUUGUUCUACGAAUGGUUCAGUUACAUUUAUUGUGUUGGGAAACUGAAAAGGAAAAGGAUUAUUAGUUAUUAUCGUAAUAAUCAUCAACAUCAUCUCGGUUCUUCACAGAUGUGCUUCAAUUCGGGCAAUUGAGACUAACUCAAUCUCAGACUUUCGGAAGUUGGUGGCGUAUUGGGUUCUAUUUUCCUUGAUUUCACUCUUUGAUCAUGCUUUUUCCAAGCUCCUUGAAUGGUAAUUUUGCUCAACUGCAUUCCACUAUAUGUGACUCUGUUUGUUUCAUUUCUUUGCCCUUAAGGAAUUUGGAGUUGCUUUUUUCAGUUUUCUUUCCUAUGAAAAUAAUCGAGAGGUCUCCAUGUAUUUUAUAUUCCUUCAUUUCUCUGCUUUGACAAAGGCCCACAUUCUGAUCAGCAGAAAGGUUAUAACAUUUGAAAAAGAAGUGCUUUAUUUUUGUUUUUUGUUAGUACAAUAAUUUUCGUUUGGAUAAAUGGUCUGAAGGGUGUUUGUGUUUGGCUGAGUUCAUGGAAUUUUCUAGCUAAUUUGGGAUUUAUUCUCAAUUUCAAGAUCAUUGUGGAUAUGUCAGAAAUUAAUGAAAUAUAAACGGUGGAAUGUGAUUUUCUUGUUUAAGAAAAGUUUUUCUUUGAAAAUACGGGUGCACCUGACCUACCUUAUUGUGCUACUUGGAACACAAAACAUUAGUACAGGUAAUUUAUUAACUAAAUUGUACACUUUUUGAUAGUUCAAGGAGGUGGUUUUCUUCUUUUAGGGUGUCAGCUUUGGAAAUAGGAUGGAUCUAAAAGUUUUUAUGUCUCAUCUUUAUAGGGAACUUGAAAGCAUGGAUGCACUUAUUUCCAUGGAAUUUGGCUUCCUUGAAAUCAAAUUAAGCUUUAUGCAUCAUUUGGAUGCUGAGAAACAAAUGGAAAUAGAAAAUUCAGAAUCUGACAAGUUUUUGUAGGGCAACUGGAUCUAAUCUCUUAGUCGAAGCCUAAUUGGGGCAAAUGCUGAUCAUCUUUGGACCCCAUUGAAAGCUCUAAUCUGUGCACAAUUCUAAUGUUUUUGUUUUCUUCAUUUCUUUUUCAACUUUUCACAAUAGAUGUCAAAGGUUAAAACCAAAUUUACGCAGUCCAUCCAAGUGGAUGCAUAUAAAUUUAACAGAAACUGAAAUUCGAAGAAAUUUAUUUUCCCUUUUGUAAAUGGUGUUUAAAUAUUUUAUUUUCUUAUAUAAUGCAUGUCAGGGUACCAUUCUGGCCUUACAUAAAGCUGAUGGUCAUCUGCUGGCUGGUGAUACAGCAGUUUGAUGGUUCAUAUUAUGUCUAUCAACACCUAGUUCAGCCAUGCUUGUCCAUGGAUCCACAAGCUGUCAUGAACUGGCUCUUCAAUGAAUCAAAAAAGAAGUUUCAUAGCAGAGAAAACUUUCUUGUUUCAGCAGACCGAUAUAUUAAGGAGAAUGGACCUGAAGCUUUGGAGAAACUACUUUCUAGGAAGGUAUGCCAUUAUAAGUAGGAUUAUCAACAAGUCAAACAGAGUUUUAUUUGAGAUGUUCAGGUAAAAAAUGACUAUAGUAGGUCAUCUAGAAUCAUUUGGUCUAAAUUCAUGUAUAUAUCUAUAUAUAAUUGUGUUCUCUUUUUUUCACAUAUGCAUGUGCAUUUAGAUUUACAUAAUUAUAUAUGCAUAAUCAGAUUCAACUGUGAUAGCCCGGAAUUAUUUCAGUAAUCAACUCUUCUGGGAACAUGUUGGUUAUGGUUUCUCUCUCACUGUCCUCUUCUUUAUACAUGACUUUGGCUUCAGUUGAGGAGCGCAAAGCCUAAUGUUGAAGUGAAAAAGAUCAAAGCACCUGCAGCACCGGAGAAAAAAGGGGAACAGGUAAGUUCUCUAAUGUGACUAUUUAAUUUCUAUGAGGCAGAUCCCCAGAGAAAUGUUGCUCAUGUAAAUUACUGAUGCAUUUGAUUCAAUGGCAUGGUUUUAAAAGAAAAACCACUUUAUGUAUGUUUCUGUGAAUAAGAGAACAAGUUUAUGGAUUAAAUGAUAUUUUUUAUGGUGGAUUAAUCAAUAAUUUUCAAAAUAAUAAUAUAUUCGUGCAUGUUUUUGCAAUUCAUGAAUUCCUUUUAUGAUUGAUUCUUCUUGCCUUUUUUCUCACCUCAGUGGAAGUGUGAAGAGCCUAAUGUUGCUCAAAAGGAGAUCCAAGUUGUCAAAGUAACAGAGAUAAAAAAUGGGGGGGAUGGAGCAAAGAGGGUAAGUUUUGCUUUUUAUUUAUAAAGUAGGCUGUCUUCACACAAGGAUUAUUAUCUUUAAGACAUGAAUGUUGAAUGCUUUUGGAAUUGUCCAUGAAUCAUGUGUAGUGUGAAUGGCCUAAUGCUGCUAAGAAGGAGGUCAAAGUGACAGAAGUAACACACAGAACAUUCGGUGGUACAGCACAGUGGGUAAGGUUUCAUGUCAUAUUUAAAUGGCUCCUCAUAUUUCACUAGGAUUAAUUUUGCCCCUACAAACAUAUUUGGCUACAAGUUAAGACAGAGUUCCAGAUGCUGAUAAAGUUGAGACAUAAGUAAUGAAUGAGUUUAGAAACAUGCACAACUCUUGUGUGAAACACAAUGAGAGUGGAAAAUAGCUAAGUUGAAAAAUGGCCAAAUACUAUUUUGUAGUUCCCCCUACCACUUAAGUAAUUUUUGUCAUCCUUUGUGAAUGGAAAAUCCAGUCCCUUCAGUAAUUCCGUUAUAUUCAUGACUUGGUGAAGCAUAUAACCAUUAGUGUCUUGCCUUAAGUCGACCUUUAAUGAUGAUCCAUUGAGAUGGGUCUGACUUUUGUCAACCCUCUUAUUCCCUUGAUCAUAGAGGUUAAACUUAGGGGGCUUAACCCACUUUUGAACCUUAUUGGAUAUAUGGCACAUGGUAUCCUCUUCAUCUUGAAAGAGUGAAGUGGUCAUACUCUUUCCUCUGAGUCCAUUGUGGCCAUGCACUUCUGGCCCAUUGGGCUGAGUGAAAGGAUUCCCUUCUGCUUCAAAUCAUAGAGAGAUAUGCCAUGGUCAGCCUCUUUAAUUCAAGGGAUCGAAGUACUCAAAUCCAUUUCUCUGCAUCCAUCUUAAUUCUGCAUUCAUGUCUCAUGGUUAACCAAGAAGAUCCAGCUUCCAUCCAUGAGAUCAGCAUCUGCAGGUUUAUGACACCACCCUUCCUUGGCAUAGGAAAGGGAUCAUUAAGCCAUGUGUUGGAUGACAGAAGUCAUCAUUCAGGUUAUCUUGAGAACUAAGGAAGUUGGAAUUCUAAUUAUUGCAUAUGGUUCUUGAUGUUUAGCCAAUAUACCGUAGGAUUUUAAGGAUCAUGCUCAUGUGCAUUGUGGUUGUUUAUCAGCUAUAUGGUUUACCAAAAUGAGGGACUGAUUAUGGUCAUAAGUACCUUUUUCCUAUUAAUUUCUUGCAUGUGCUCUGCUGAGAUUAUGUUUUUGACAGUCCAAAUCAGGGCAAACCAACAAACAGCUUUAUGUUAACUUUUACAAACUGCCACAUUUUCAGGUUAAACGAACAGAGAUAAAUCUUGGUGAAACUAGAAGUAAUACAACUUGUGCUGUGGAGAUAAAAGAAAGGGCAGCGGCACUGGUGGCUGCAGAAAUUGAGGCAUGUAGAGACGAUAGAACCCCCAAGAUACCUCUUCAUGAGAAAGUCCAGAAAGAGUGGGCUUGUGCUGUAUGCCAGGUCACAACCCAAAGUGAAGCGACCUUCAAUUCCCACCUUCAAGGGAAGAGACAUCAGGCCACUUCUGAGCAGCUGAGAGCCAAAAACCAGGCAACCAAAACCAAUUGUUCCCCAUCUGCUUCAAUGGCCAAGAAAUCUGAUCAGUCCACCAAAGAGGAGCAACCGAAGUGUACUUCCAACAAUCUGAAUUCCAAAAACAAUGGAAUCUCAGCUGCUUCAACAGUGAAGAAACCUGAUGACACCAAAGAUGAUGAGCGACAAAAGUCUGCAUCUAGCAAUGAACCGAACCAGAAGAAUAACAAAAAGCAAGAGGUACAGACCAAUGAGCAAGGCCAUCAGAAGAACUUAAAGCAAACUGGCGAUGGAAUGAAAGAGUUGAGAUUAUGCUGCAAUAUCUGUAAUGUAAGCUGCACAAGUGAGCUUGACAUGGCCUCUCAUCUCAAUGGAUGGAGGCACUUUAAUAUGAUAAAGGAGGCGUCUGAAUUAUGGUGCAGUAACUGCAAUGUAAGGUGCAACAGUGAGGCUGUCAUGGCCUCUCACCGAAAUGGGAGGAGGCACUUGAAGCAGCUGAAGGAACGGUCGGGAUUAUAGUGCAGUAUCUGUAGCGUGAGAUUGUGUUAGGAAGAGGUGGAAUGGGUUCCAAUCAGGAAUUAAGACUCGGUUCCAAGACAUGGAAAGUGUCUUUAGAUUAUGUUAUCUCCAUUUUUUUUAUUGUGAGAGGGGAGUAUAAGGAAUGAAAAUAAAUAUAUAUAUAUUUUUUAAUAGAGAUGAAUUUGAUAAUUUUAAUUAUUGUGUUUUGAUGUAUUUAGGAAUGUAAAAUUAAAAUAAUUAUUUAUUUUCAUUUUAGUAUUUGACAAUAAUAAAAUUAUGAAUUAAAAAAUAAUGUGAUAAUAAUACAUUUAUAUUUAAUUUAAAAUAUUUUUUAUUUUAUUUUAGAAGAAUAUGGGUUAAAUUCUUUUUUUAAAUAAUAAGCUUAAGAAAAAUAAUUUUUACUCAAUAAAUAAAAUUAAUCAUAAAAAGUCAUAACAACCUAAUAAAAAUAUAGGGGUAAAAUAAUAAUUUUAAAAUAUUAUUUAAGUUAUCCAAACAAAUUUGACUCUUCAUUCUCUCUCUUGAACCAAAUACGGUCUUUUAAGCGUUUGUCAACUUAUUUUUUUUUGCAAAAUAUCAAUAUUUUACUAAUAUUUUUAUCGAUUAUUUGCCAAUAUUUAUCGCCACGUCACCAAUUCUUUGAGUUUGACUUUCAAAAUUUUGAAAUGAUAUUUGAAGUCCAGUUCAGCCCAAAUCACUACACCCAUGAUUUUUCCCUUUUCUUUUUCUCCUUAAUUUUCACAUCACCCAACAACACUACUCUUAAUUCACACAAAUUUGAAGGUUUGGAACGAGACUUCUUCCUAAUUAUAUUGUAAUUAUGUUAUAAUAACCAUGUCGUAUUUGGAUUUAUUUAUUCAGUCCAUCUAAAUCUUUUGUUUAUUCAUGUAAAAAGAAUAUAGUUAUAAUCGAAUCCAUUUGUGACAUAUUCAUCUUUUAUAAAUUUAUUAAUUUUAUAUAUUUAAAAACUAUAAAAAUUAAAUAUAUUUUUUCAAUUAUGAAUAUCAUAUUACUAAAAUAUUAAAUAACUAAUUAACUUGAAAUGUUUUAUAUUUCAUUCAUUAUUUUAUAAUUACAACAUUAAGUGAAAUAAUAAAUAGGUUAAAAUAUAUAUUUUAUUUUAGUUAAAAAUUAUAAAUUGUUAUUGAGACGUAUAACUAUUAAAAUUCUACCCAUUUGACCAUCAAACAAACAACUUAAGUUUUUAGUCAUAAUUUAAGCUUCUGAUAAACUCUAUUUCCAUAAAUUAGAAACCGAAAUCAAUUUCUUCUUAGACUCAAAAACAUAAAGACAAUCUUUUAAUUCUAGAAGACAUCUAUCAUUUAAGAUAAGGGUAACAUAUCCCAUUGCCUAAACAACAACUCUUGCUUCAAAAGCCAAUGUCAAGUACAUAUCCCUAUCAUUCAACCUUUCCCUUAGCUAAAACCCCUAUAAAGAAUUAUAAACAUAAUCAAUGGCUCCAAAAUUUAUCCACCAAGAGUUAGUGGAAUCCAACACUAAACAUAAUUCAACUAUAAGAGAAUGAUGCAUAGUUGACUAUCUCUUCAAGAACUAAGGACAUUCCUUCUUCUUCUAAUGGCAUUUUUUACCACAAAGGAAACACUUGUCAUGACCCUUACUCUUCUUCUUCUUCCCCUUAGCCUUAAACUUCCCCUUCUGCUUGAUGAACUCUAUAGUGUUCUUCUUAUUUUGGCUAGAAAAACCUAAAGAACCCUUAACUGCCAUAUAAAUACCUCUCUGGUCCUUGAGAAUUCCCUCAGUCAUUUUGUGUUCUCUCAUUAGUUCAAUUGUAGUUUAAGAAAAAUAAUGUUUUUUAUUUUAUUUUAUGUGAUUGAACUUGGAAUGAAUUUCCAAGUUGCAUACAUACUUGGGUUGAGAUCAAGUCAUAACGUAGUUUAAGAAAAAGAUUUUUUAUUUUUUAUGUGAUUGAACUUGGAAUGAAUCUCUAAGCUACCUACGUAUCCAAGAUGGGAUCAAGUUCUAACAUAGUCACAAUGCAGUUCAAGAUUUUUUUUUUUCUUUUUUUGUGCUCUAACUUUUGUCAAGACUAAAGAUCUUAAUCUUGCAAGCAUGUCCUAACUUUUGUCUAGGUCACCUUUCCAAGUUUUCAACUUAGCAAACAUUUUUUUUUUUUGUUCUCUAACGUUUGCCAAGACAAAAGAUUUUAAUCUUGCAAGCAUGUCAUAACUUUUACCUAAGUCAGAUUUUUAGGUUUUCAAUGUGGUGGAUUUUUUUGUUUUUUAUUUUUUAUUUUUUAUUUUUUGUGUCGUAGGCAAUUUAGCUCAUACGGCCCAGAAGCGAUGUGUAGUUUGUUGGGAUUCAACCCUUAAAAGCAAAACAUGAUGUAACAAAGUUAGACUUAACUAUCCCCUUGCUAUCAUUUUGGUGUAUUAACAUUGAUUUAAACAUUCAACUCAUAUUUUACAUUGUACAUGACUUAGGUGCAUUAGGAGUUGCUCAUAAGAUACAUGGAUUCCUUGUAAGUAGAUGAGUUAUCCAUAGUCAGUUCAUGGAUUUGGGCAAUCUAGUAGAGACUGUAAUGCACCACCUCUUAAUUGAAGAGAUGACUUGUCUUGACAGUUGGGAUAGGUUUCCUAUGGUGAGUGCACUAGUAUAUAUGAUGCACAUUGGAUAGGACCUACGGUAAAUCAUGAGCAAAGCUAUCAAUUGUCAUGAUUCACCAAGUUACGAUACUGCAUGGACUCUCAAUCUUGAGAGGACAUUGAACCUGUGCCAAAAUCAACAAAAAGCUUUCACCUAUAGAUGAGACCUUAAAGUGAUCAUAUAUCCCUAUGGAUUGAGUCACUAUUGAUGAAGGUUGGUGGUAAUAGGUAUUCUCAAUAGAGGCACCAUGAUAUCUCAUGAGAUUGAGACGGUGUGUCCCCUUGGGUGAUACAAAGGACAUGUGAUCAUAAAAUCUGUGACCAUAGUAAUUCUUUUAUUGAAAUUUGACAUAUACCCCUUCGAGCUAGAGUAUGUCAGUUGAUUACAUAAUAAGUGGCAUCUAUAACUUAAGGAUUUGAGAGGUAAUCUUGAUAGGUGAUAGCACUACCUUGUUAGAUUAUGGACACCAGUUCAUGGGGAAUCUACAUGCAGUGGAUGAUAUGUCACGAACGCGAGCUUCAUAUCGUUGUUAUUAACAUAGGAUACUGGAGUGCAAUUGAUUCUCUUUAGUAGAAUGUUGAAUCAACUUCAAAAUGGAUUAUGAGGGAGCCAAUACUCCUAUGGGUCUUAAUGGUCCCCACUCUGAGCUCAUAUACCAUGAUGACACAGUUUAUGAGGGUUUGAUUGGCUUUAUGUUCAUUUUUGUGCAUAAGGGCAUUUUGGUAAUUACACAAGGUUACAUAGGGGAUAGUCAAUAAGGUCUUUAGAUUGGGCCAAUUGAUUAAUUAGAUGACCUUAUGUGGUUAAUUAAUCAAUUAUGAUAUGUUUAGGCUAGAUUAAAUGACCCAAGCCUUGAUGAAUUUAAGUCACUUAAGCCUAGCAGAUAACCUUAUAAAUACCCUCUUAUGGGUUAGGGUUUCCUAAUGACUUUCAGUUAAUCAUCUUCCAUCCCUAGAAAGAGAAAGAGAGCCAAAUCUUUCUCCCUUCCAUUGCCCACACUUUGGUAUGCCAAGAUCAUGGUUCAAGUCACUGGGAGGAAGAUCUUGGGUGUACAAGACCUUCGGACUCUUUAAGUUUCUUCUUCGUUGGAUGAAUUUUUAUUUGGGACACAUCUAGAUCAUAAGUAUGUGUUAGAAAAUUUGGCUAAUUCAACUUAAGGUAAUCACUCUAGAGGAGGGGUGAAUAGGGUGAUGAUCUUUUUUUACAAAUUUAAAUUAUGUGAAUGCAAGAGACAAUUAUACUAUGCAAAUAUAUAGUAAAACCAUAUAAAAAUAAUUGCAUAUAAAGUACAAGGGUAGAAAAUAGAGAAUAUAAACACAAGAUUUUUAUAGUGGUUUGGUGCAACUCGGCCUACAUCCAUUCUCCUCUAGCUUCAAUCCCAAGUUUGAGGUUCCACUAAUUCAAGGCUUCCAACCUAACCCUUCAAGCAAUACAAUUGGAUUAUGGUUCCAAUCAAACCUUUUGGACUUUUGGCUCUAAGCACCUUUUACAAUCUUUGAUUCGUGCCUAACUGGUGUUUGCCCUGUUGAUUGGUGUUCAAUCAACUGAUGUGCUUUGAUUUCAGUCCUCAGACGAGAGUAAUCAACAAAAUUUAUAAACCUAUUUCACCAUAUACUAGGGUAGCAUUAGCUAGCAUAGCAUAGUGGCUCUAGGAUCGUCCACAGGGAUGGGUUUUCAAAUUACAAUUGAUAUUAGUUCAAAAACUGAAUUGGUGUUUUUUCUUUUCAAGGUUAGCUUUAAAAGAAAACAUAAGUAUGUGUGAAAAGGUUGGUUUUAAGUGAAACCAAAAAUAAAGUAACUGAAAUUACUUACAAAGAAAAGUGCUUCUUGGAGUUUUAGAUCACUAGGCUCAAGUUCCUUAUACAAAAAGAGAGAUUCCGAUCACUUGGAUCUUUUCCUAGCAUUGGGGAUUUAACAUAUAGUUAUUUCCCGAACCGGUGCGGUACAGAUGCUUCCCCUUAAUGGUUUCAAACACUAAAUCUCUAUCACUGAAUCAUCUUGUAAUGGUUCAUACCUCUCACCUGGUAUUGGUCAUUUAAGGUGAUCAUUAACCUUGGAUUACCCGUCAAAAGCUCGCAAAAGAUAACUAAUGAAUGUCUCCUAGGAGUCCAAAAGCUUACCAAGUGUUGGCUAUUCUAGAUAAUCCUACCUUUAAACCAUCUCCCAAAAGCUCGCAAGAGAUAAACUAGUGGAUCUCAAUGGACGGAGUCCACUUGCCUUACCAAGUGUUGGCCCAAGUGAUUUUAAGGGAUUUUAAGUUAACUAAAAAGAUAAAAACCAUUAACGGGUCACACUUUCUCUUCAUUAAAACCUGAAACAAUGAAACUUCCACUUUUGUAUACGAAACCUUACCUAGCUUCCUUCACUCCAAGAAACAAAAAGCCUAGCCACUCAUCCUCUAGGAAAACAUCCUCAGAGUUUGAUUUGGUAGAAAUAAAAAUAAAAGAGAAAACCAAAUGUGAAGGUAAGGCCGAGCAGAGCUCUGUGUAUUACUUUAUGAAAAACUAUACAAAAUUUGUCUCUAAGAGAAACUCCCCCGAGAUCUCUUUUAAAAGAAAAUUACAAUAGAUAUCAUAUAAAGAGGCUAUUCACCCCUCUUGCUAACUUCCCAACCAUGAAAACUUGUCAAUGGUGGGUUACAAGGAGAAAAUAGGGAUUUACACACAAAUAUUUGAAGAUAAACAUCAAACUGAGUCGGUGCGCAAAUAUCUCAGAUUACAAGUGGAUUUCGCAAGUUCAAACGCAACUUGCAAAAAUUUUGCAAGUUGAAAUUAUGGUUUCGCAAGUUGCGAAAUUGUCCUGCAACUAAUCAGCUCUCUGUCCUACAACAAUUCCUUUCCUCUUCCUAUUUCGCAAGUUGUGAGAAUUUCGCAAGUUGGAUUCCACAACUUGCAAAAUUGUUGGAUGGUUGAUUUCUUUUGUGAUUUUCUUCCUUGCAUCCUCAUUUGGCUUUGGCAAAGGGUUAUGAAGCUCCAAAGCUUAGUUUCUUCAUGAAUUUGAGCUUCAACUUGCUUUGCCAUGAACUAUACAAAGAUCUCCCUCAUUCUUGGAUUGCUUUGGUGAUAAAAAAGCUAUGAAAAACACCAAAACUUAACACAAUUUGAUUAGAAACGAUUGUAAGGGUCUUUAACAUGCCAAUUGAGUUAAAAGGUAAUAGCUACUACUCAAAAGUGUUUAAAAGAGUUAAUUACAAGCUAUAAAAUGACCCUUUUUGAAGUUCAACCCCUUAAGUGAUACCCCUUAAGUGAUACCCCUUAAUUCAAGAGAUGUCUUACUCUUAAACAACCCCUUAAGUGAUACCCCAUACUUGAGAUUCCCUAAGUGAUGCCUCACACUUAGAUUUUUCAUCUCAAAGAUUUACAAAUGAAGAUAGGAAAUAAUCUCACAAAAUCUUAAUACAAAACAUUAGGCUCAAAUGAUACAAGAUAAACUAUGAUUGAAUGGUGCACUAAUAAUAUGCAAGUUUUAAAACAAUGAGUACUAAAAAACACUCUCCUAAGGUUCAAAUAUAUUCAAGAAAGAUUUAAGAAGGUUAAACUCUUGAAACAAUAAAGAUUGAAACCUUUUUAUGGAGGAGAAAUGCCAAACUAGUUGUUGGGGGUUUGUCCAGUCGAGUUCUGGUUUGACCGGUUCACUAACCGUUAGCAUUUAAUGCAUGAUAGGUGAUCAUUGGGCCUUGACCAUCCCUCGACCAGUACUCAACCGGAUAAAGUUCAACCUUAAUCAAUCGAAUAAGCAUUCUAGAAUAGAGAGAAGGUUUUUGCACCUUUCAAUCAGUUGAGUUGAACAAAUAGACGGAUUCCUUAUCCAGUUCAACCGGUUGAGCCAUUUUUGGCUCAACAAUCAUCAUUUUCAACUUAAAACCUUUUAAACAAGUUUAGAAAGCAUUUGACACAAGGAUUUAGUUGAAAACAUUAAAUCAUCCUAUUUUUAAAAGAUUUAAAACAAAAUACCUCUUGAAUGAUUUUGGUGUAUAAGUAAAUAAUGUAAUGCAUGAAAAACCCAGUGCGCCAACAACCUUACAAAGAGAUCUUAUGAGGCUUAGGUAUUGAAAAACACUUCUCUUUAAGGCAGACAACAUCGUGUGAAUACCAAAGGGGAACUCUACGUUCCUAGGGAAAGAUGCCUCGUCAGUACGUCUUGAGGUUGUUCACUAACUUCGGGGUUACCGGCUUUGAGAGGAGCCCUUUGAUGACAUUUGGGCAUGCAACUCUUCAUUUUCUUCCUUGAUUCGCCUUGUUUGGUGGAUCAAAGAUUGCAUAUGCCAGUCAUUUUUGCACUAGGUUCUCUCCAUGCUUUCACGCCAGCCAAAGUAGCUUUCGUUACCCAUAGUUGAGGAUCGGCUUCUAAAGGGUACUAACAUCCUUAGUCAUUCCCACAGAUGACACCAAUGUUGGUUCUGAGUCGGCUGAAGUCAAAUUCAUCCAACUUAACGGAAGUUUGACAACCUUCCUCCAUUUUUUGUGCCUCUUAGAGAAUCCACCUAGCAGUAAUGAGAUUGGGCGAACUCCUUUCUUGCACAAAAGAAUGUUCAGAUGAGUACUUCGGGUACGCCCUUCGAAGCUUAAGUGAGGCAAAAAUAGCUCAAACUACUUAAUGAGAGAGAGUGGAUAGGUGAAUAUGUGCCUACCUUGUUCGUGCUUUUUGAGGGGUUUAUAUAAUGUUGAUGAGAAUGCCACUAUAGUGCUUACUAGACACUUUAACUUUCUUCUAUAAUGAUGAUUGUCUUGCAGGCGGUUGGGCAAUCAUCAAAAUUUUGGGUGGCUGAUAGGUGCCAUCAACUAACGUGCCAUGAUCUUAGACCAUGCAGUAACCUGUUCCCUCAGUCUGUUGAUGGCCUAAGGUUAUGUGCAACAAUUAAUUGACAUGGACUUGAGGGCUAGAAGAGGUCCCAUCGGCCGUUCACAUGUCAAGUGUGAAUGAUCACUCAUGCUAGUGGGUCUUGAAGAUUUGACUAGACAACCUUACCUAUUUGGGAGGUCCAACCUCCCAUUGCCGUUGUUUUGGCCUUAUAGGAGAAAAGGGCUUUCUCAUGUAUGGUGCUAGAGGGACUAGUCGUGAUCCAGAUGAGUUGCAUACCCAUGCUAGAUGGUCGAAGUGUCCGGGUUGGAAAUGGAGGGAAGCCUCCCACAAAUAUGAGGGAGCCUUAUGAAAACGGAUCCUUAGGGCUUAAGAAGGGGUUUUCAAUUUUAAGGUUUGCCUUUUCACCCAAGGAUGUGAAUGGGAAGAUGAGGCGAAGUUAAAAGAUUGGUGAAGCAAAGUGAGGGCAAGGUAGGGUUUGAAUAAAGGAAAGUAUACACUAUUAAUGAAGAUGAUAAUCUCUAGAAAGAAAAACUAAGGUAAACUAGGGCUUUAAUAAUAAUUUUCAAUCUACACUAGUGAAGAGGAUAUCUUCGAAAACCAAAGUUAGGGCUUCAAUAACGAAUUUCAAUCUACAAUGGUGAAGACAAUAAUCUUCGAAAACCAAAUCUAUAAUGAUGAAGAUGAUUGAAAACUAAAUCUAUACUAGUGAAGACGAUUGGAAAGCAAAUCUACACUGGUGAAGACAAUGAAACCAAAUGUAGGUCUUCUAAACUAAACGCUUUUAAGGAUUUUCCUUUUUUUUUUCCUUUGUUUUCAAGAAAGGCAAACUCUUUAGAAAACUAAAAAAACUAAUGCAUUCUUAGAUCCAGAUCACUAUUUCCAACAUGGUAUUUGGAUUGCCAGCUUGCAUUUUUUAUUUUUUUAUUUUUUUAAUAGUCAUUGGCAUUUUAGGGAUUAUUGAAGGAUAAUAUCAUUCAGCUCAAUUUCCCAAAUUAGUUAGGUCUUACACUCAAAUGUGAAACUUAUAUGGAUGUUAGGCCAAUUAUCAAACUCAUCUGCCCUAAAACAUAAUUUCCCUUUUUUAAAAUAGUUGUUAAACAUCUAUCCCAAACACGUUUAACCCUUUGAAUUGCUUGUAUGUUAACCUUGUUUCCUUUUCUUCAUGCAACAUGGCUUAUUGAUGGUUGCAUUGAAUCAUUAUCAUUCACCAAUUCCAUGCAACUAUGGACUACAUUUCAAAUCCCUCGAACAUAAAUGGUAAUUCCAAAACAACUCAAGUAUAAUCUUUUCAACCCUUUCAAAUGAUUUAAUUAAUUGAUUUUUGAAUAUAUUCAUAUAUUUUUUUGAGCAAUUUUUAGGCAUAUAACAUAAAUCUCUUUUUUAUAUAUAUAUAAAAGGUUUUAUAUUUUAUAUUACAAUUUCCUUUUGUUUUUUCAUCUAAAAAACAAAACAUAAAACCUUAAUAAACGAGUUUUGUCACAAUCCCUUAACAAGUAAUCUAUUUUUUAAAUUACUUUAACAUUUUUAGAUAUAUUGAUUCAAUCUAAUUUACUUUUAAUAUUUUUUAUAAAAUAUUUUUACUUUAUAUGACUAUAAAUUAAUUACUAUUGAUUGCAUAUUAUAGAAUAUAUAUUCUAAAAUAUAUCUUAUUGACAAUAUAAUCAUAAGAUGUUAUAUCCAUAUCCUAACAUAUUAUAUACUUUUAUUUUGUGCAAUUAGCAACAUGGUGGGAAGUGGCAAGCAGCUUAACGGAAAUGUCAUGUGCCAAUGUGCCAUGCGUGUCCCUUCCCUUAGUGAGUCUGAACUGCUCCAACAUUUCCGACAUGUUAUUUUUUACUUAGCUCUUAAGUAUUUUCGUCUCGUUUUCGUUAACCCCAUCACAUUUCGCCACAUGGAUCUAAGCCUCAUGGUCCUUUCGUUCGUACAAUGAAUGUUCCCCCAAUUCCUUAUCUACACUAAAACUCCAUACUCGCCAUCUACUCAACCACUUCUCUACUCUAGAGUUUGGGUCCUUUAUCUCUGCACGUGUCUAUGGCUUUUCACCCCAACAAGUAUGGCAUUACAAGGGCAAUAUCGUCAUUAAAGACCCAAAAGGGAAACCAAUGGCAUUAUCUUCCUUUUGGUCUAUUCUAUUUAUAUUGUAAGUUAUUCGUGAUGACUUCUCCCAUAAAAGCUAAAAACCACUCCAAUAGAGCACACUUCACUUCUUCAUUUUUUUUUUUCCAGAUAAGCUCAGAAAGCCCAGCUCAUCCCUCAACUCCCCGAUGGGUUUGAUGAAUGUUCUUAAAUUCUCAACUGCAUGCUUUGAUCUUCUUAUCUGGUAUAUUGUCCACGCAUUUUCUUGUCAUUGGAAAAUUUUGGAAAAUGAAAUGGAAUUCUAUGUUUGAUGACAAAACUGGGAUUUGCUUUGAUUUCUCCAUGUUGGUUUUAUCCCUUUUGUUUGAAUUGUCCACAUUCUUGUCAUUGGUUGUUAGUUAUUUGUUUGGAUUUCUACUUGUAGGCCUCUGUUUGCACUGGGUUAUCCUCUAUAAAUCUUGGUCUUACACACCAAGAUAUGAUGAUUCAUUUACUCUUUUCUUGUUCUAUGAAUUCUUAGUUCUGUUACAUUUAUUGGGUUGGAAAACUGAAAAAGGAAAGGAUUAUUCGUUAUUAUCAUAAUAAUCAUCAACGUCAUCUCAAUUAUUCACAGAUGUGCAUCAAUUCAGGUAAUUGAGACUAACUCGAUCUCAGACAUUCAGAAGUUGGUGGCAUAUUGGGUUCUAUUUUCCUUGAUUUCACUUUUUGAUCGUACUUUUUCCAAGCUCCUUGAAUGGUAAUUUUGUUCAACUUCAUUCCAUCAUAUGUGGCUCUAUUUGUUUCAUUUCUUUGCCCUUCAGGAAUUUGGAGUUGCCUUUUUUAGUUUUCUUCCCUGUGAAAAUAAUCGAGAUGUUUAAUGUUCCAAGCCUCCAUGUAUUUUAUUUUCCUUCAUUUCUCUGCUUUGAUAAAUCCCCAUGAUUUGAUCAGCAAAAAGGCUAUAACAUUUGACAAAGAAAUGCUUUAUUUUGGUUUUUUAAGUACAACAAUUUUCAUUUGGAGAAAUGGUCUAAAGGGUAUCGGUGUUUGGAUGAAUCAUGGAAUUUUCUCGCUAAUUUGGGAUUUAUUCUCAAUUUCAAUAUCAUUGUGGAUAUUUCAAAAAUUAAUGAAAUAUAUAUGAUGGAAUGUGAUUUUCUUGUUUAAGAAAAGUUUUUCUUUAAAAAUUUAGGUAACCCUGACCUACCUUAUUGUGCUACUCGAAACACAAAACAAAAGUACAAGUAAUUUAGUAACUAAAUUGCACACUUUUUGAUAGUUCAAGGAAGUGGUGUUAGCUUUGGAAAUAAGAUGGAUCUACUAGUUUUUAUUUCUCAUCUUUAUAGGGAACUUUCCAUAAUAUAGCUUAUAAAUACCAUAAUCACAGUGAUGAAUAAUUGUCUUGUUUGAAAGCAUGGUUGCACUUAUUUGCAUGGAAUUUGUCUGCGUUGAAAUUAAAUUAAGCUUUAUGCAUCAUUUGGAUGCUGAGAAACAAAUGAAAAUAGAAAAUUCAAAAUUUGACAAGUUUGUGUAGGGAAAUUGGAUCUAAUCUCUUAAUCGAAGCUUAAUUAGGGCAAAUGUUGAUCCUCUUUGGACCUAUUGAAAGCUCUAAUCUGUGCACAAUUCUAAUGUUUUUGUUUCCUUAAUUUCUUUUUCAACUUUUCAACAAAGCAUCAAUUUGCUAUAAUAAAUGAGAACCAACUUGACGAUGAGAAAAAUGACUGGUGAUGAUGUCAUAGAGAAUCGCAGAUGAGAACAACCAAAAAUACUAGGAUUGGUACCACUGAUGGUAAUGAAGAAAACACAAAAAUGGUGCAAAUGGUGAACAGGAAACUCAAAAUGGAAUGGGAAAAGAAACCUAAACAAUAGUCUCCUAUAUAAAGCACACAACAUGUACAUCGAGGCAUCUGAAAGGACACGCUGCCUGAGAAGUCACUCUAAUUGAUGUGACUCCUCAUGACGUGGGUGGUGGACAUAUGUCCCAUGGUGCCAAAAAUUUCAAACACUCAAGCAACCGAAUACUUUCACUUAGUCAUUUAAAGCCUAGCUAGACUCAAUUGCAAGAAUUAAGGGCAUUGUGGGAUGCUCACCACCGUCUAUCAUGGUCCUCAAACACUGUCUGGUGUGAGACAUAUUGGCACAAGAGCCAUGUAGCUUCUCUAUCCACCCCAAGAUACUCCUAGGGUAGCAAACGAACACAAUCCGACCAAACACUAUGCAUUCCUACCCUACAAGCAUUAAUUUCAAUGAGCAAUAAGUGUAUUAACACAUUAAUGAAUGCAACCGUUAUAACGCUAAAACGCCAUACUUUAAGGUUCAUCAAGACACAACAACCAUUAUGGGCCGACAAUUAUUGGCGUUAAAUAUGGUAAUGCGCAAUCAAAGGCUCAAUUAAGGCCCUUUAGAAGACGUUACUAUUGGGCAAAGAUAAAUAACCAUUUUUUACCACAAGAAAGUCUGAUGCCAUUUUUUUCACAAAAACUUUUGCUUAAGUCUUCCAUCUCUAACCUAAGCUUUGAAGGGGUGUACUUGGAAAACCUAUCCGAACAUUCCUUUAUGUAGGUGCAAUCAUCGUUUAUGUCACGCGAAGGCUAGUCAAAGACCUUUAUUGGUCGUGCACCAAUAAAUCUAUUUAGUAUAUCUCAUUUAUCCGUUCAAGUGAGAUGAAGGAGUGACCUAAAGAUAGAUUGGAAACAUCAUAGUUUCUUAUAUUGGUAAGGCAGCAACAACCUCGGCUAGUGCAUCAACCUGCUCGUUUUCCUCUAGGGGUACGCGUUUGAUAAACCAUUCAUUCAAUUUUUCUGUUCAAGUGUACCAAAGAGAGGUAAUGAGCCAUGCAUUCAUCUCAAGCUUCAUAUUUUAGUUAGAUUUGUUCACCCACUAGUUGUGAAUUGCUUUUGAUUUCUACUUUCAUGGUUGUGAGAGCUAAGGCUAGAUCGUCUCAUAAGAAUUGCUUCAUAUUUUGCCUCAAUAUUAGAUACUGGAAAGUUGAGACAGACGACUUGUUCAAUUUGCUCUCCUGUAAGGAAUUGUUGUGUUAGUCCUAUCCUAGCUUCUGAUGUUCUAGAGGCUUCGUCUACAUGGAGAACACGCCAUUGUUCUUCAUUGUUAGACCUUGUCCAUUUUUGGGGUGGUUCGACUAUGAAAUCAAUGAGAACUUGCUAUUUGAGAUACUAAUGAGGUUUGUACCGUAUGUAAUAUUCACUCAAUUUGAUUGCCCAAUUCACCAUUCGACUAGAUAGAUUUAGCUUGUGCAACGUGACCCACAACGGUUGAUUUGUCAAGACCGUUAUUUGGUGCGCCUGAAAAUAUGGACAAAGCUUCUUGGCAGCGAUCCGUAAGUUCAGAGCCAUUUGUUCCACUUAAGAAUAUCGUGUUUUUGUGUCAAUCAUAGCUUUUCUCACAUAGUAAAUAAGUCUUUGUUCAUUACUCUAAUUGUGUGGAAACAAUAUGACAUUGACAGCAAAGUUUGACACAACCAGGUACAUGUAUAACUCUUCUCUAGCUUCAAGACUACUUAAGAUUGGUGGCUUCGUAAGAUACUGUUUGAUGUCUUUAAAGGCAUGCUCACACUCAUCCAUCUAACUAGACAUCUUUGCUCCCUAGAGUUUGCUCAAGAAAGGUCUGAGCUUAUUUAUGAAGCGUGUUAUGAACCAACCUAAGGUGAUUAGACACCCAGUUAGACGUUGCACUUCCUUCUUGCUAGUAGGAGCAGGGAUUUCUAACACUACUUUCACUUGAGCCAGAUCGACUUCAAUACCCCCUUUGAGUCACCAUGAACACAAGAAACUUCCACUCACUUACUCUAAAUGCAUAUUUUAUUGGAUUAAGCUUCAUGUCAUACCUGCACAUUAAACUGAAUGCUUCUUCCAAAUGGAGGAGCUUCUUGGAACGAGUUAUUCUCUUAAUGACAAUGUCAUCGAUAUAGACUUCCAACGUUCGACCUAUCAAGGGCUUAAAAAUAUGGGUCAUCAACUGUUGGUACGUAGCUCCAAUGUUCAUUAACCCAAGCGACAUGAUCUUGUAAAAGUACAACUCCUUAUGUGUAAUAAAUGUCAUCUUCUCUUUGUCAUGUGGAAACAUUGGUAUCUGGUGGUAUCCAAAAGAAGCAUCAAGAAAAGACAACAUUCCAUGCCUGGUUGUGGCAUCGACUAUCUAAUCUAUCUAGAGCAAUGGGAAGCUAUCUUUCAAGCAGACUUCAUUCAUAUCCACGUAGUCUGCGCACACCUGCCAUUUUUCUCCUUUCUUGGUACCACUACCACAUUUGUUAACUAGUCCAAGUAGGUCACCUCCUUGAUAAAUCUUCCUUUUAAUAGCUUCUCAACUUCUAUCUAGAUAAUUUUUUGAUGAUCCAACUAGAAACGUCAGACUUUAUAUUGUAUGGGUCGUGCUGUAGGAAGAAGGUUCAACUUAUGAGAGCUCACCGCUAGGUCUAUUCCAAGCAUUUCCGAAUGAAUCCACACGAGGAUAUCCUUGUUUUUACAAAGCAUUUCACCAACAUUACCACAUUCAUCCCUAGUUAGCAAAAAAUUAGCGUAAGUCAUCUGCUUAUUAUUUUUCGACAAAGAUAGCUAUUGUAAUAGGCUGAUUGCCAAUGAGUCUCUAUCCUCUAGUUUUCCUUCGACCUAAUUCUAUAAUUGUUAUUAGCUCUCUCUUGAUGAUUUGAGUUCAUCUUUAGUUGGGCCUGAACUCCAUCGCCACUUAGUAACACUACUAGGUGGCUAAUUGGAUUCCAUGUGGAUCCACUUACCCAAAUUCUGUCAGGUAGCUCACCAUCUUAUGAUAGGUGGAUGGAAUAACUUUCAUCUUAUGUAGGUACGACAACCUUAUGAUGGUGUUGUACGACGGUAAAUCCUCUACUAUAGAAAAUCAUACGUUGAGAGUAGGCGGGUUGGCUUGGACAAGAAGUACCACGUCGCAUAGUGAUAUUGUGGCAACCCUAUUAAACCCAAACAAAAGUCGAACUAGAUUUUCUAAGGCAGAUGACGAACAUCCCAUUUUCCUGUAGGUUGACAUAUGCAAUAAAUUGGAAUGAUCAUUUUAGGAAGGAUCACUUGAUUAAUGUUAAUUGAAGGGAAAGUGAUUGGGUCAUUGACUGGUCGGGCACUUUCGACAGUAAAUGUGCACUGAACUGCACUUACUCUUUCCCUCCCUGUAGUCGCACAGAGCAUUCGUCUCCUUUGUUGUUUGGAGUGAUAUUUGUCAUCUACUAUUUCCCCAUGGAUAUAGUUAAUCACUACUCGAUGUGUUGUGGGAGAGUCAGGAACUCACUCUGACACUUCACGUGUCAUUUCUUUAUGUCCACCAGUUGCUCAGACAUACAACUUGAGAUGUCCGGUAAUGAUUAGUUUCUCCACCAAGUAGUGCAAAUUUUUGCACUCUUCUGUGGUGUGCCCAUGCUCCUUAUGAUAGAAUCAUCGCAAUCCUCGAUCAUGCUUGGACGAAUCAGUUUUGAUGGGCUCUAGCCACUUGAACUCGAGCAGCUCUCAAAUCAAGAGGAGAAUUCUAUCAUAAAAAAUGGUCAACGGGGUGAGCCUAGGCGAUUAUCAUUGUUGUUGUCUUUCUUGUCCUUGAUUAGUCUAUCUAGACUGGCUUGAGGGCUUUAAGCUCUUAGCCUUCUUUUUUAAUUGCUCGGUUUAUAACCAGGAUUUGUUGAGAGGUUACCUAAACAUCCUCCUCAAGCAUGACAUGUUUGCCCACUCGUCUAAAUAGGUCAUUCAUUGUAGUGGGCAACUUUUUGGCCAUGGACUUGAAGAAUUGAGUGCUUGGACUGAUGAUCCAUUUGAAGAUCUGCAGGAUAGCAUCCAUGUUGUAAGAUUCCAUCUAGAACACCGCUUGUCUGAAUCACUUCAUGAAGUCCCUUAGCGAUUCAUUCUCCUACAUCUGAAUGUUCUAUAAGGUGCUUAUAUUCUGCUUUUGGCGAGCAAAACAUAAAUAAUGGCCCACAAAGGCCUCUAAAACAUCUGUCAUCUGUUGUUGGAAGUGCAUCAGGUGAACAAAAGAGUCACCAUCCCAUAGUAAAUAGUAAAUUUGGGCACCGGAAACCCCUGGGCAGCUCAUAACUAAUGAUAUGUGGGUCAAACGACAUGAAGAGCAUGUCAUCCAAUCAUCUACUUAUGGAGUCAAGAGGGGCUUUUGUCAAUGGGUUAUUUGUCGAUUGUAGUUCUAGUAUUGAACAUUAAGGCAGACGGCUUGGUGAUGCCUCAUCGUUUGAUUGGCCUAAUUGUGCUUUCAAGGCCUCCAAUAUGCAUGGCGAUGCUAGUGUUCUUCUCUCCUGAUACCCAAGAUAGGCUUUCAGGGCAUCUGAGAGACGUAAGCCCCAUUCUUAACCCAUUUUCCAUUUUUCUCCAAUAGAGCUUGCAACCUCUUUCGCUUGAGUUCGAUCGACUACUGAAUGCACUAGUUCAAGUAAUGUUAGCGAACUGCUAGUAGACAAUCCCUCAUCCACUGUUUGUAGAGACGACUUAGUGUAUCAUUGAAGAACUUUCAUUGUUUGGCUUCAAACUACUCUUGAAGUCGUCUAUUGGUUGGAGGUACGAUGACUUUUUUAUCAGCACCCCAUAGCCACUUGUGCUCGUAGCUCUUGGUUCUCUUGCUGUAGUUGUUCUGCCUGUUGGACAGGGACUACAUAGGUUAUUCAUAUUCUUCUUGCUUUUUUUCUAUCUUUCCUUGCCAAGCUUGGAAUCGCUCGUCAACAUUUGCAGAAUGAGUUGCAGGAGGCGUGUUAACCAUCGUGUUUUUUAGGCAUUUGUGGUUGAUUCCCAUAGACAAUGCCAAUGUUGGUGCACGACCAGUAAAAAAAGGUGUUUGGCUAGUCUCCAUGUAACAUAGAUGACGAUUGCACCUGCACAAAGGAAUGUCUGAAUGGGUUUUUCAGGUACACCUUUCCAAAGCUUAGGUCAGAAAUGGAAGACUUAAGCAAGAGUUUUUGUGGAAAAAUUGGUAGCAUACUUUUCUUGUGGUUAAGAAUAACUAUUUAUCUUUGUCCAACUAUAAUAUCUUCUCAGAUGCCUUAAUUGAGCCUUUGAUUGUGCAUUAUCAUCUUUAAUGUCAAUGAUAGCCAACCCAUAAUGGUUGUUGUGUCUUGAUGAACCUUAAAGGUUGGCGUUUUAACCUCAUAAUGAUUGCAUCCAUCAAUGCGUUAAUGCACUAAUUGCCUAUUGCAAUUAAUGCUUGUUGGGCAAGAAUGCAUAGUGCCCGAUUAGAUUGUGUUUGUUUGGUACCCUAAGAGUACCCUGGGGUGGACAAAAAAGCCACAUGGCUCUUGUUCUAACAUGUCUCGACUAGACAGUGUUUGAGGAUCAUGUUAGAUGGUGAUGAGCAUCCCACAGUGAAGACGUAUGAUGAAAGCAAAGGUAGGGCUUCUAAACCAAACGCUUUUAGGGAUUUUUUUUUUUUUUUCAACAAAGUUGACCUCUUCAAGGAAAAAAAAAAAGGUUAAAAAAACUAUUGCUUUUUUGGAUCCAAAUCACCAUUUCCAAUGUGAUAUUUGGAUUUCCACCAUGUAUUUUUUUUUUUUUUAACAGUCAAGGACAUUUUAUGGAUUAUUGAAAGAUAAUAUCUUUCAACUUAAUUUCCUACAUUAAUUAAGUCUUAGGCUCAAAUGUGAAACUUAAGUGGUUGUUAGGCCAUCAAACCCAUCUGCCCUAAAGUAUAAUUUCCCAUUUUCAAAAUAUAUAGUUGUUAAACAUCUAUCCCAAACUAUUGUAACCCUUUGAAGUGCUUGGUAUGUUAACCUUGUUUCCUUUUCCUUAUGCAACAUGGCUAAUUGAUUGUUGCAUUGAAUCAUUAUCAUUCACCAAAUCCAUUCAACUAUGGACUUACCUUUCAAAUCCCUCUAACAAAAAUGGUAAUUCCAAAACAACUCAAGUCUAAUGUUCUCAACUCUUUCAAAUGAUUUAAUUAAUUGGUGUUUGAAUAUACCUCUUAUAUUUUUUUAGAGCAAUUUUUAGGCACAUAACAUAAAUUUCUAAUUUUUUUUUAGAAAAGGUUUUAUAUUUUAUAUUUUAUAUUACAACUUCCCCUUUUUUUUCCAUCUAAAAAACAAAACAUAAAACCUUAAUAACCGAGUUUUGUCACAAACCCUUAACAAAUAAUCUAUUUUCCAAAAAUUACUUUAACAUCUUUAAACAUAUUGAUUUAGUAUACUUUACUUUUAAUAUUUUUUGAAAAAUAUUUUUAUUUUAUAUGAUUAUUAAUUAAUUAAGAUUGAUUGGGUAUGGUAGAAUAUAUAUUCCAAAAUACAUCGUAUUGAGAACAAUAUCACAAGAUAUUAUAUCCAUAUCUUAACAUAUUAUAUACUUUUAUUUUGUGCAAUUAGCAAUUGGACGGAAGGUAGGGAGCCGGCUUAAUGGAAAUGUCGCAUCUCACGUGUGUCCCUUCCCUUACCAAGUCUCAACAAAGGAUGAAAAUAUCGGUAAUCACGGAUAUAUCGGUACUUCGAUUUUACGGAUAUAUUAGAUAUAUCAGAGAUAUAUUGACGGAUAUUUUGGAAAAAAAUAUCGAUAAGCCUAAAAUUGAUCAAAAUUUAUAAAAAUAUAAAAAAAACUUCAUAAAAAUGUAAUUAAAAGAAGGUCGUAUAAGUUACUCAUGUUGAUCAUGUGAUAUAUCACGAGAUAUAAUCGAUUUUUGGGAAUUUCUCACGAAAAUAUCGCGACAUUUCUUCCUUGUCUCGACUGCUCCAAGAUUUCCUAUACGCCCUUCUUCGCUUAGCUCUUAAGUCUUUUCUUCUCCUCUUCCUCAAACCCAUCACAUUUCGCCGCGUGGAGCUAAGUCUCAAGGUCCUUUUGUUCGUACGAUGUAUGUUCCCCCAAUUCCUCAUCUACCUUGAAACUCCAUACUCGCCAUCUACUCAACCACUUCUCUACUCUAGAGUCUGGAUGCUUUAUCUCCGCGAGUGUCGAUGGCUCUUCACCCCAGCGAGUAUGGAAUUACAAGGGCAAUAUCGUCAUUAAAGACACAACAGGCAAACCAAUGGCAUUGUCUUCCUUUUGGUCUAUUUUAUUUAUGCUGUAAGUAUUCGUGCUUGACUUCUCCCGCGUCUCUUAUAAAAACUAAAGAAAACCACUCCAACAGAGCACACUUCAAGAAUCUUCUUUUUUUUUUUCUUUCCUCUUUCUCUUUACAUAUAUACUGAGAAAGCCCAGCUCAUCCCUCAAUUCCCAGAUGGGUUUUAUGAAUGUUCUCAAGUUCUCAGCUGCAUGCUUUGAUAUUCUUGCCUGGUAUGUUGUCCACGCAUUUUCUCGCCAUUGGAAAUUUUUGGAAAAUGAAGUGGAAUUCUCUGUUUGAGGACAAACAUGGGAUUUUCUUUGAUUUCUCCCUGUUGGUUUUAUCUAUAUUCUUUGGAUUACCCACAUUCUUGUCAUUGAUUGUUAGUCAUUUGUUUGGAUUUCUACUUGCAGGCCUCUAUUUGCACUGGGUUAUCCUCUGUAAGUCUUGGUCUUACACCUCAAGAUAUGAUGAUUCAUUUACUCUUUUCUUGUUCUACGAAUAGUUCAGUUACAUUUAUUGUGUUGGGAAACUGAAAAGGGAAAGGAUUAUUCUUUAUUAUCGUAAUAAUCAUCAACAUCAUCUCGGUUCUUCACAGAUGUUCUUCAAUUCGGGCAAUUGAGACUAACUCAAUCUCAGACUUUCGGAAGUUGGUGGCGUAUUGGGUUCUAUUUUCCUUGAUUUCACUCUUUGAUCAUGCUUUUUCCAAGCUCCUUGAAUGGUAAUUUUGCUCAACUGCGUUCCACUAUAUGUGACUCUGUUUGUUUCAUUUCUUUGCCCUUAAGGAAUUUGGAGUUGCUUUUUUCAGUUUUCUUUCCUAUGAAAAUAAUCGAGAUGUUUAAUGUUCCAGGCCUCCAUGUAUUUUAUAUUCCUUCAUUUCUCUGCUUUGACAAAUGCUCACAAUCUGAUCAGCAGAAAGGUUAUAACAUUUGAAAAAGAAGUGGUUUAUUUUUGUUUUUUUUAAGUACAAUAAUUUUCGUUUGGAUAAAUGGUCUGAAGGGUGUUUGUGUUUGGCUGAGUUCAUGGAAUUUUCAAGCUAAUUUGGGAUUUAUUCUCAAUUUCAAGAUCAUUGUGGAUAUGUCAGAAAUUAAUGAAAUAUAAAUGGUGGAAUGUGAUUUUCUUGUUUAAGAAAAGUUUUUCUUUGAAAAUGCGGGUGCACCAGACCUACCUUAUUGNNNNNNNNNNNNNNNNNNNNNNNNNNNNNNNNNNNNNNNNNNNNNNNNNNNAUCAGAUUCAACUGUGAUAGCCCGGAAUUUAAUUCAGUAUUCGACUCUUCUGGGAACAUGUUGGUUAUGGUUUCUCUCUCACUGUCCUCUUCUUUACACAUGACUUUUCAGUUGAGGAGCACAAAGCCUAAUGUUGAAGUGAAAGAGAUCAAAGCACCUGCAGCACCGGAGAAAAAAGGGGAACAGGUAAGUACUCUAAUGUGGCUAUUUAAUUUCUAUGGAGGCAGAUCCCCAGAGAAAUGCUGUUCAUGUAAAUUACUGAUGCAUUUGAUUCAAUGGCCACGGUUUUAAAAGAAAAACCACUUUAUGUAUGUUUCUGUGAAUGAGAGAACAAGUUUAUGGAUUAAAUGAUAUUUUUUAUGGUGAAAUAAUCAAUAAUUUUCAAAAUAAUAAUACAUUCCUGCAUGUUUUUGCAAUUCAUGAAUUCCUUUUAUGAUUGAUUCUUCUCACCUUUUUUCUCACCUCAGUGGAAGUGUGAAGAGCCUAAUGUUGCUCAAAAAGAGAUCCAAGUAGUCAAAGUAACAGAGAUAAAAAAUGGGGGGGAUGGAGCAAAGAGGGUAAGUUUUGCUUUUUAUUUAUAAAGUAGGCUGUCUUCACACAAGGAUUAUUAUUAUUAUUAUUGUUAUUAUUUUAAGACAUGAAUGUUGAAUGAUUUUGGAAUUGUCCUUGAAUCAUGUGAAGUGUGAAUGGUCUAAUGCUGCUAAGGAGGAGGUCAAAGUGACAGAAGUAACACAGAGAACAUUUGGUGGUACAGCACAGUGGGUAAGGUUUCAUGUCAUAUUUAAAUGGCUCCUCAUAUUUCACUAGGAUUAAUUUUGCCCCUACAAACUAUUUGGCUACAAGUUAAGACAGAGUUCCAGAUGCUGAUAAAGCUGAGACAUAAGUAAUGAACGAAUUUAGACACAUGCACAACUCUUGUGUGAAACACAAUGAGAGUGGAAAAUAGCUAAGUUGAAAAAUGGCCAAAUACUAUUUUGUAGUUCCCCCUACCACUUAAGUAAUUUUUGUCAUCCUUUGUGAAUGGAAAAUGCAGUCCCUUCAGUAAUUCCAUUAUAUUCAUGACUUGGUGAAGCAUAUAACCAUUAGUGUCUUACCCUAAGUCGACCUUUAAUGAUGAUCCAUUGAGAUGGGUCUGACUUUUGUCAACCCUCUUAUUCCCUUGAUCAUAGAGGUGAAACUUAGGGGGCUUAACCCACUUUUCAAUCUUAUUGGAUAUAUGGCACGUGGUAUCCUCUUCAUCUUGAAAGAGUGAAGUGGUCAUACUCUUUCCUCUGAGUCCAUUGUGGCCAUGCACUUCAGGCUCAUUGGGCUGAGUGAAAGGAUUCCCUUCUGCUUCAAAUCAUAGAGAGAUAUGCCAUGGUCAGCCUCUUUAAUUCAAGGGAUUGAAGUACUCAAAUCCAUUUCUCUGUAUCCAUCUUAGUUCUGCAUUCAUGUCUCAUGGUUAACCAAGAAGAUCCAGCCUCCAUCCAUGAGAUCAGCAUCUGCAGGUUUAUGACACCACCCUUCCUUUGCAUAGGAAAGGGAUCAUUAAGCCAUGUGUCGGAUGACAGAAGUCAUCAUUCAGGUUAUCUUGAGAACUAAGGAAGUUGGAAUUCUAAUUAUUGCAUAUGGUUCUUGAUGUUUAGCCAAUAUACUAUAGGAUUUUAAGCAUCAUGCUCACGUGCAUUGUGGUUGCUUAUCAGCUAUAUGGUUUGCCAAAAUGAGGGACUGAUUAUGGUCAUAAGUACCUUUUUCCCAUUAAUUUCUUGCAUGUGCUCUGCUGAGAUUAUGUUUUUGACAGUCCAAAUCAGGGCAAACCAACAAACAGCUUUAUGUUAACUUUUACAAACUGCCAUAUUUUCAGGUUAAACAAACAGAGAUAAAUCUUGGUGAAACUAGAAGUAAUACAACCUGUGCUGUGGAGAUAAAAGAAAGGGCAGCAGCACUGGUGGCUGCAGAAAUUGAGGCAUGUAGAGACGAUAGAACCCCCAAGAUACCUCUUCAUGAGAAAGUCCAGAAAGAGUGGGCUUGUGCUGUGUGCCAGUUCACAACCCAAACUGAAGCGACCUUCAAUUCCCACCUUCAAGGGAAGAGACAUCAGGCCAUUUCUGAGCAGCUGAGAGCCAAAAAUCAGGCAACCAAAACCAAUUGUUCCCCAUCUGCUUCAAUGGCCAAGAAAUCUGAUCAGUCCACCAAAGAGGAGCAACCGAAGUGUACUUCCAAUCUGAAUUCCAAAAACAAUGGAAUCUCAGCUGCUUCAACAGUGAAGAAACUUGAUGAGACCAAAGAUGAUGAGCAACAAAAGUCUGCAUCUAGCAAUGGACCGAACCAGAAGAAUAACAAAAAGCAAGAGGUACAGACCAAUGAGCAAGGCCGUCAGAAGAACUUAAGGCAAACUGGUGAUGGAAUGAAAGAGUUGAGAUCAUGGUGCAAUAUCUGUAAUGUAAGCUGCACAAGGGAGCUUGACCUGGCCUCGCAUCUCAAUGGAAGGAGGCACUUUGAUAGGAUAAAGCAGCUGUCUGAAUUAUGGUGCAGUAACUGCAAUGUAAGGUGCAACAGUGAGGUUGAUAUGGCCUCUCACCGAAAUGGGAGGAGGCACUUGGAGCAGCUGAAGGAACGGUUAGGAUUAUGGUGCAGUAUCUGUAGUGUGAGUUGCAACAGCAAGGUGGACAUGGAUUCUCACCUAAAUGGGAAGAUUCACUUGGAUCAGAUCAAGGACCAGUUAAGAUUAUGGUGUGGGGCAUGUAAUACAACCUGCAAGAGUGAGCGCAACAUGGCCUUUCAUCUGAAUGGGAGGAAGCACUUAGAGAAGAAGGGGAAUACCUGAUUUGCAUGUUUCUUCAGAUUAUUGAUACUUACAAAUGGUUUUAGUUAGAAGCAUACAGGCCAGUGGGUGGUGGUCACAGAUGCCUCUAUUUUGUUGUAUGAAGUAAAAACAGUAUUUCCAUGUCCAGAAAUCAACCACUUGUUUAGUGCAUGCAUGGCUGGUUCAAAAUUAAACCUAAUUGUGAAUGACUAGGAGCAGGGAGGGAAAAAUUGAAGGGAAGAAUGUAAGAUUAUGGCUUCAUUUUUAUUUUUUCCUCUUCUGAAAAUUGUAAGAUUGUGUUAGGAGGAGCUGGAAUGGGUUCAAAUCAGGAAUUAAGACCCAGUUCCAAGACAUGGAAAGUGUCUUUAGAUUAUGUUAAGUUAUUUCCAUUUUUUUUUCUUUUCUAUUUUUUUUCUUUAUUUAUUGUAAGAGGGAGCAUAAAUGAAUUUUUAUUUUUUAUUUUUUUUUUCAGAAUAAAGAUGAAUUUGAUAAUUUCAAUUAUUGCGUUUGGAUGUAUUUCGGAACGUAAGAUUGAAAUAAUUAUUUGUUUUCAUUUUAGUGUUUGAUAAUAAUGAAAGUAUGAAUUAAAAAAUAAAUUGAUAAUAAUACUCUUACAUUUAAUUUAAAACAAUUUUUUAUUUUUAUUUUUAUUUUAGAAGAAUAUGGGUUAAUUUUAUUUAUUUAUUUUUUAAAUAAUAAGCUUAAGAAAAAUAAUUUUUACUCAAUAAAUAAAAUUAAUCAUACAAAGUCAUAAAAACCAAACCAAAAUAUAAGGGUAAAAUAGUAAUUUUAAAAUAUUCAUUUAAGUUAUCCAAAUGCAUUCCUACUCUUCAUUCUCUUGUACGAAAUACGGUCUUUAAGCGUUUGUCAAACUUAUUUCUUUUUUGGCAAUAUAUCAAUAUUUUAGUAAUAUUUUUAUCGAUUAGUUGCUGAUAUUUAUCGCCACGUCACCAAUUCUUUGAGUUUGACUUUCAAAAUUUUGAAAUGAUCAUUGAAGUCCAGUUCAGCCCAAAUCACUACACCCAUGAAAGGGAACGGCUGGGCCACCACACUAAUAUGGCCCAUACAUGGGACCUCGUAAAAGAAUACCCAUCUUCAAAAAUAGGGACCAUAUUAAAUUAUUAAUGUAGCUAUAGGAAGCAUUUGAGGACAAGGGUCAUGAUUUUUCCCUUUUCUUUUUCUCCUUAAUUUUCACAUCACCCAACAACACCACUCUUAAUUCACACAAAUUUGAAGGUUUGGAAUGAGACUUAUUCGUAUUUAUAUUGUAAUUAUGCUAUAAUAAUCGUGUCGUAUUUGGAUUUAUUUAUUAAAUCCAUCUAAAUCUUUUGUUUAUUCGUGUCAAAACAAUAUAUUUAUAAUCGAAUCCAUUUAUGACAUAUUCAUCUUUUAUAAAUUUAUUAAUUUUAUAUAUUUUAAAAUUAUAAAAAUUAAAUAUAUUUUUUCAAUUAUGAAAUCAUAUUACUAAAAUAUUAAAUAAUUCAUUAACUUGAAAUGUUUUACAUUUCAUUAAUUAUUUUAUAAUUACAACAUUAAGUGAAAUAAUAAAUAGGUAUAAAAUAUAUAUUUUAUUUUAGUUAAAAAUUAUAAAUUGUUAUUGAGACAUAUAACUAUUAAAAUUCUACCCAUUUGACUAUCAAACAAACAACUUAAGUUUUUAGUCAUGAUUUAAGCUUAUGAUAAACUCUAUUUACAAAAAUUAGAAACCAAAAUCAAAUUCUUCCUAGACUCAAAAACAUAAAGACAAUCUUUUAACUUUAGAAGACAACUAUCAUCUAAGAUAAGGGUAACUCAUCCCAUUGCAUGUACAACAAUUCUUGCUUCAAAAGCUAAUGUUAGGUACAUAUCCCUAUCAUUCAACCUUUCCCUUAGCUAAAACCCCUAUAAAGAAUUAUAAACAUGAUCAAUGGCUCCAAAAUUUAUCCACCAAGAGUUAGUGGAAUCUAACACUAAAAAUGAUUCAACUAAAAGAGAAUGAUGCAUACCUAACUGUCUCUUCAAGAACUAAGGGCAUUCCUUCUUCUAGUGGCUUUUUUUACCACAAAGGAAACACUUAUCAUGACCCUUACUCUUCUUCUUUUUCCCUUGCCCUUGAACUUUCCCUUCUGCUUGGUGAAUUCUACAAUGUUCUUCUUAUUUUGGUUAGAAGAACCUAAAGAACACUUAACUGCCAUAUAAAUACCUCUCUGGUCCUUGAGAAUUCCCUCAAUUGUUUUGUGUUCUCUCAUCAGUUCGGUUAUAGUUUAAGAAAAAAAAUGUUUUUUUUAUGUGACUAAACUUGGAAUGAAUGUCCAAGUUGCAUACAUACUCGGGCUAAGAUCAAGUCAUAACGUAGUUUAAGAAAAAAGAUUUUUUUUUUUUUUUUUUUUUUUUUUUUUUUGUGAUUGAACUUGGAAUGGAUUUCUAAGCUACUUACGUAUCCAGGAUGGGAUCAAGUUCUAACAUAGUCACAAUGCAGUUCAAGAAUUUUUUUUUUCUUUUUUUGUGCUCUAACUUUUGCCAAGACUAAAGAUCUUAAUUUUGCGAGCAUGUUCUAACUUUUGCCUAGGUCGCCUUUCCAAGUUUUCAAUUUAGCAAACAAGGUUUUUUUUUUCUUUUUUUUCUUUUUCUUUUUUUAGUUCUCUAACUUUUGCCAAGACUAAAGAUUUUAAUCUUGGAAGCAUGUCUUAACUUUUACCUUAAGUCGAAUUUUUAGGUUUUCAAUGUGGUGGAUUUUUUUUUUUUUUUUUUUUUUUUGUGUCGUAGGUAAUUUAAGCUCAUAUGGAUUGGAAGCAAUGUGUAGUUUGUUGGGAUUAAGCCCUUAAAAGCAAGACAUGAUGUAAUAAAGUUAAACUUAACUAUUUCCUUACUAUCUUUUUGGUGUAUCAACAUUGAUUUAAACAUUCAACCCAUAUCUCUUACAUUGUACAUGAUUUAGGAGCAUUAAGAGUUGCACAAAAGAUACAAGUUAUGGGUUCCUUGUAAGUAGAUGAGUUAUCCAUAGUCAUUUCAUGGAUUUGGGCAAUCUAGUAGUGACUAUAGUGCACCACCUCCUAAUUUAAGGGAUGACUUGUCUUGGCAGUUGGGAUGAGUUUCCUAUGGUGAGCGUACUAGUGUAAAUGAUGCACAUUGGACAGGACCUAUGGUGAAUCAUGACGCAAGGCUAUCAAUUGUCAUGAUUCACCAAGUUACUAUACUACAUGGACUCUCAACCUUGAGAGGACAUUGAACCCAUGUCAAAAUCAAUAGAAAGUUUUGACCUAUGGGCGAGACCCUAAAGUAGUCAUAUAUUCCUAUGGAUUAGGUCAUUGUUGAUGUAGGCUGGUUAUAAUAGGCAUUCUCAAUAGAGGCACCAUGAUAUGUCAUGGGAUUGAGAUGGUGUGUCCCUUUGGGUGAUCCAAAGAACAUGUGAUCAUGAAAUUUGUGGCCACAGUAAUUCCUUUAGUGAAAUUUGACAUAUGCUCCUUGGAGUUAGAGUAUGUCAAUUGAUCACAUAAUAAGUGAGAUCUAUAACUCAAGGAUUUGAGAGAUAAUAUUGAUAGGUGAUAACACUAACUUGUUAGAUUUAGACACCAGUUUCAUGAGGAAUAUGCAUGUAGUGGAUAGUAGGUCAUGAAUGCGAGCUUUGUCUCGUUGUUAUUUACAUAAGGUACCGGAGUGUAGUUGAUUCUCUUUAGUAGAGUGUUGAAUCAACUUCAAAAUUGGAUUAUGAGGUAGUCAGUACUCCUAUGGGUCUCAAUGGUCCCCACUCUGAGCUAAUAUACCAUGAUGACACAAUUUAUGAGGGUUGGAUUGACUUUAGGUUCAUUCUUAUGCAUAAGGGCAUUUUGAUAAUUACACAAGGUUGCAUAGGGGAUAAUAAAUAAGGUCUCUAGAUUGGACUAAUUGAUUAAUUAGAUGGCCUUAUGUGGUUAAUUAAUCAAUUAAGACAUGUUAGGGCUAGAUUAAGUGACCCAAGCCUUGAUGGGUUCAAGUCACUUAAGCCUAAUGGGUAACCGUAUAAAUACCUCCUUAUGGGUUAGGGUUUUCUAAUGACUUUUAGUUAGUCAUCUUCCACUUUUAGAAAAAUAGAGAGAGCCAAAGCUUCCUCCUUUCCACUGCCCACACUUUGGUAUGCCAAGAUCGGGAAUCGAGUCAUCGAACAAAAGAUCUUAGGUGUACGAGACCUUUGAACUCUUUAGGCUUCUUCUUCGUUGGAUGGAUUUUGAUCUGGGAACAUCUAGAUCACAUGUAUGUGUUAUAAUAUUUGGUUAAUUCAACCUAAGGUAAUCACCCUAGAGAAGGGGUGAAUAGGGUGAUGAUUUUUUUUUGCAAAUUUAAAUUAUGUGAAUGCAAGAGACAAUUAUAUGCAAAAUAUAUGGCAAAACCAUAUAAAAACAAUUGCAUAUAAAGUAAAAGGUUAAGGAAGAGAGAAUAUAAACACAAGAUUUUUAUAGCGGUUCAGUGCAACCCGACCUCCAUCCAUUCUCUUCUAGCUUCAAUACUAAACUUGAGGUUCCACUAAUUCAAGGCUUCCAAUCCAAGCCUUCAAGUAAUACAAUUGGAUUAUGGUUCCAAUCAAACCUCUUGAAAUUUUAGUUCUAAACACAUUUUACAAUCUUCAAGAGAUACCUCACUCUUGAACAACUCCUUAAGUGAUACCUCACACUUGAGAAUCCCUAAGUGAUACCUCACACUUAGAUUUUUCAUCUCAAAGAUUUAUCCGCUCUGCACCCACCUCCCGAGUAUAUGCUUCAACAGGAAUCACACAAGGGUAGAUUGAUACAAUAGAAACCUCUGGUAAAAUGCCCGCUCGUAACCCAGCAGAUAAAGUACAUUACAUAGUCCGUUUUAGGGAUUGGCUACUUACCCAUUCAGUGACUUUGGCACUGGACGUUCCCAAAAUGGGUACUAUCGGGUCGGGUGAAUUCAAUAAUAGACGCCUGUUGGCAUUCCAGCCUUCCUUCUCCUUUCAGGGCCUAUCCGAAAGAGAAUCCAGUACUUCUUGGUCAAAUGAAGAUAGGAAAUUAUUAGCCUAAGGACUCUCCUAAUCGGGUUUUGAUGAUAACAAACCAUGAUUAAAUGACUAAUUGGUUUAAUGGUUAAGAAUCUCAAGCAUAAACUCGAAAAUUCAUCAAAUGACCAAAUGGAUACAAGAUCGAGACAUUUGGAAGACUUGUGAUCAUAGGAAACUAAUGUAAGAUGAAUGCAUGAGUGCACUUAGGAUUUUCAUACCGUUUCAUACAAUUUAGAAAACUCAGUUUAUUCUUUAAAACUUCAAUUUCAUUAAAACCCGAGUUUUAACAAUUGUACCUCAGGCAAAAUGUUUUAAAAUUGGCAUAAUAAUUCACCUAAAAACCUUGCCUAAGUGUUAGGAAAGAAAGGAAUUGAAAAAGAUAGGUUUUCGGGGCCAAAAGGCUCAACCGGUCGAGGCUAUGGCCAACCAACUCAACCGGUUAGGGAAUCGGUCGACUGGUUACCCUUGUCCAGUUGAGGUCCGAUCGAAGGAUGCACAAAAUUUUCUCUCUCUCCCAGUAGCCUUCUCUUCCCGGUUGAGGUUAUUCUCUUCCCUGUCGAGGUCCGGUAUAGGCAACGGUAACCUGUCAAGCAUUAAAUGCUCCAACGGCUAGCGAACCGGUCAACCCCUAGCUCGACCGGUCAAGGUUACCUUUUGUUGUUUUUGACUCCCGAGCUUAGAAACCUAUAAAUUGAGAGCUCCACUUCAUUUAUUGACGAGAUAACACUUGCAAUCAAUUGUCUACCUAUUUGUUCUUGAUCAGAAAGCUCUCAUUUCUUUCUUAGUACAUUAAAUCAUCACUUGCAUAUCCUUUAGUGCACUCUUGUGUGUCAUCCUAGAUUUGUCUUGUAUUUGAGCUAUCUUUAAGCUAGGUUGAGGGAUUCAUUCUUGUAAAAACCGAGUGUUAAAGCCUUCAAGAAGUUUAAAUCUUGAAGAGAUUGUGUAAGAGUCCAUUGGAGCCAAAAUCCAAGUGUAAGAAGAUUGGAAGUUUGGUUGAAGUUUCAAGUUAGUGGAACCUUCACUCGGUUAGGAGAUUGAGGAGACUGAACGUAGGCAAAGAAGUGUCGAACUACUAUAAAACCCGAGUUUGAAUUCUCUAACUCUAGCUCUUUAUUUUGCUUAUAUUGUGCUUGAACUCGUUGUGAUUUAAAAGAAUUUAAAAAACCCCUAUUUGGGUGUUUUUCUUAAUUAAGCAUAGCCUUUAUUUUCUCAUAAAUAAUCUUACAAAAUCUUAGUACAAACUUUAGCCUUAAAUGAUACAAAAUAAACUAGGAUUGAAUGGUGCACUAAUGAUAUGUAAGUUUUAAAACAAUGUGUACAAAAAACACUCCCCUAAAGCUCAAAUAUAUUCGAGAAAGGUUUAAGAAGGUUAAACUCUUGAAACAAUAAAUAUUGAAACCUUUUUAUAGAAGAGAAAAACCAAACUACCUGUUGGGGAUUCGUUCGAUCAAGCUCUGGUUCGACCAGUUCACUAGCCUUUAGCAUUUAAUGUAUGAUAGGUGACCAUUGGACCUUGACUACCCCUUGAUUGGUACUCGACCGGAUGAAGUUCAACCUUGAUUGAUCGAAUAAGCAUUCUGGAAGAGAGAUAAGGUUUUUGCACCUUUCAACCGAGUAAGCUGAAUAGGUCGACUAAUUUCUCAUUCGAUUCAACCGAUUGAGUCAUUUUUUGCUCAACAACUAUUAUUUUCAACUUAAAACCUUUUAAACAAGUUUGGAAAGCAUUUGACAUAAGGUUUUAGUUGAAAACAUGAAAUCAUCCAAUUUUUAAAAGAUUUAAAACAAAAUAACUCUUGAAUGAUUUUGGUGUAUAAGUAAAGAAUGUAAUGCAUGAAAAACCCAAUGCACCAACAACCUUACAAAGAGAUCCUAUGAGUCUUAGGUCUUGAAAAACACUUAUCUUUAAGGUCUUCUUCUUCUUAUUGAUUUUAUCUUUGUGAUUGCCACUUUGGAAAUCAUCUUGCCUAGUCACACUUAAAAUAUAAUCAUUAGUUCUAAAUCUUGUUUUGUUAUCAUCAAAACUAAGAUUAACCAAACCUUGGUUUCACAAUAUGAAUAUUGUAUCUCUAGAUCUAUAGUUAAUAGUGGUUUUUAUAGUCAUUUGUUUCCAUUGCGAUAAAUUUAGAGAAGCUUAGGGAUAGAUGAAUGCACCCUAUGAGAUCUAGGGCAUAGGAAUGGAGUAAUCCGGGGUUCCUAACAUAGUUUAGGCUUGUGCUUCAUGGAGUGAUAACAAUUCUUCAAGCAUAGUUAUGCUUUAGAAAUUUGUUAUUGAUUGGUCCAAUUUUUAGACCAUCUUCAGCAACAAUCUUGUGUGCACCAUUGAUAUAAUCUUGUUAUACAAAAUAUGAUCUAUCACAUUUUUGGCAAGAACUUUCCACUGGUUUUGUGCAUGGUAAUGAUCAUGCAUGCAAACUUAACUAAGUUAUACACUAGAUGCCAAACUACUACAAUUCUUAUACACCUUCCCGUUUUGUGCAACUGAACAAUUCAACAUCAUAACACCAAAGUUCUUGCUUAGAUUUCCUACAGUGCUAAAAUUUUGAAAUGAUUAAUUUGUUUAUUUUUCUUUCAAUCCCAAGACCCACAUACAUCAUGUCAUGCCCUAAGACCCACUCUAAGGGCAUGACAAUCAUUUCACAUCUCAAGGUCGAAAGCUCAAAGUGUAAAUUGACCUUAACAUUCAUUUUGUAACUGGAAAAUUAUCAAUUACCAAAUUCAUAUUUAUAGUAGUAGAAUAAAAUUCUACAAGUUUCAAAUCUCAACUUUAAAGUUAACACAUCAACUAAAGUGUUAUUGUCCAAACAACUUCAAACUUAACAAUUCAAGCAAUCAUUAAAUUCUAACUUUCAAAAAAUAUUUUUUAAAAAUAAAGAUUUAACGAAAAGUCUUAGUAUUGCCAAAAUCUCAUCCUAACCUUCACUCCUAGCCUGAAUUAAGGUGCCUAAAAAAUUGUCAAUGAAAGGAAAUGAGAUCAACGCUCAAUAAGGAAUAUUAAUAAGGUUUCAUGGAUCAAACAUUUUUAAUUAUAAUUCCAAAUAGGAGAUAUAAUAUAUAAUCAUUUUCAUAAGAAAUUUUGAGUUUAAAUAUAAUAAUAUAUUGAAAACUUUUCAGCUAAACAUUUUCAUAUCUAUGUCAAAACAAUUUCAUAUCAAAUUCAAAUCAAAUAUAUACAAAAUAUUUUUACUUUGGUUAUCAAAUGUCACAUGGUGUCAAGUUAGGUGGGACUUUACAAAUUGGUGUCUAACCUCAAAUUUUUUCCUUUCAAGGUGGACGAAACCAAACACUACUAGUAUUAUUAACAUCUAACCAAAUCCCUAAAGGGUGAGAUCUAAAGCAAUUACAUUCUCCGCCAAGAAAUAUAAGGUCAACAAUUAUAACUCGUUGACUAGGGACAAAAAUAAACUAGAGUCAAACACCUUAUUUCAUUAAUUCAAACUUGCAAAACAAAAACAUCAUAUCUCCAUAAUUUUCAUUUUUUAUAAACAAAAGAAAUGUUCUAACAUAGUUUUUUCAUGAAAAAUAUAUAUUUGAUCCAUGCAUAAAAAUAAAAAUAAUUUUUUUAUUAUUCAAAAUAACAUAUAAAAAUAAAUAUGUUCUUUUGGCCAAAACAUGUAUUAAUUUUUCUUACCUCAAAGAAACACUCAAAGACCUUGAAGCAAUUAAUCCUAAAGAAUUUCACCCCAAAAAACAUAUUUCACACCUUACUAAAAAAAAAAAAACAAAACAAAAAAAUUACUAUUGAUUAUUUAUCUAAUAAUAGUUUUGUAUUUUAUAUCACCUAUAUUAUUUUUAACUUCCUAAUAAAUAACAAUUUAAUAAGCGAUUUUCCAAAUUUUUAAAAGUUAUGUUCUUUCCAAAAUUUAUUCAUAAUAUUCUAUUAUUAUUAUUAUUAAUUAAAUCUCUCAAAAAUAUGUUUUUUCUAUUUAUUGCAUUAAACUAUUAUUAUUAUUAUUCAAUUUCAAUUUGAUUAAUUGGUUUUUUCUUUUAAAUUCCUAAUUUAUAUAAGAUUCUUGUUUUGAAAAUCUUCCAUAUUUACUUAUUUGUUUAAAGUAAAUUUCUCCAAAACUUGUUCCUUUUGGUUAAACAAGUAUCUUUUCCUAUUAUUAUUAUUAUUAUUAUUAUCCCUAAUAUUAUAUUCAAAUAACUAAACAAUAAUAAUUUAAAUUAGUGAGUUUCCAAAUUUUUAUAAAACUCAUAUUCAUUCUAAAUCUUAUCAUAUAUAUCAAUUUCUUUUAUAUACUUAAAUUAAAUUAAAAAAUUUACUUAAAAAAUAUAUAUAUUAUAUUAUUACUUUCAACAUCCUUCUACCACCCAAACAAUUACUUCAAGUAAAAGUCAUAUAUCCUUAUUCUACUAACUAUCCUCUCUCUUGCAAUAGCACACUUAGGGAUGGCAAUGGGGUGGGUUCGGGAUGGAUCGCCCCUAUCCCAACUCCUCCCCAUUUAUUCAAAAUAAUUUUCAUCCUCGUCCCAUUUAAAAAAUUAAAUGAGGCAGGGCGAGUAUGAUAAAUUCUCAUAUUCGCCUCGCCCCGCCCCGUUUAACUCUUUUUUGAAUUUUUUUUUAAAAUUACUUUAAAAAUUUUUAAUUACAUUAAAAUAAAUAUAUUUUAUAAAUAAUUAAAUUAUUAUAUUUUUUAUAACUUAUUUUAUUAAAAAUAUUUUAUUAUUAUCUAUAUAUUAAAAAUAGUAAAAUAAAAAUUAAAUUAAAUUAAUUUUAUAUAUAAUUGGGGUGGGACGGGAUGAGGCAAUACCCAAACCUGCUCCGGGUUUUAAAAAAAAUUCUCAAACCUAUCCCAAACCCGUUUAUUAAAAUUAAAUCUCGUCUCAUUAGGGACGAGGCGAGUACCUGAAAAAACCUGCCUCAUUGCCAUCCCUAGGCAAACUUUCAUUUUUUUUUUUUUUUUUAUCUUUUUCCUCCUUAAGAUCAAUCCUAUUGUAAGCACCCUUUUUUUUUCUACCACAUCUUGUUGCAAGCAACCUUGUAAGUUUUUUUAAUUUAAAUUUUUUUUCCACUAUGGAGGCACGUACAACCAUAAAACCUCCUCUUUUUUUUAUUUUAUUUUUACAACUCUCAAAUCUCUCAACCUCCAUACUAUUAGGUUUUAUUCAUUUAUUUAUUAUUAUUAUUAUUAUUAUUAUUAUUCCAUAUCCAAAACUAUAAUUAAUUUUCUUUUAUAUUUUUUUAUUUUAGAUCUAUUAAUUUGAAUAUUCGAAAUUUUCUAAUCUUACUAAUAACUCUAAACGUUCAAAACUAAUUAAUGAAUAUAAAAUAUUAAUCUAAGGAUUAAAAUCUUAUAUAGAAAAUUGAUCUUUAAAUCCUAAACUCCCAAAUUUUCAACCUUACGUUGCCCUAUGUUGUCCAAUCUCUUAGAUCUCCAUGUAAAAGGGUUUUUUUUUUUAAUAGAGUAAAUAAGAAAAAUUUAAUUUAUACCUAAAAUUUUAAAAUGGAGAAAAAUCUUUCUACCCUUAUUAAUUUAAUUAAUUUUUUUAAAUUAUGUUUUUACCCUUGAAUUGGGUCUGGGCAUCACACAUCAUACUAAAAAGUUAUCAAUAACCAUCCUUUGAGGCACAUUAGCAUAAAUUUGCGACUUUAGUUGUGUUCUAGGUGCAAUUCUAUUAUGUUUAAUUGAAAAAUAACACCCAUAGCACAACCAAGCCUAAUUGACAGCAUUUGGGCAAAUAAAUGGUAAAUUUCUAAAAGUUCACCAAAAAAAAAAAAAAACAAAAAAGAUCAUAAAGGGCAUAUUUUUCAAGUCAACCUAGUUUUGGGAUAUUGCAAUCCAAUCUAAGAAUGCAAUAAUAGCUCUUUAAUUCAUAAUUUUAAAUUCACAAAAGAUAUCACCUAAAAUUACUAUAGGUUACCAAAACAUCAACAACAUAUAGAAAGCUUAGAAAUGCUUGGAACCUAUCGAAUUUUCACUUUUUAGGAAUAAAAAAAAAAUGAACUUUAAGGAUUUUAGGGUAAUACUUGCUUGAACCAUCUUUCAAUCCUUUUGUUGGCGGUGGGCCUUUUACCUAUAAGAACAGGAAUGAGAGGUGAAAAGGAGGGAGCCUUAUGAAAACGGAUCCCUAGGGCUUAAGAAGGGGUUUUCAAUUUUAGGGUUUGUCUGUUCACCAAGGAUGUGAAUGGGAAGAUGAGGUGAAGUUAAGAGAUUGGUGAAGCAAAGUGAGGGCAUGGUAGGGUUUGAAUAAGGGAAAGUCUACACUAUUAAUGAAGAUGAUAAUCUUUAGAAAGCAAAGCUAAGGUAAACUAGGGCUUUAACAACAAUUUUCGAUCUACACUAGUGAAGACGAUAUCUUCGAAAACCAAAGCUAAGGCAAGCUAGGGCUUUAAUAACGAAUUUCAAUCUACAAUGGUGAAGAUGAUAAUCUUCGAAAACCAAAUCUAUAAUGGUGAAGAUGAUUAAAAACUAAAUCUAUAUUGGUAAAGACGAUUGGAAAGCAAAUCUACACUAGUGAAGUCAACGAAACCAAAGGUAGGUAAAAAUAAUAAUAAUAAUAAUGCAUUCUUAGAUCCAAAUCACCAUUUCCAACAUGGUAUUUGGAUUUCCACCUUGUAUUUUUUGUUUUUAAUUUUUUCAAUAAUCAAGGACAUUUUAGGGAUUAUUAAGUGACAAUAUUCUUCAACUCAAUUUCCCACAUUAGUUAGGUGUAAGGCUCAAAUGUGAAACUCAUAUAGAUGUUAGGCCAAUCAUCAAACUCAUUUGCCUUGAAGCAUAAUUUCCCCUUUUUAAAAUAGUUGUUAAACAUCUAUCCCCAACACUUGUAACCCUUUGAAGUGCUUGUAUGUUAACCUUGUUUCCUUUUUCUCAUGAAACAUGGCUUAUUGAUUGUUGCAUUGAGUCAUUAUCAUUCACCAAAUCCAUGCAACUAUGAACUACCUUUCAAAUCCCUCGAACAUAAAUGGUAAUUCCAAAACAACUCAAGUAUAAUCUUUCCAAGCCCUUCAAAUGAUUUAAUUAAUUGAUGUUUGAAUAUACUUCAUAUAUUUUUUUAGAGCAAUUUUUUAGGCAUAUAACAUAAAUCUCUAAUUUCAUUUUAUUUUUUUUAUAAAAGGUUUUAUAUUUUAUAUUACAAUUUCCUCUCUUUUUUUUCAUCUAAAAAAAAAAACAUAAAACCUUCGUAAACGAGUUUUGUCACAAUCCCUUAACAGGUAAUCUAUUUUUAAAAAUUACUUUAACAUUUUUAGAUAUAUUGAUUCAGUCUAAUUUAAUUUUAAUAUUUUUUAUAAAAUAUUUUUAUUUUAUAUGAUUAUAAAUUAAUUACUAUUGAUUGCAUAUUAUAGAAUAUAUAUUCUAAAAUAUAUCCUAUUCACAAUAAUAUCAUAAGAUAUUAUAUCCAUAUCCUAACAUAUUAUAUACUUUUAUUUUGUGCAAUUAGCAACAGGGUGGAAGACGGCUUAGGCGGGAGACGGCUUAACGGAAAUGCCGUCUGCCAUGCGUGUCCCUUCCCUUAGUGAGUCUGAACAGCUCCAACAUUUCCGACACGCCCUUCUUCGCUUAGCUCUUAAGUAUUUUCGUCCCGUUUUCAUUAACCCCAUCACAUUUCGCCAUGUGGAUCUAAGCCUCAUGGUCCUUUCGUUCGUACGAUGAAUAUUCCCCCAAUUCCUUAUCUACACUAAACCUCCAUACUCGCCAUCUACUCAACCACUUCUCUACUCUAGAGUCUGGAUCCUUUAUCUCUGCACGUGUCUAUGGCUCUUCACCCCAGCAAGUAUGGCAUUACAAGGGCAAUAUCGUCAUUAAAGACCCAAAAGGCAAACGAAUGGCAUUAUCUCCCUUUUGGGUCUAUUCUAUUUAUAUUGUAAGUUUUUCGUGAUGACUUCUCUCAUAACAGCUAAAAACCACUCCAACAGAGCACACUUCACUUCUUCGUUUUUGUCUUUCCUCUUUUUUUUUUUUAGAGAAGCUGAGAAAGCCCAGCUCGCCCUCAACUCCCCGAUGGGUUUGAUGAAUGUUCUCAAAUUCUCAGCUGCAUGCUUUGAUCUUCUUGGUUGGUAUGUUGUCUACGCAUUUUCUCGUCAUUGGAAAAUUUUGGAAAAUGAAGUGGAAUUCUAUGUUUGAGGAGAAACUGGGAUUUGCUUUGAUUUCUCCAUGUUGGUUUUAUCCCUUUUGUUUGAAUUGUCCAGAUUCUUGUCAUUGAUUGUUAGUUAUUUGUUUGGAUUUCUACUUGCAGGCCUCUGUUUGCACUGGGUUAUCCUCUGUAAGUCUUGGUCUUACACCCCAAGAUAUGAUGGUUCAUUUACUCUUUUCUUGUUCUAUGAAUUCUUAGUUCAGUUACAUUUAUUGGGUUGGGAAACUGAAAAGGGAAAGGAUUAUUAGUUAUUAUCAUAAUAAUCAUCAAUAUCAUCUCGGUUCUUCACAGAUGUGCUUCAAUUCGGGCAAUUGAGACUAACUCAAUCUCAGACGUUCGGAAGUUGGUGGCGUAUUGGGUUCUAUUUUCCUUGAUUUCACUCUUUGAUCAUACUUUUGCCAAGCUCCUUGAAUGGUAAUUUUGCUCAACUUCAUUCUUUGCCCUUCAGGAAUUUGGAGUUGCUUUUUUCAGUUUUCUUCCUUGUGACAAUAAUCGAGAUGUUUAAUGUUCCAGGCCUCCAUGUAUUUUAUUUUCCUUCACUUCUCUGCUUUGAAAAAUGCCCACAAUCUGAUCAACAGAAAGGUUAUAACAUUUGAAAAAGAAAUGCUUUGUUUUGGUUUUUUAAGUGCAACAAUUUUCAUUUGGAGAAAUGAUCUAAAGGGUAUUGGUGUUUGGCCGAAUUCAUGGAAUUUUCUCGCUAAUUUGGGAUUUAUUCUCAAUUUCAAGAUCACUGUGGAUAUUUCAGAAAUUAAUGAAAUAUAUAUGAUGGAAUGUGAUUUUCUUGUUUAAGAAAAGUUUUUCUUUGAAAAUGUGGGUGACCCCAACCUACCUUAUUGUACUACUUGGAACACAAAACAAAAGUUUUUCUCGCUAAUUUAUUAACUAAAUUGCACACUUUUUGAUAGUUCAAGGAAGUGGUGUCAGCUUUGGAAAUAAGAUGGAUGAUUGUAGGGAACUUUAUUUCUCAUCUUUAUAGGGAACUUUCCAUAAUAUAGCUUAUAAAUAUCAUAAUCACAGUGAUGAAUGAUUGUCUUGUUUGAAAGCAUGGUUGCACUUAUUUCCAGGGAAUUUGUCUGCGUUGAAAUUAAAUUAAGCUUUAUGCAUCAUUUGGAUGCUGGGAAACAAAUGGAAAUAGAAAAUUCAGAAUCUGACAAGUUUGUGUAGGGCAACUGGAUCUAAUCUCUUAGUCGAAGCUUAAUAGGGGCAAAUGCUGAUCAUCUUUGAACCUAUUGAAGGCUCUAAUCUGUGCACAAUUCUAAUGUUUUUGUUUUCUUCAUUUCUUUUUCAACUUUUCAUAAUAGAUGUCAAAAGUUAAAACCGAACUUACGUAGUCCAUCCAAGUGGAUGCAUAUAAAUUUAACAGAAACUGAAAUUUGAAGAAAUUUAUUUUCCCUUUUGUAAAUGGUGUUUAAAAAGUCUGUGUGUAGUUUGGUUUUUUUCCUGGAAGAUCAGAUGAUUUCGUGAUCAUUUUUUCUAUUUGCCUUAUCAUCAUGAGAUUUAAGUAUUUUUUUUAAAAAAAUAUUUUAUUUUCUUAUAUAAUGCAUGUCAGGAUACCAUUCUGGCCUUACAUAAAGCUGAUGGUCAUCUGCUGGCUGGUGAUACCGCAUUUUGAUGGUUCCUAUUAUAUCUAUCAAUACCUAGUUCAUCCACGCUUGUCCAUGGAUCCACAAGUUGUCAUGAAUUGGCUCUUCAAUGAAUCAAAAAAGAAGUUUCAUAGCAGAGAAAACUUUCUUGUUUCAGCAGACCAAUAUAUUAAGGAGAAGGGACCUGAAGCUUUGGAGAAACUACUUGCAAGGAAGGUAUGCCAUUAUAAGUAGGAUUGUCAACAAGUCAAAUAGAGUUUUAUUUGAGAUGUUCAAGUAAAAAAUUACUAUAGCAGGUCAUCUAGAAUUAUUGGUCUAAAUUCAUGUAUAUAUCUAUAUAUAAUUGUGUUCUCUUUUUUUCACAUAUGCAUGUGCAUUUAGAUUUACGUAAUUAUAUAUGCAUAAUCAGAUUCAACUGUGAUAGCCCAGGAUUUAAUUCAGUAAUCAACUCUUCUGGGAACAUGUUGGUUAUGGUUUCUCUCUCACUGUCCUCUUAUUUAUACAUGACUUUGGCUUCAGUUGAGGAGCACAAAGCCUAAUGUUGAAGUGAAAGAGAUCAAAGGACCUGCAGCACCGGAGAAAAAAGGGGAACAGGUAUGCACUCUACUAUUUUAUUUCUAUGGAGGCAGAUCUCCAGAGAAAUGUUGCUCAUGUAAAUUAGUGAUGCAUUUAAAAGAAAAACCACUUUAUGUAUGUUUCUGUGAAAAAGAGAACAAGUUUAUGGAUUAAGUGAUAUUUUUUAUGGUGAAAUAAUCAAUAAUUUUCAAAAUAAUAAUAUAUUCGUGCAUGUUUUUGCAAUUCAUGAAUUCCUUUUACGAUUGAUUCUUCUCACCUCAGUGGAAGUGUGAAGAGCCUAAUGUUGCAGAAAAGGAGAUCCAAGUAGUCAAAGUAACAGACAUAAAAAAUGGGGGGGAUGGAGCAAAGAGGGUAAGUUUUCCUUUUUAUUUAUAAGGAAGGCUGUCUUCACGCAAGGAUUAUUGUUAUUAUUUUUAAGACAUGAAUGUUGAAUGCAUUUGGAAUUGUCGUUGAAUCAUGUGAAGUGUGAAGGUGCAAAUGGUGCUAAGAAGGAGAUCAAAGUGAUGGAAGUAACACAGAGAACAUUUGGUGAUACAGCACAGUGGGUAAGGUUUCUUGUCAUACUUAAAUGGCACCUCAUAUUUCACUAGGAUUAAUUUUGGCCUACAAACAUAUUUGGCUACAAGUUGAAGACAGCUUUCCAGAUACUGGUAAAAGUUGAGACAUAAGUAAUGAAUGAGUUUAGAAACAUGCACAACUCUUGUGUGAAACACAAUGAGAGUGGAAAAUAGCUAAGUUGAAAAAUGGCCAAAUACUAUUUUGUAGUUCACCCCACCACUUAAGUAAUUUUUGUCAUCCUUUGUGAAUGGAAAAUGCAGUCCCUUCAGUAAUUCUGCAUAUAACCAUUAGUGUCUUGUCCUAAGUUGACCUUUAAUGAUGGUCCAUUGAGAGGGAUCUGACUUUUGUCAACCCUCUUAUUCCUUUGAUCAUAGAGGUUAAACAUACGGGGCUUAACCCACUUUUCAAUCUCAUUGGAUAUAUGGCAUGUGGUAUCCUCUUCAUCUUGAAAGAGUGAAGUGGUCAUACUCUUUCCUGAGUCCAUCGUGGCCAUGCACUUCUGGCUCAUUGGGCAGAGUGAAAGGAUUCCCUUCUGCUUCAAAUCAUAGAGAGAUAUGCCAUGGUCAGCCUCUUUAAUUUGAAGGAUUGAAGUACUCAAAUCGAUUUCUUUGCAUCCAUCUUAGUCCUGCUUUCAUGUCUCAUGGUUAACCAGGAAGAUCAAGCUUCCAUCCAUGAGAUCAGCAUCUGCAGGGUUAUGACACCACCCUUCCUUGGCAUAGGAAAGCGAUCAUUAAGCCACAUGUCGGAUGACAGAAGUCGUCAUUCAGGUUAUCUUGCGAACUAGGGAAGUUGGAAUUCUAAUUAUUGCAUAUGGUUCUUGAUGUUUAGCCAAUAUACUAUAGGAUUUUAAGCAUCCUGCCCAUGUGCAUUGUGGUUUUUUAUCAGCUAUAUGGUUUACCAAACUGAGGGAUUGAUUAUAGUCAUAAGUACCCUUUUCCCAUUAAUUUCUUGCAUGUGCUUUGCUGAGAUUAUGUUUUUGACAGUGCUAAUCAGGGCAAACCAACAAACAGCUUUAUGUUAACUUUUACAAACUGCCACAUUUUCAGGUUGAACGAUCAGAGAUAAAUCUUGGUGAAACUAGAAGUAAUACAACCUGUGCCGUGGAGAUAAAAGAAAGGGCAGCAGCACUGGUGGCUGCAGAAAUUGAGGCAUGUAGAGACGAUAGAACCCCCAAGAUACCUCUUCAUGAGAAAGUCCAGAAAGAGUGGGCUUGUGCUGUGUGCCAGUUCACAACCCAAACUGAAGCGACCUUCAAUUCCCACCUUCAAGGGAAGAGACAUCAGGCCACUUCUGAGCAGUUGACAGCCAAAAACCAGGCAACCAAAACCAAUUGUUCCCCAUCUGCUUCAAAGGCCAAGAAAUCUGAUCAGUCCACCAAAGAGGAGCAACCGAAGUGUCCUUCCAACAAUCUGAAUUCCAAAAACAAUGGAAUCUCAGCUGCUUCAAUAGUGAAGAAACCUGACGAGACCAAAGAUGAUGAGCAACAAAAGUGUGCAUCCAGCAAUGGACCAAACCAGAAGAAUAACAAAAAGCAAGAGGAGAAGGUGCUAGUUCUUGAGACCAAUGAGCAAGGCCAUCAGAAUAAUUUUGAUCCACGAUCCCACAUUUAUUUUGGGUCUCACAAGUUUCAAAUUUGCAGAAAAAUGAAAGAUGUUUGAGAGAAAAUUAAAUCAUAUUGCACUACUGUUAGGAAAAAUAUGGCUGAAUCCGAUUGCUUUUCUUCUCCAAGUCUACUAAAAAUAUAAUUUUUUUCCCCAUUCCUGACAAAAUUUAAAUUUUUUCCUUAAAAAAAAAAAAAAAUUAAGUUUGAUCAUCUAACACAUCUGUCUAAACUCAAUCUCAACUUGAAAAAUCAAACCUUAAUGGAUGGACUAUAGAAAUAGUGAGAAAACACUUCUGGGUUUUUAUUUUUCUUCCAACAUCAAAUUUUUCUAUAUAUGGGAUUUCACAUGCAAAAGCAGGAGUAGAUUUGCUUGUGUUUGAUGUAUGUAUUAGAAAAAUUUGUCCCUUCUGGGAUGUUUAAUACUUCUCUAUUCUUUUAUAUGCAUGUUUAGCUAGAAGAUAUAGAAUCGAUACCAUUCCUUAAAAGUGAUAGCCACAACUGUGAUAAUUAAACAUCAAAGAAUAUGAAGAUCUAUAUAUUCUUUUUUUUUUCCUCUCUCUUUCAAUAAUGAAGCUAAGAUGUGUUGUAAGCAUCAAAUGCAUCGUCUCUGCUUGAAUACAAAGCCAAGGACCACAAGAUGGAUGGAUAUGGGGACGCACAAAACUUCUCAAACAUGAUUAUAUUAAUCAAGAAUUCAACUAAGCUUAAAUUAAAGAUGUUGAUUUCUAGCAUCUCUAGUGCUAUAGGAUGACUAUUGAUCCUGUAUUGUUAUGUGCCUUACUGAUAUAUUCUUCGGGUUGUUAUGUAUAAAUAAAAAUUUAAAAAAAGAACGCUAUCAAGAUUAAGGCUUCUUGUUAACUGAGAUUCUUCCAUGGGAAAGUUUGCUUAGUGGUUACACUAUCACUAUUUAGGCCAGUAAAAAUUGGAAGGCUUUGUAAAAAACUGAUGGUCCAAGAGCUAUUCUACUUCAUCAUCCAUGUAAUAUGACGAUACAAAUUUGACUAAAUGCAACUAUAGAAGGCUUAGGACCAUAAACCAAGCCUAGUCUAGAUGUCACUUACCUAAAUUUAUGCAUAAAGCUUUUGGAUGGCUCAGAGUUAUAUUUGAUUAGUGUUAUGUUCACAACUAUAUUUUCAUUGGAUUUAUAGUCCAGCUUGAGAACUAGUUCUCCAUUGCACAUAAUGUCCACACAAGGCCAUAGUGCCCGCUCAAGGCCACGGGGCUCACUCAGGCCACGGUGCCCACUCAAGGCUCAAGUGCCUGCUCAAGACCCAAUGCCCACUAAAGGCCAUAGCGCUACUCAAGGAUAUAGUGCUUACUCAAGGCCAUAGAGCCCACCUAAGGCUAAUGACCCAAUCCAAACAGUAAUUAAAGAAUAAAAAUUGCAUUCCCUUGUGACCAAUCCAAACAUUAGACCGCUGACUUGUAUAAGACAUCAUUCACCAUGCAAGCACUUUGUCAGCAACCUACCAUCUGGCAUGAACCAUUUUGGAUUGAUUCACAAAGCAAUGAUGUUAUAUUAAGCAUAUUCAAUAUAUAACCAAAUUGUGCUUCCUUGGAUUAACUAAAAUAUUUCCAUUGCAAGAUGAGCAGAUAGGCAUGUCAUGAAGUACUUUCCUGAUGAUAAUACCCCACAAAAUAUUUCUUUUUCUCACUGAUCUCUCCUAGAUUUUCUGUUCACCCAUCCAUGGCGCCUGACUAAAAAUGGGGGCAUUUUGGAUACCCCGAGCAGUGAGUCAGCCUGGUAGGCAUCCCGUUGCAAGCAAAGUCAACCCGAGUGGUCCAUUUGACCAAAGCUUAUCUAGGCAGUAAGCGUCCAUAUACAGCUAACUGUUAUGCGCCAUCAACAGGUUGAGGUUACAAGAUUAAAUGCAAAAAUAAAGAGUCAUAAUGGCCAAAUGGAAGUUACACGACUUAGCCUAUAUAAUAACAGUAUGACAAAAAAUGCAGGUAUGAAGAACUAUCACUAAAAAAUUUAUUCCUAAAAGUCCUUUAAGCUAACUUAGGCAUAGGAGAGGUCUAUCCGAAGCACACUCGAGCUCACCUUUUUGUAAGACAUCGAGAACAAGAGGCAUUGAAGUGAUUGUCCGGAGGGUUGAACUUAGUCGGGACCAACAAUGCACACUAUUCAAAAAUAGGGAUCAUAUUAAAUUAUUAAUGCAAUGAAGCAAUUGAGUUCAAGGUUAUUUGAUCAAAAGAAUCAUUGGAAAUUCAAAUUUUAAAAUUUAACCCUCAAUUCUAUUUUGACCUUAUUUGAACAAAAAUGUCUUUAUUAUUUUAUUGUAAAAAUAACUCUUUCUUUUUAACCCUACAUGUAAAUUAAUGCUUGAAAUGACAAAUGACAUUUAUAUUAAAAAUUAAUUAUUUUUUAACUAAAAACAAGAGAAAUCAUUUCAUCUCUUUUAACCAGUUAAUUUGAUUUAUUCCUUUUUAUUUUUUCUCUCCUUAAUUUUCACAUCACCCAACAACACCACUCUUAAUUCACACAAGUUUAAAGUUUUGGAAUGUGAUAUAUUCGUAAUUGUAUUAUAAUAACCAUCUUGUAUUUGGAUUUGUUCUUUCAGUCCAUCUAACCUUUUUGUUUAUUCAUGUCAAAACAAUGUACUUAUAAUCGAAUCCAUUUAUGACAUGUUGAUCUUAUAUAAAUUUAUCCGAUUAGCUUUUUUUUGAGUGAACAAUGAGCUUGAAGUAAAAAGUGUUCAGAUGAUUUUUUUGAGUACGCCCCUCGAAAACUUAAGUUAGUUUAGGGAAGUGACAGAUAAGAAUUUUUUUAGGAACUUCUUUCAUACCUAGAUUUUCAUGUCUGAUAGUUAUUUAUCUGAACCAAGUUACAACAUUUUCUCGUGCAUCUUAAUUGCUUUCAACGUUAACAAUUGACUUAUCGAAUAACGCCUUCUAGGCUUUUGUACUCGUGAAUAGCCUUGAUGUAAUAGUACAACAUUCAGUGCUUUUAAUAAUUAAUGUAUGUUAGAUAGCAAUAAAUGGUGCCCGAAUGGCACUUAAAUGGCGCUCGAAUAGUACUUAACGGUCCAUGCUAGAUGGAUACAAGGAUCCCACACUAUUGAUUUAUAUUUAAUUAUUUAGAAAAUUGAUAAAUUAUUAAUUUAAAAAAAAAAGUAAAAUUAUUGAAAAUUAUUUUAGGAAAAUAUCUUACAAUUUUUAAUUCUUUUAAAAAAUUUCUUUUAAUGUUUAUUUUAUAAAUAUAUAUAUAUUAUAUUUCUCUUCCUCUCUCUCUCUUCUUUACUUAGUCCAUCAUUUAACUAAUUUUCAAUUUUAUAUACAAUACAUACAUUUUUUUCUCAAAGUUUUCCACGGCACCAGGUGCCAGUAGGGGCACUACACUUUCAUCCAAUUAUCAUUACACUAAUUGUUGGAUAGGCUAUUUGUGGACCCCGCAUUUCGGCUCAUGCGUUUCCCACUCGAUGGCGAGCUCGAUUUUUAUUUGAAAAAUUAAUUUGUUGAUUAAAAAUGACUUGGAGUCGCCACUUAUUUUUGUUUUAUAUUUAAAAGGGUAAACAAAAUAAGAAAGAAAACCCUAAGUGUGACUCCUUAUUUUGGAAAAGGUGGUCUGUGAAAAACCUGAUCAGGCUCGGGGGUCAGGUUACUUAUUGGGAAGGUACGGUACGGACCGUAACACCCCUCUAAGUCCCUAAAGUCGGGUCUCUACUAUUAGGAUGAAGCCGUCGUGACAAUCAAUAAGAAAGUCAAUGGAUGUCUAAGUCAAAUCAUGCACAUAUGAAAAUCGGAACAUGCAUAGAGAAUGAUCAAAACGAAAAUGCAUGCAUACCUAGGCCACGAGUCACAAUGCGCUAUCAAGAAACGAGAUUAGUACACAAUUAACGAAUACAAAUUAUAGCUCAUGCAUAUCGGAGUGCAAGAUGAAGAUUAAGCAAAAUAUAUUAAACACAACAGUUGACAGUCAAUAGGGAUCAAACAUAGGGCCUCCCCCUACCAAAGCCCGAUUUAUUGUCCACGAACUAAUCUCACAAAUCUCGUGUUUUAGAAUUAUGAAGGAAUCAUUAUUGCUUAUGUAAAAUCAAGAAGACCAGAAGAUUAUUUAGGAACUAAAAUGGGAUUAAAACUAUUUGAGUGAAAACUGGAUUAUUGGAGUUUAUUUGAAAAUUGGAGUAUUUGGAAUUAACUUUAAAAGAUUAGAGCUUCGGUAAUUAAAUUGAAAUUUGUCAAAGAAAAUGAGAGAUGAACUUUAGGAAAUUGAUCUGUGAGAAUAUGGAUUUUGGAAGUUGAAUGCGUAAUAAUAGUAAUUAUAAGAAAUGAACUUUGAGAAAUCGGACUACGAGAAUAUAGAUUUUGAAAGUUGAAUUAAUAAUAAUAACAAUGAUAAGAAAUGAACUUUGAGAAAUUAAAUUGCGAGAAUAUAGAUUUUGAGAGUUGAAUUAAUAAUAAUAGUAAUGAUAAGAAAUGAACUUUGAGAAAUUAAACUGCGAGAAUAUAGAUUUUGAAAGUUGAAUUAAUAAUAAUAGUAAUGAUAAGAAAUGAACUUUGAGAAAUCGGACUGCGAGAACAUAGAUUUUGAAAGUUGAAUUAAUAAUAAUAGUAAUGAUAAGAAAUGAACUUUGAGAAAGUAAACUGCGAGAAUAUAGAUUUUGACAGUUGAAUUAAUAAUAAUAGUAAUGAUAAGAAAUGAACUUUGAGAAAUUAAACUGCGAGAAUAUAGAUUUUGACAGUUGAAUUAAUAAUAAUAAUAAUAAUAAUAAUAAGAAUAAUAAGAUUUGGGAAAUUGAAUUAAUAAUAAUAAUAAUAAUAAUAAUAGUAAUAAUAAUAAUAAUGAUAAUAGUUAAUAAUAAUAAUAAUAAUAAUAAUAAUAAUAAUAGUAAAUAUAAUAAUAAUAAUAAUAAUAGUAAUAGUAAUAAUAAUAAUAAUGAUAAUAGUUAAUAAUAAUAAUAAUAGUUAAUAAGAAUAGUAAUAAUAAUAAUUAAUAAUGAUGAUAUCAUAAACCCAAGUCCAUAAGCCCAAGCCCACGUCCAACAUUAAAAGAGCUCAAUCCAUAAGCCCAAGCCCACAUCCAACAUUAAAAAGAGCUCAAUCCAUAAGCCCAAGCCCACGUCCAACAUUAAAAAGAGCUUUGGGCUCCAUCUCCACCCAGCCCAAACUAGCAUAAUAAUAAUAACAAUGGGGCUUUGGGCUCCAUCUCUAUCAUAAGCCCAAGUCCAUCAUUAAAAAAAAAAGCUUGGGGCUCCAUCUCCACCAAGCCCAAACUAGCAUAAUAAUAAUAACAAUGGGGCUUUGGGCUCCAUCUCUAUCAUAAGCCCAAGUCCAUCAUUAAAAAAAAGGCUUUGGGCUCCAUCUCCACCAAGCCCAAACUAGCAACCUUAGCCCAUUAACCCUCAAGCCUAUCAAGACUAAAUGCCCCACUUGGGCAUUGUCUUCAAUAAGGAGCUCCCCAGCAAGGGCGCCAUGGCCGUCGGAGCUAGGACCGCCCGCGACGCCGGAGGUGCGGGGGUCAUUGCUACGAGCGCCGACGAUGGCUUGGAGAUCUUUGUAGAACCUCACAAAACUCAUCAAAGGCUCAAAUAUGAUGAACAAACUCGAUACAACCCUCAAGUAUUAAACAAGCUAAAAUGGAGGGCCAACUAUUUACAGGAGAAAACAAAGACGGGGCGUGUACAUGCACUACAUUCAAACUCAAAACCAAAUAAUUUGAGAUGUCCACAACAAGAUCACUAAAAUAUUACCCAUGGGUCAGUAAAGAAAUGAUGCCAGAUACCGAGAGAAAGAAACGUAUUAAACUCGAAAGGGACUCACCUGGAACUCGUGAAAGCUUCCUAACAGCCAACUUUCUCUCCCAAGCUAGCUCCCCCUGGUUCUCUCUCUCAUUGUCGAAAACCUCCAGAAAAUCCCCCCCCCCCCUCUCCCCCAAAAAAAAACCAGAAAAUCUCUCCUAUCUUUUUUCUUUUUCAGCAAGCCACCACCUGCCUCUCUAUUCAUGCAUCAGCAAGCAUGGUUUUCUUCAUCACCAGCAUGGCCCCUGCCAUGCCCAUGCAGCCCGUCUUUUUGGAGAAAAGGGCCCCCCUUUCUUUCAAAAAAAGAAAAUGCAAAGAAGAGCUCACCCUCUCUCUUCCCCCCCCCCCCUCCCCCCCCCUACCCCCUUCUNNNNNNNNNNNNNNNNNNNNNNNNNNNNNNNNNNNNNNNNNNNNNNNNNNNNNNNNNNNNNNNNNNNNNNNNNNNNNNNNNNNNNNNNNNNNNNNNNNNNCCACAAAAGGGGUCUACAAAUAUGCCCCUCUUCGGUAGAGCUCAUGAGUGUAAGGAAUGUGAACAUUGGAGUGAAAAGCAAGUGUGAGUAAUGAGUGUAACGAAGUGAACUCUACCGAAGAAAAAGAGAGACCCCUAAAGGUAUACACAUAGAAUAGAAACUCAUCCGAACCAUCAUGGGUACCGAAAGAGUCCUAAAAUCCUAAAAGGAGAGUGGAUCUCUCAAAGUGCCUCUGGAACCGUACCAAAGACCCAAACUCUCUCUAAGACUUCUCCAAAGAUGACUCGGAGUACAAGAAUGAAUAUGCCUCGAGGGGAUUGCCCUAAGAGAACUACAUGGAAGUCCCAAGUGAAGGGCGCCCAACAACAUGACCGAAGUAUGCGUCGUAAACUCAAAGGACUACGUCAUGAGCAAUGAGGAGAGAAAUCCGGAAGAGCAAUGACGGAUAAGCAACGAGCACAGGAUAACACGGUGAGGAAAACGAGGAUAGAUGCUAACCCCUGAAGGUAAGAUGUGUAAUGCCAGCGAAUAUGAAUGCAAGGGACUGUGACCCUGAAUGAUAUAGUCGAGGAGAAAUGACUCUGUACUUCAAGUCACGGAAAGAUGGUGACUUAAGGUCCUCGAAUGAAUAUGUACAAUGGCUCUGAACGUCAAAUUAACGAACGACGGUGGAACUGAAUGCUAAACAGAACAAUGGUUCUGAACGCCAAAACUAAGAAAGAUGAUGACUCACAAUGCAUGAAUGGGUAUAAAAAAAAAAAAACGGCUCUGAACGCCAAACUAAAGGAAAAAUAUGGUAAGGACGGUAAAUGUCAAACAUAACAGUGGCUCUGAACGUUAAAAUUAAAGAAAAGAAAAGAAAUGGCUCAAAAGGCUUGAAGGAGUGUGCCCAAUGGCUCUGAACGCCAGAAAUGAGGAAAAUGGUGAUGAAUCGAACGAAAGAUAGACAUGAGGACCCUGAGUGCCGAACCAAAACCAUGACUCGGAACUCUAAAUAAAUAAUAAAAGAAACAAAUAAUGGCUCUGAACACCGAAUGAGGAUGUGGCUUCGAACGCCAAAUGAAGAUGUGGACCUGAAUGUCGCUCGAAGAUGAGGCUCUGGACGCCGAGCGAAGCGAAACAUGGCUCUGGAUGCUGAAACGAAUGAUAUGCAAUGGCUCUGAACUCCAAAUCGAAGUGGACAAGGGCUCUGAAAGCCAAACAAAGCAAAACAUGGCUCUGGAUGCUGAAACGAAUGAUAUGCAAUGGCUCUGAACUCCGAAUUGAAGUGGACAAGGGCUCUAAAAGCCAAACGAAGCAAAACAUGGCUCCGAACGUCGAAAUGAAUGAUGUAAUGGCUCUGAACGCCAAACGAGAAUACGACUCUGAACGUCAAAUUGAGGAGUGAUAAUGGCUCUGAAUGCCAAAACUGAAAAUACGACGAGGAUAGCUCUAAACACUAAUACUGAUGAGUGAUGGCUCUGAACGCCGAACGAAGAUGCGAUGAUGGCUCUGAACACCGAAACCAGGAAAGCGACUUUGAAUGUAAAACUAGGAAACGAUGGUGGCUCUGCACGCCGAAACUGAGAAUGCGACGAGGAUAGCUCUGAACAUUGAUACUGAUGAGUGAUGGCUCUGAACGCCGAACGAAGAUGCGAUGAUGGCUCUGAACACUGAAACCGAGAAACGUGACAAUGAUGGCUCUGAACGCCAAAACUGAAAAUGUGACACUGAACGUUGAACUGAAAACACGAUGACGACUCCGAACGUCGAAACUGAGAAACGAUGGUGGCUCUGAUGACUUCGAAUGUCAUAAAUCGCGAAUGAACGGUGGCUCUGAACACCAAUACUAAGAAAUGAUCAACGGCUUUGAAAGCCAAAAUGAAACAACGACACCUCCGGACGCCGAAAUGAAACGACGACUCUGAACGUCAAACCAAAAGAAUCAUCGAUGAAUGCCAAUCUGAAACAAAAGCUCUGCAUGCCCAACUAAAUUGGUAACUAGGAAUGUCAUGCUGAGAAAGACGACUCUGAACAUCGUAAACGAGAAGACAAGGUGGCUCUAAACGCCAAGUUGGAAAGGGAUAAUGGCUCUGAAUACCAAAACUAGAGAGAUGGCUUUGAAUGCCGUAACCGGGAACGCAAAUCGAAACGUCAAACUAGCAAGUGAUGACAGCUCUGAUCGCCGAAACCGAGAAACGCGACGAUGAUGGCUUUGAACGUCAAACUGAAAAAGAAUGAGGAUGGCUCUGAACGCCAAAACUGAAAAGAGAGGAUGAUGGCUCUAAACGCCGAAACCGAGGAACGUGAUAAUGAUGGCUCUGAACGCCAAAACUAAAAAUGUGAUGAGGAUGGCUCUAGACGCCGAUACUGAGAAGUAAUAACGAUGACUCUAAACGCCGAACGAACGAAACAUGGCUCUGAAUGCCAAACAGAAACAAAACACGGCUCUGAAUGCCAAAACAAAAAUAGUUGAUGGCUUUGAACGCUAAACAGAAACAAAACACGGCUCUGAACGUCAAAACCGAGGAACGCGAUAAUGAUGGCUCUGAACGCCAAAACUGAAAAUGUGAUGAGGAUGGCUCUGAUUGCCGAUACUGAGAAGUGAUAAUGAUGACUCUAAACGCCGAACGAACGAAACAUGGCUUUGAACGCCAAACAGAAACAAAACACGGCUCUGAACGCCAAAGCAAAAAUAGGCGAUGGCUCUGAACGCUAAGCAGAAACAAAACACGGCUCUGAACGUCGAAGCGAAAAUACGCAAUGGCUCUGAACGCCAAAACUGAAAAUGUGAUGAGGAUGACUCUGAACGCCGAUACUGAGAAGUGAUAACGAUGACUCUAAACACGAACGAACGAAACAUGGCUUUGAACGCCAAACAGAAACAAAACACGGCUCUGAACGCCAAAGCGAAAAUAUGCGAUGGCUCUGAACGCCAAGCAAAAACAAAACACGGCUCUGAACACUGAAGCGAAAAUAGGCAAUGGCUCUAAACGCCAAAACUGAAAAUGUGAUGAGGAUGGCUCUAAACGCCGAUACUGAGAAGUGAUAAUGAUGACUCUAAACGCCGAACGAACGAAACAUGGCUCUGAACGCCAAACAGAAACAAAACACGGCUCUGAACACCAAAGCAAAAAUAGGCAAUGGCUCUGAACGCCAAACAGAAACAAAACACAGCUUUGAACUCUGAAGCGAAAAUAGGCAAUGGCUUUGAACGUCAAAACUGAAAAUGUGAUGAGGAUGGCUUUGAACGCCGAUACUGAGAAGUGAUAACGAUGACUCUAAACGCCGAACAAACGAAACAUGGCUUUGAACGCCAAAUAGAAACAAAACACGGCUCUGAACGCCAAAACGAAAAUAGGCGAUGGCUCUGAAUGCCAAGCAGAAACAAAACACGGCUCUGAAUGCCGAAGCGAAAAUAGGCAAUGGCUUUGAACGCCAAAACUGAAAAUGUGAUGAGGAUGACUUUGAAUGCCGAUACUGAGAAGUGAUAAUGAUGACUCUAAACGCCGAACGAACGAAACAUGGCUCUGAACGCCAAAGCGAAAAUAGGCGAUGGCUCUGAACGCCAAACAGAAACAAAACACGACUCUAAACGCCGAAGCGAAAAUAGGCAAUGGCUCUGAAUGCCAAAACUGAAAAUGUGAUGAGGAUGACUCUGAACGCCGAUACUGAGAAGUGAUAACGAUGACUCUAAUCGCCGAAAUCGGGAACGCAAAUCGGAACAUCAAACUAGGAAGUGAUGAUGGCUCUGAUCGUCGAAACCGAGAAUGCGACAGUGAUGGCUUUGAACGCCAAAACUGAAAACUGAUGAUGACUCUGAAUGCCGAAACCGAGAAUGUGACUCUGAACGUCAAACUAGGAAGUGAUGAUGAUGGCUCUGAACUCCGAAACUAAAAAGUGAUGGUGGCUCUGAAUGCCGAACUACAAGGAAAUGAUGAGAGAGAAAUAUGCCCCAGUGUGGCAUGCCGCUGCAAAUCUCAAUCCGCUGGAAGGGUCUGAAAGAGACUCUAUGAGCCCCGAAAGACGCUCUGCUAGCUAGUCAGAAUGAUCAGGUCGACGGUGAACACAGUCUCAGGACCCGCCCGAAGAAAUCACGAGGUCUUCCAGAGUGUCGUAAUGAGCCGAACUCCUCUAACUCAUAAUGCUCUGCUUGAAGGACCCAUCGUCGUCUCGAACGGAUAAUCCGAUAGUCUCAGGGAGUAGUCUGGUAAGAGACACACCAUGAUCUCAACAUAACCAUCUACUAAAUAGUCCUGGCCAAUGGGGCGAUCCAAACCCGAACAUCGUGCUCCACUGAAAGCUCAUCUCGACGAAAAGCACAGGAAUAGUGACCAGUGAAGCAAGUGCAAUAUCUCUCGACCGAGUAAUGAAAACUAUAACAGACCCGUGAGGGAAUGAUCACCUCCAUAGCUAAAUGAGGAGAAUACGCCUAGUAUGGUAUCAGAUGUACCUGAUCUAUCCUGAUGGCUCAAGGAUAACUCCAUGGGGACGUACAAAGGAUCUAGCAUGUACCCUGUUAAAAUGGGGACGCGGGAAUCCACGCGCCUGAGAUAACUCUGUCCAGGAAUCACGACUAUAUCAGAAAAUGUGAAUCUGGCUGAAAGGCUCCAGAGAGGCUCCACAGAGUAUCAGGACACAAUGAAAUCGAAUCAUCAAUCCGAUGUGUAUCUCAUAAUCGGGGAUGAUCAUGCAAAUCAGUGGGGAAUCUACAAAUCCCAACCAAAAUGAGGAAUAUGCCCUAGUGUGGCAUCAAAACGUGACAGGUCAGGAAAAUCAAAUGAGCUCAAAUCAUCCAUCAUCGAAUGCGCGAUCCAAGUCAUCCAUGUCUAUAACUGAAUCAGACCCAUAGAUCAAAGGAGCGUCUCCCGGGAGGAAAGCCUGAUGACAUCUAAGUGUCAAGAAGUAGGCCUAACUGGGCAACUCUCGAGAGGCUCCACUGAGGAAUCAUCGUAAAGAUAGCGAAUAGAUCAUCGUCUCGAUGUACGUCUCGCGAAUGAGGAUAAGCGCGCAACUCCACCAAGAUCUGUAA
rnacentral:lncRNA from 1 species